rnacentral:lncRNA from 1 species
AACUUUUUUCCUUCUUUUUUUUGUUUUGGUGGUCAUCUCUUAUUUUUUCUUAAUGUGCCUUUUUGCUAAUGACGACUUUGUUGUUUAUUUUCAUGAUUUGUCUCUUUGUCUCACCUCUUUUUUUUUUUUUUUUUACUUGAUGUUGGAUAAGUAUGGACCUUUUUGCCGAAGAUUUUGACGCCUUCUUCAGUCGCAUGAGCGGCAGCUCCUCCAAUACCCUGGGUACCUCAGUAAAAGGUGACCGACCUCCCGUCGUUCCAGGCGGCAAGGGCAAAUUGUCCGUCUCAUCUUUUGGGAGUUCUCGGGGUACCCCGGCUACUCACAAGAGGAAGCUUAGCUCUUUGUUCACGGUUCCUAGAGAUCUUGUGGAGGGUGAGCUGGACCUGGUGGCAAAUAAGCGGAUAUCUCAUCUUCCUGAUUACUUCCUUCAUUCCUCCGAGUGCAUUUCCACUGACAUGGCCAUGGAGGCAGAUAGAUUGGACUUAAAUGAGCGUUAUAGCCGAGCGCUCAAAGCUUGUCAUGACGUGAGUGCCUCUCACUCUCUUUCUCUCUUUUUUUAUAUCGUUCUGACUCCAUUUUCUUCUUUUUAUUAUUAUUUGUGUAGGCGGCUUUCUACCUUAGCCAUGGUCUCCGAGACCUUAGUGGCAUCUCGACUGCACAGACCGAGGUAAAGAGGCUGCGACGUGAGGUUAGGCUCGGCCAGUCUCGGGAAGAGAAGCUGGGAGAGGAGGUCAGGGCUUUGCAAAGGCGCUUGGACGACCACGCCCGAGAGAACAGUUGAAUGUCCAAGAAGUUAGAAGAGGUAAAGUCUAAGCACGGUGGGCUACUAUCUCGCUAACCGGAGAUGAUGGACAAGUCGACUAUCCUGAAAGUGAUAGAGCACAAGACGGUAACCCAGGCUCCACCAUCUUACAGCCCACAACAAUCUUCGGGGGUACCCCAAGUACUCUAGGCGGAUCUCCCUUCGGUUAGUGCUGUUCGUGUGGGUAGCAGCUCUUUGACCGCGAGUGUUCCUGUUGAUGCCCCCGUUGAGAGGAACGGUGUAGAGGAUGUCCCCUCUUCUGCUUGAUCUUGCUAUUUAGAGUUUUAUCUCGAGAUGCCUUAGCAGCUUUCUUUCUUUGCUUAUGUACCUUUGUAGUAUAGUUUCAUCCUUUUGGUGUGUUGGGAUACUUAUCUUUUGGAAGGUUGCCUCGGCAAUCUUGCUACUUAUUCGCAUUAAACUUCUAUAAAUGCCAUUGAAUUUCUUGCUUAUGAUUGAUUUGUGUUGACUCGUGGGGUUUUCUCGGGUACCCCAGGCACCCCGCUGAUGUAUUUUUGGCGCUUGCGUGGUGAUUUCCGUAGACAUGCUCGCUGCUCGUCUUAAUAAAGAUUAUGGUGUAUCUCAAAAAUUUAAUAAUAUGUGCAUCAUCAUAAUAUAAAAUGAAAUUCAUAAUUGGCGAAACCAAAAUGUAAAUAAAGGUUAUGGCGUAUCUCGAAUAGACUUGUGGAGUUUCCUUGGGUACCCCAUGUACCUUUUUUUUUUUUUUUGUUCGAGGACUUUCUUGGCCUCUUUUCUUGCAAAAAUGGUUAAAAAUAUGCUAGUUUUGCCAUCUGCUUCUAGUUAAUAUUUAAUAAAAUAAUGCGAAUUGAAGGACAUGCUUGCCUACCUCGUUUCAUUUAUCUAUUCUUUACUUGGCUCAAGUAAAAGAAUGGAGGUGUGGGCGUGUGCAUACCUUAACGGAGCCUCAUGGCACUAAGGUAUGCUGGUUUACCUCGCCCUCGAGCCUUCUUUGACCAUCCAUCUUUAAAUUUGUUGUAUUCUUUCUUAUUGACGUUGACCUCGAACAGAUCUUCACGAUCGAAUCGAGGCAGAUACCUCAGGUUCCCAUGAUUAUCUUGAAAUGGAGCAAUUAUAGCUGAAUAAGACAUGGCGUAAUAAGAUAGAGUCACAUUAAUGGCGAAAAUUUAACUGCAAUCACAUUCGGUAAUAAAAAAGGAAAACACACAUCAUCUCAUAAAGUAAAAAACAUACUUAUAAACGAUAGAACCAAGAUCAUUACAUGAUAAUGUUCUAUUAUCUUAAAGAAAUGGGGGAUCCUAAGAUCACCCAUGUCAUUAGAGACUUGGAGAAUUGAAAAGUGCAACUAAUCAGUUUAGGGUACUCUGGGUACCCCGCAUGAUAAAGUACACCACACAAUAAAUCAAAUAUUAUAAACGCAUAAGCAUUGAAGAAAAAUAAAUAAAGUAAAUAGAAAGAGGUAAAGUGCUUCCCUUUAUUAGUAGUACUUCCUUGGUAUGGCAGCAUUUCAUAAGUGUUUUAUAAUUGUUCUUUUCAUUUAGAGUAGCGUGUGUGCUCAUUCAUUUUCUUCCUUCGGCACCUGGGGAUCCAGGGGUACCUCUAACUCUUCGAUUAACGCUGAAUUAGGACUUUGGGGUACCGCGGGUACAUCAUUCAUAACCGCAUCUACCUCAAUUGGCCCUACUCUUUUUUGUUUUAGAGGACUAGUUGUCUAUAACACUUUCCACCGUCCAGCUCUUCAUUUUCUUGCAAGCGCUUAAUUAGUAAGGCGAAUAAAUGUCAUUGGACUGCUGGGGUACUCGAGGUACACCAGGAAUAUUCAGCCUUCUCCCACGUGGGGUUGGACGAGGUAAGCUGUGUACCCGGGGUGCUCGAGAGGGUACCUGAGGUACCUCGGCUCUCUUAGGUUUCUUCUUAUUUCUCACAACUUCUACUCUGUCUUCCUCCCGCUUUAGGUUACACUUCUCAUCUAUUUCUAUUUGUUGUAGGGCUCGAGAACGAGCUUCCCCAUAUGAAAGAGGGCUGUGUUUUUGAAAUGACCGCUAUAACUUCCUCAAACACAAAUUCUUUUCAAAAUGAGUGUGAGUAUGUUGGUGACCAAACAUACCGGUAUACAACACCCCUUGGUGGAAGCAGGUUACGUAUUCGGCUAAAGGCUCCAAAUCCCCUUGCUUGAUGAAAGCAAGCUUGGAGGAUGUUAUAUCUUGGGUGGAUGCAUAACCAAACUCAUGAACAAAAUCUUUUAGGAGCUGGUCUAAGGAGGAUACACUACCUGCCUUCAACGAUCGAAACCAUGAUUUGGCUGGUCCGGUGAGGGUAUGCGGGAACAUCCGGCACAUAGCAUUUUUGCCCACUCCUUUAAUCAUCAUCUGGUCAUGAUACAACUCAGCAUGUUCCACGGGAUCCGAGGUACCCGAGUAUUGUUGUAUUUGAGGCAUGAUGAACGCUUCCGAGAGAACCGUUGUUCGAAUCUCCAUGGUGAAUGGCGAGUUAUACGCUGCUGGCGCUAGAGCAUUGGUGGGGUUUUAUUUUUCAGAAAGGGGCUUCUCUUGAGCUUCGAGGUACUACAUUUUUUCCAGGAAAUCGCGGGAUACCCCAGGUGCACCUGAGGAUGCCGCAGUUGUUUGGGAAGCUCUUUUGGUGUUCAACUUGUGCCGUAGAUCUUCAUGGACUUUUUGUUUACAUCUGGUACCCUGGCUGCUACGGGAAUAGCAAGAAGCAGUGGAGCGUUCUUCCCGAGAGUCAUCGGUUUGAAACUUUGAACGGGUGCUCGACAGCCCAUGCUUUUGUCUACUUCCUUCCAGUAUUUCAGAUCUUGGUAUGAUCUGCUUCUCACCGCAUGGGGGCAGGACAUCUUGAGUUACCGAGGAAGUGGCUGCUUUGGGUACACGAGAUCCUAUUGCUCUGAGAAUUGCAUGAGCCAAAUCCUCAAAGUGUUUAUGAGUAACGGGCUCCUCGUCGGGUUGAAUACCAGCUGAUUGCUUAACAAAUUUGCCUUUCUCUAGGCGGGAUGCCCUUCUAGUCGAGUCACCCCUCUCAUCACUAUCGUGAUCCUCCGCUCCAUCAUGACCUAGCAUUUGGUUAUCAGCGGGUACGUCGAGUGCCAUGGUUGUGCAAGCACACGUACCGACAAGCUUAGCACCGUAUGGAGGCUUUUUGCGCACUCCCCACAGACGACACCAAUUGUUUGCGGCUGAUUUUGGGUCAAUGAAUAAAAAACCACAAAACCAACCCAAGAGCAAUAAAUUUAUAUUUUUGUCGGGGAGCGGGGUACCUCGCUUGUUCGGCACAUGCGGGCUGUUUAGGCUUUUUGCAGAGUGAAGGAGGAUUGAGAUGACGGUGGAUAUGGAAGGGGUCUGACUUCAGGUACGGAGGGCUGGUGAAACUCGCCUUAAACCUGCGAAACAACCAAAAAAGAGGUUAGAGGUGGAGUCGGGGGUGGCCGGCGACCACACUCCGACGCUCAAGUUAGAGUCGGGUUAUCUUAGGUUAGAGAGCUUGCAAGCUCUCGGUAAUGGAGGUUUUAAGGUUGAAGAAACCCUAGUUUUUUAUGGUGAGUGUGUUAACUUACUUAAUAAAAAUCAAACCUGAGUAUUUAUAUGGUGUACCCCGAUCGUCGUGCCACCUGGCGCUAUUUUAGUGGCGUUCCCUGCUGUCAUAUCAGGAAUAUUCUUAUUUUCAUGUGUAUGACGGCUUAGAUGUUUCAAAAAUAUGAGUGGAGAGUAAGUUUGUGGCGUAUUCACGUGCUAGGCGUAGUGUGGUGGUCUCGCGUACCUCUACAAUUCCGUUGUAAUUUUACAAGCGUAGCAGGAAAAGCUGGUGGUCCCAACUGUCACAAUAUCACACUUUUGGCGGAUUCGCUGGCAUGACAGGCGGCUGUCUCCUCUUUUGCGGCAUGAGAUUUUCUUAUUUUUUUUACAUGUAUCAAACCGAUCUUUUUGAGAUUCGGGGCCCACAUAUCCUUUCACAUAUUUACGAAGACUUUUAUAUCCUUUCAUGGUGUACCCGAGAUACCCCAGAGUGCUUAGGGUAGCCGAGGUACCUAGGGUAUCCGAGGUACCCAAGGGACCCGAGAUAAAUUAAUCUCUUAAAUAUCGACACGUGGCGCUUCAUCAUUGGCCUCAUAUUUCCUUCCUAAAACGAUAGUAAAUGAAUAGAGAGUAAUAUUCCAAAAACAUCGAAGAUUUUUUUUUUUUUAAUACUGAUUACAUAUCAGAUUAUUAUAUUAUAUAGAUAUUUACAAAUGCCAUUAGAGCAGACACAAAUAUAUAACUUGAGACUUAUAUUAUUAUAUUAAUUUUAUGAAGUACAUACUCAGACAUAUAACCCUCACAGACGAGAGAGGUUAAAACUAAAAAUUAAAACCACUACACUCAUAAUCCUCAACUUUAAAAAUAAUGAUUCACCACUCGGCUAAAACCCAAGUGGCUAGAACACCGAACACUUUAUCGUGGAUAACAAUACUCAAUAACACAAAUAAAAUAUCCAGAUUACGUUAACACGUGUCUUUAAUAUUAUUAGAAUCAUUGUAUCAGAGGUAAUUAAGGCCCUUCACCUGCUCACUUCCUGUCUCUGUCAAUUAAUUUUUGACCAUUCUAGACCUUUGUUUCGUGCGGAUUGGAUUCAUGUUUCACAUGAGGAGGCUUGUUUGUUAAGACUAGUUUUUUUUUUUAAAAAAAAAAACACAACAAAAAAAUUAUGCAAACAUUUUUCUCUAUAUAAUUAAAACCAUCUCGUCCUCACAUGAGAAAUUUAAUUUAUUAUCUCAAUUAAAUACCAUUAUCUUUAUUAUCCAAACAUUUUUGGCAGCAAUUUUAGUUUGAAGUGUAAAAUUAAUUCCUAGUACGAAGAAAAGAAAUCAUCCCAAGAAAUUGUUGUUCCAUUUUGACUGUCACUUAACGUUGAACAUUCUCUUAAUGAUCCAGCUCCCGCGUUUGAAAGCAAGAUCAAGGCUUCAAUAAAUUAUGCUUUUUCGUUCAAAGAACCGACGAAGCUUCCAUCAAGCGACAGUUAGCUCGCCAACGGGGACUCGUCUCUUUACAACUCCUUCACCAGACACUUCACUGCUUACGCUUUCGCGUGCGGUAAAAUAUCCAUUCGAUCCCUAUAGUUUCAUUUAAUUUUUCAGUUAUAAAAUAAUUAAUAAUACCAACGUGGAGAAACUUCUUUUCAGUCAAAAGAAUACUUGUGCCGUCGUCAAAUAAGCAUGUAGUCUAACUUUCUUUAUUCCAACAGAUACCCCUUCCAACACAACAAAAAAAUAAGUUUAGAAAGCACACGAGGGUCAAAGUUUCUAGGCCUAUAAAUAUGAGAACUUUGAGAUUUAUUGUCUCCAUCAAAACGUUACCUACACAAAACCCUAAAUAAAGAGACAUUUUACGUGUGAAAAUUAUUAUUUUUCUCUCAUGGCCGUGAAGGGAGGUUUAGCAAAUGGAGAAAUAGCGGAGAGAUUAGCACUGGCUAACUGUUUGAUGUUGCUUACACGUAGCAAUAGAGCAAAGCUGCCAAUUAAGAAGCGUUUGGCGAGCGACGUAUUUGAGUGCAAGACUUGUAAUCGCCAGUUCCCAUCAUUUCAAGCCCUAGGAGGCCACAGAGCCAGCCACAAGAAGCCAAGACUAAUCAAUGGCGAGACCAAAACGUUGAGCUCGACGACGGCGACGAAGCCGAAGCUGCAUGAAUGCUCAAUAUGUGGGCAGGAAUUUGCUAUGGGGCAGGCCUUGGGCGGUCACAUGAGAAGGCACAGGAUCGCCAUGAAUGAAAGCUUGAAUUCUGCCGUGAUCGUUUCGCAGUCGCCGCCGGUGUUAAGGAGAUCGAAUAGCAGCAGAAGGGUUUUUGGAUUGGAUUUGAACUUGACUCCAUUAGAGAAUGAUUUGGAGGCUUUGUUUGGGAAGAUGGUUCCUAAGGUUGAUCUAUUAAUGACUUGAUUAUCUUUAAUUUUGGAGCCAUAACUUGUAUUAUUAAUUUUUUUUUUUGGUUUUUGGUGGCGUCGGGGGAGGGGGGGUGUUUCAUAGUUAACUUAUCACAUUUUUUCAUUUAUUUUAUGUACACUUAUAUGAUGAUAUGAAAUUUUUAUGUUUCUUUAAGAGAUGACGAGGAUUGAAUUAAUUUGUUCUUGAAAGAGCGAUUGUGCCCAUUAUGUUACACAUAAAAAUUGGAUGAUGUAAUCAUCGUUAACUCUCAAAAUUAGAGUAAGAAUUCAAAAUCAAGAAUUUAAUAAUUAAGAUUAAAUUAACUUUUUUUUUUGCAAGUGUAAACAAUUAUAAUAAUAUUCAUACACACGUUAACAAUUCUAUAUGUGUGUGUGCGUGCGCACACGUGGGGUUGCGUUCAUUUUUUUUAUUAGUGCAGACAAAUUGUUAAGUUAUAUGGCUUAAUAGAGCUAUUUUUUAAUGCACUAUAAAUAUAUGUGAUUAAAUAACGUUAAAAUUUUGACUCUAUUAAAUCACACGGUUUAAAAGUGUGUCCGUAUAAAAAAAAAUUUUGAGGGUGUUCGCUAGAUAUAUAUAUAUCCAGGAAUGCCUCAUGACGAGGAACUAUGUAGACAGGAAAUUCAAUCACUCUUAGACAUUAUAUCUUAUCAUAAAGGAUCAUAAAUGAAUCUCCUUUAUAACUCAUCACAUUUUAUAUUACACCACAUUAUACAUCCUUAUCUCUAAGAAUCUACUUUAUAACCCAUCACAAAUUAUAUUAAAUUACAAAAUUUUGACAAAGGCAUAAAAAAAAUUAUGCACAACUUACUUUUUAUCAAGAUAUUUUAUUCUUUUCAUAUUUCUUGUCAAAAUUUUGUACCCCAAUUUUUGGUCAAAGUCGCUUUUUCCAUGUUAAUUAACUUAAAUUUUGUUACAUACAAGUAACAUGGAGGUAAGAGCAUUAACUUGAAGAUUAAUUUAUUCAAUUAAAAUUAAUGCCGGUGAAGCUGCGGAGGUCGCUGGUAUUGGCUUUGGAUCCCAGCUGCCUCAAGCUUAAUUGGCUGAUUUUGACUCGUAUUCUUCCUGAAUACUCAAUAAUCUUCGAAUUAAUGUUGUUAGCUUGUUGCCUUGCUGGCAAAUGGGACUUUAUUGAAACCUCACCGUCCAAGUUUCUUCUGAUUGAAUCUCAAUGAUUUUCUUAAAUCAACUGAGCCUCCUUUAAUGGCUAUGGCCAUAUGCAGCACACAAUAUGAGAAUUACAGUUAGCUCUUCAUGGGUAGCUGCAAGUGCACUCUAACGUAAGAAAUCAAUAAUAACUUGAUUAAAUUAAAGCUAAAAGUAAAAUAAAAGUUAAUGCACAAUUCUUUUGUUAUAUUUUAUUUUAAAGAAAAUUAAGAUAAAUGAAUAUUGUUUUUUUUAUAAGAUCCCUAAAAUUGUUGUAAGAGUAAAGAAAAGGUAAUUAAGGACAUAAAUAAAAUAUAAUCAACAAGAGGGAUUCUUAAAAUAUUUUUUUUAAAAUGAAAGGACCAAAGGCAUACUUAAUUGAUAAUAUAGGAACUAAAUAAAUAUUUAUUCAAAUUGUUAUCUUCAAUUUUAUUAACGACCAAUUAAUCAAUAUGUUUUUAAUUAACUCACAAUUCACUUCAGAUCAGGAAUAAUAUGUAUCCGCUAACUCUUGUUGAUUCAAAGAUCACAAAUACGGGAAUGUUAUUAUAAUUUGUCCAAUUCUUUUUUUUAAAUGAAGCCUUAAUUAUCUGCUAGAGUGCUCAAAUGUAUCAAAAAGAUCAUUACGGUCGCUCCCAGAUGAUGUAGAAAUAAUAGUCAAUAAAAACAACUCUUCUCUUCACUACAAUUAUAAGUGGAUGAUACAGAAAAAUGUGAAGAAUACUUCAAUAAAUAAUUACAAUAAAUGAUUUGCAAUCAUCUCGAAGACACGAUAAAAUCAUGAGUUAUCCUUAUCAAGAAAAAAAAAAUUAUAUAUAUCAGCAGUUAUCACUCUUUAAGCUUCUAUAGAAUGUCUCUGGUUAGGCCUUGUUUGGUAUCAAAGAGUUAUAACCUUUAAACUACAAUUGUAUAACAAGAAAAACCAUAAGUAUAAGAUAAAAAUUAAUAGUAUCCAGUAAAUAUAAUUUUUAAAUAAUAAUUUUAAUAAAAUUAAUAAAUAUAUAAAAUUUUUUCAUUAUAUACAUAUAAAAUUAAAUUAACUUAAUUUUUAAAUUAUAAUAAUUAACGUUUAUCAAAUAUUUUCAUGUUACAACUUUUAAGCAUACUUAUCCAACAUCAAUUCCUCACUCCGUAAGCCUUUAAGUUUUUAGUAAUGAAUCAAAGAAUUAUUACGUGCUGAUUGCUUUUGUCUUCAUGACUCUUAACUUGACCACCGAGCCCAAUGGUUGUCCGAUGUAGAUUAUUAGGCCACUACGACUAUGCUGAAUUCUGUGCAUAAGGCUUUUUAUUUUCCCUUUGUUCCCCCUGUAAUGGGCUAAAAUUGGUCCAGAAUAAAAUUUGAUGGGUUUGGGCGUUUAUAGGUAGAUGGAAUUGACAAAAAAUAAAUAAAUGAAUUCAACUGCUGGCACUCCUUCGUGAAACUCAUAAAACCCCACUUCUAUUACAGUUAUAUUUAUGUACAUAAUAUGCAUGCUUACAUAUUUAAUUUUUUUUUUAUUUUGUGGGUAAUUUAGAAAAUAUUUAUCAAUUAAUUAGAAAUAAAAUUAUAUCCAUGAACUUUCAUAUUACCAAUAACUUGAAUAUUACGUAUCAGUAAUUAAGUAAUUAUUAGUUAUGGGGAUGGAUCCGGGGCUGGAUCCCAUAGCUUUACAAAAAAAAAAAAAAAAAUUUAACACAAUUUUUCAAGCUUGAAUUUUUUAUCUAUCAAUGAUUCAAUGACAAGGAUUAAAGAUAGAUGAUGACAUAGCUUUUCAUUGAUAAUUUUUUCAUGCCCAUAUCUCUCCCUCUCUUUUUCUUUAAAUAAAAUACCUCCAAUUUUUUUUCUCAUCUUUUCCAAUUUUCUCUCAUAUCACUUAAGCUACUACUCUAACUCAAGCUACUUAAAACCCUUAAAUUUCUUAUUUACAAGAGUUUUAAAUUAUGGAUAAGGAUUAUCCCACAGUAAUUGUUUUUCUUCUAGUGAAAUAAAAAUAUUUAAGAUUAAAUUUUAAAUUUUUAUGUUGACAAUUACGCCAGCUCUUUUUCACUUUUUUACAAUUAAGUUAAUUUUUUCGUUAAAUUUAAAAGGUUAGGAGAAAUUAGAAGAGAAAAGACUGUAAUAGAAUUCUAAUCCGUAAAUUAUACGUACAUGCAAGGGUUUUGAGAGUUCCUCGUAAGCCAACAGAGCAAGUAAAUUACAUUAUUUUGAUUAUCUAUUCUAAUUUAGGAUGUGUAAAAGUCAACUAGCGAGCUUCUAGUUAGUAAGAAGUUUCUUGGAUAAUGCCUCGGAAUUUUGUCACGUGUUCAAUAAUCAAAUCAAGCGACUACGUGAAUCAGGUAAUUUCCAGCCGGCGCCAUGCAAGGAAUAUAAACAAGCUAUAAAUGAUAAGCGCUGUUUAACGGCAUUGCUUAGCCAAUUGAUAAUUAAGCAAUUAAUGCUAGCUGGAAUGAUCAAGACGAAAAGGGAAAUUAAUUUUAAUGGGGAAUUCUUCCUCCAAAACUCAGUUAAGAUUAGAUAAAAUAAAGAAAGCACAGUGUUUGUUGGAUUGGAAAUUUGGACCACCAGGCCGUGAAUUAAUCUCCAUUAAUGUAUUUGUUCUGCGUUGUUCUUGUUAUUGCAGUACUCGUCAAAAGAAUUUAUUUUAAGUUACUUUUUAAACAAUGUGUAGAUAUGUUUAUACUUCAGGCUCUUCAUCACUUCUUUUUUUUUUUCAAUAAAUUUGUGUUACUUUAGAUUUAACAUGAGGCAGACAAGACACUAGGAAAUUAUUAAUAAAUAUGUUAAAUAAAGUUUCCACUGCUAAAUUAAGCUUAGCCAGGUACAAUUAAUACUAUCCGUUAUACCUAAUCAGAAUCUCUCAAAAUCCAAUAGUAAACCAAAAAUCUUAUAAUGAAAUUUGCAUCCUCCUUAGGUUUUAAGAAUUCGUUCACUUAAUUAAAUAUCGUAGUAAAUGCUUUUAUCAAGAUCAAUGCUUUUCAAUGAAAAUAAACUAGUUGCUUUUCAGAAUUAUGCCACCAAAAUUAAAUAUUUGCCCGUGUGUAGAAGAAUAUAAUAAAAGUUCACUUUAAUCAUGUCAUGUCACUGAAUUGAAAGUGUAAUAUCCCUUAAAUUAAGAAAAAAUGAUAACUAAACUCUCAAGAUUUAGAUAAUCGAUCAGAAAAAUUAUUAAGUUUUUAAGAAACACAUCAAUAUUUUUUUUUAUUAUAAUAUUCUUUAACUCUAUUAAUAAAACAAAUUACUCUAAUGUUUUAUAAUAAAAAAUAUAAUAAUAUAUACAUUUUAAAAUAAUUUUAAAAAUUUCAAAAAAUAUUUUAAUAUUUUACAAUCUAUUAUACAUUUUUUAUUAUAUUUAAAGUAAAUUUUACUUUAAAUAGAAAAUAUUAUGAAAAUAAAUAUAUAGGAAUUUAAAUUAUUUUGAAUUUUAUGCUAAAUAAUUUUAAUAUUAUUAAUAAAUGAGAUAUAUAUUUUAAUUGUAAAAUCUAUUUAACCCACAAAUUUAUUUAAAAUAUUUGUAAUAAAUAUAAAUAUAUUAUUAAGAAAUAUAAUAAUUUAUAUUUUUAAAUUAUUUUAAAUACUAAAAUAUUAGUCUACUAGACAUAUUAAAUUAUUUAUAUUAUAGUUAUAUUUUUAAAAUAUUUUUUACACUCUAUUUAUUUUUAGUUAUUUUAUUUAAAAGUUAUUAUAGCUAAAAUGAGGUAUUAGUGUCCUUCAUCGAAAACUUAGAAAUAUGCAUGAUCAUGCCUCUAAAUCUUGGAAGUGGUCUUGCUAAUUUUCCCUUAAAUUAUAUAUAUAUAUAUAGACAUCGUUUUCUUUUUUCUUCUUGGGGAAAGAAACUUGUCAAUUUUAAUGUCGUUUUUGUAAUGCCGGUCCGAUUACAGUGCUAACACUGCCAUUAAUUAAAAUAUGGAAACUGACUAAUUAAUUAUCAUAUUACUUCACCGAGUAAAAUAUUUAAGAGUUAAUAUAUUAUUUAUAUCAAAACGGAGAUAGCGAUAAGAGCAUUUAAAAUUUUUAUUAAAUUAUUAGAAUAAGAAUGAAGUUGAAGAGAUCGUUGAUAUUGGCCUCAGCCUCGGAGAUGCAUGUAUUAUUUGCAAACCUAAGGAUAAUAACGAACAAGGGAUCACGAUCGAUAACAAUUAACUUAAUCAAAUGUUUAAAACAAAAUGAAGGUCGGCUCUGAGGUAAUGCAUGCAAGUCAUUAUCAAUAAGUUAUCUUUAGUGACAUUAACUAUAAAUGUUAAACAAGAUUACCCCAUUCUAAAAUUAAGCAUUAUCAUUGGCUAAUAAAUUUGUACGAUGGGCCCUCAAAACAUGACAUUAAAGAAUAGAAUUGGACUGGUUUUUUUUUUCUAAUAUUAAUUACACAUCGUAUUAUUGUAUUGCACAAAUAUUUACAACUGUUAUUAUAGCAGAUAUUACAUUGAUAUUUAUAAUCAGAUAUAUAUAACUGGGACUUACAUUAUUACAUUAAAUUCUAUGGAGUACAUACCCAGAUAAAUAACCCUCACAGACGAGUGAUGUCUAUGCUCCACUCGCAUUUUGCAAGGGAGAAUAACUUAUGAAUAUUUUAGCUCUCACAAUGCUUUUGUGGGGGAUUGAACCGCUGCCCUUCCGCUUGUGAGGGCAGCAGAUCAACGACUCGGCCAAAGGCCGAGUGGUGCCAUUGCACUGGUUAAUGAAGCUUAAUUUCAAUAAUUUGAUAGGUUGGUUAAUAAUAUCAUGUUAUUAAUGAGGGUAGCUACUUUGAUGUGUGUGAGUAUUAAUUACAAUAAUUUGAUAAGUGGGGUAAUAUUAUCAUGUUAUUAAUGUGACAAAAUACUUUGAUGUGUAUGCGCGUGUGCAUGCACGUGUAUUUGUGUAUUAAUUUCAAUAAUUUGAUAGGUGAGAUAAUAUUAUAAUGUACUUCACGAGGGUAAAUACUUUGAUGUGUGCGUUCGUGUGUAUGUGUGUGGUUGUGUGUGCUUGGGGGUGGGUGGGUGGGUGCGCUUAUUUUCCCCCUUCUCCACUUCCUCCUUUAUUUCAUCCCCCUACAUAUUUUCUAUACCCUUUUCCACUUUNNNNNNNNNNNNNNNNNNNNNNNNNNNNNNNNNNNNNNNNNNNNNNNNNNNNNNNNNNNNNNNNNNNNNNNNNNNNNNNNNNNNNNNNNNNNNNNNNNNNNNNNNNNNNNNNNNNNNNNNNNNNNNNNNNNNNNNNNNNNNNNNNNNNNNNNNNNNNNNNNNNNNNNNNNNNNNNNNNNNNNNNNNNNNNNNNNNNNNNNNNNNNNNNNNNNNNNNNNNNNNNNNNNNNNNNNNNNNNNNNNNNNNNNNNNNNNNNNNNNNNNNNNNNNNNNNNNNNNNNNNNNNNNNNNNNNNNNNNNNNNNNNNNNNNNNNNNNNNNNNNNNNNNNNNNNNNNNNNNNNNNNNNNNNNNNNNNNNNNNNNNNNNNNNNNNNNNNNNNNNNNNNNNNNNNNNNNNNNNNNNNNNNNNNNNNNNNNNNNNNNNNNNNNNNNNNNNNNNNNNNNNNNNNNNNNNNNNNNNNNNNNNNNNNNNNNNNNNNNNNNNNNNNNNNNNNNNNNNNNNNNNNNNNNNNNNNNNNNNNNNNNNNNNNNNNNNNNNNNNNNNNNNNNNNNNNNNNNNNNNNUUAGAUGAACAAUGAGGAAAUCAAUAUUUUGAAAUAUUGUGAUCUUCUUCUUCUUCUUCUUUUAUUAUUAUUAUUGGCUCAUUGUUAAAUGUUUUGGGCGCAAAAUACAAUAUUGAAGAUAAAUAAAUUGUGUUAAAUAAUUUGUUUACAAUUUGGGUUAAUUAUAAUAUUGCAGUAUGUUAAAUCUCUUAGAAUAGAGUGUAUUGAGUAGUUUUAUUGGUGUUUUAAAUAAACAAAAUUAAUUAAUUUAAAAAGUCUAAGUAAGGAUUUUUUUUUUGGGAAUUUUAAAGAGUAUACAAAGAAAAACUUAUUUUUUCAAAAUUAGUAUAUGAGUGUAUGAAAUAAGAAAGUAUUCAAAGUAACUUUUAAAGUACAAAUAGCCCCACCUACGAAUGAAUUAUAUUAUUUUAAUUUUCUAAUCUAGGGUUUGUAAAGUCAACUAAUUAAUGAGCUAAUUAAGCUCAGAAUUUUGACAUAAUUUUAAUCAAAAUCAACAAGAGAAUCAUGUUUCCGGCUAGUGCGAUGCAAGAGAACAAGCGAGUUAAGCACAGUUUUAAACUUCAACGUCAUUGCUUAGCUAAUUGAUGAAGAAUUUAAAGAUAAUUAAGCAUUAAUGCUGGAAUGGACAGCCAGACAAAAAAUGGAAAUUUAAUGGGCCUUCUUGCUUUCACAUAGUCUUUAAUUUAUCAUCUGCGAAACUCAGAAAAUUAGAUAAAUUAAUAAAGCCCAGUAUUCGUUGUACAUAUUGGAGCAGCAGACCAUGAACUUUUUUUUAAUACAGCCAUGAAAUAAUCUUCAUUAAUUAAUGUAUUAAUCUCCAUUAAUUUCUUCAAUGUUCUUGUUAUUGCACGUACUCAUCAAAAGAGAUGGCGAGGGAAACUAUUUUAAGUUACCUUUCUAACUAUGCAGACAAUUUUGUGAGUUUAUAUAUCCCCUUCUUUGGAAUCUUUAUCAUCAUAAUUGAAUUAUAUACAUAUUUAACUCCUUAAUGAAUAUCAUAUUAACGAACUUUUGGAGCCUUGCAUUUGUAAAUUUAUUGAGUAGCUAAUUUAUUAAAUAAACCCACAUUAGGAGUAUGUUUUUAAAAAUAUAGAUUUUUUUCUUUAUUAUUUAUUAACUAAACCCACAUUGGAGUAUAUUCUUAAAAUUAUAGAUGUUUUCUUUGUCAUUCAGAAAUGUUAUCAAUAUGAAACUGCAAUGAUUCAAAAACUUAAUUUAAUGACAACUAAUAAAGCCAAAAAUUCUCAUAUUUUCUAUAUUUUCAACUAAGAAUUAAAUUUCAUGGCAGAUUUACUAUAUUGUAAAUCAACUUUUACAAUAUUGUAAACUGACUUACAACGCCAUAAAUUUAUCCUAGAUUUCAAUCCUAAGUCAAAUAAGCAUUAUAUAUGUGUGUAUGUUUAGCUUCACAUGCACAAAUUCAUGGAUUAAUUUUGAGAGAUUUGUAGAAUCCUUUAGCAACUCAAUGAUUGAGGUAUCAUGACAACCACUUCUCAACAACUUAAUAAAAGCACUUUAAACCUUAAUUUAAUUAAAAUUAAGCUCAAAAUAAGUGCUUGUUAACUUCCGCUUAAUUGGUGUAUCUUUGAGGAUCAUGAUAAAAGCCUGUCCGCUUAAUCAUACUAACAAGAACCUCAUUAUUAGUUGUAUAAUGUGUAUUAAAACAAUGCAUAUACUUUUUUCAUUAACUAAUCCACUUUCAUCACUAAUAAUAUAUAUCUUGUCCACAAAUACAUACAUAUAUAUAUAUAUAUAUAUAUAUAUAUAUAUAUAUAUAUAUAUAUAUAUAGGGUAAAAGCUCGUUUAGUCCCUAUAUUUUGAAGUUAGUGCCCGUUUAGUCCCUAUAUUUUUAAAAAUACCUCAAACCAUCCCUACCAUUAAAUUAUUGACACUUUUGCCAUUAUCUUUUGUUCUUUUUAACUUAUUUUUAUAAUAUUGCCCUAUUAUAAUAAUUUUUUAGACAUUAUUAAAAAGAAAAAAAUAACCCUAUUAUAAUAAUUUUUUUAGACAUUAUUAAAAAGAAAAAAAUAAAUUACCAGUUUAACACUAAAAAAUAAAAUAAAAUAAAAAAUAUAUAUUAAUUUUUGUGAAACACACUCUUGAGUUAAAAUAUUAAUUUUUCUAAAAAAAUUGAUAAUGUAAUUUUUUACGAUAUUAAUUUUUUAGACAUACGUAAGCUUCCACAAAAAUUAAUAUAUACCUUUUUUGUUUUUAUUUUAUUUUUGAGUUUAAUUUGAUAAUUUAAUUUUUUAUUAAUAUCCAAAAAAGAAACAUUAUUGUAAAAAUGUAAUAUUGUAAAAACAAGUUAAAAAUAAUAAAAAAUAAUGGCAUAAGUGUCAAUAUUUAGUAGCUGGGACAUUUUGAGGUGUUUUUAAAAAUACAGGGACUAAAUGGACACUAACCUCAUAAUAUAGGGACUNNNNNNNNNNNNNNNNNNNNNNNNNNNNNNNNNNNNNNNNNNNNNNNNNNNNNNNNNNNNNNNNNNNNNNNNNNNNNNNNNNNNNNNNNNNNNNNNNNNNNNNNNNNNNNNNNNNNNNNNNNNNNNNNNNNNNNNNNNNNNNNNNNNNNNNNNNNNNNNNNNNNNNNNNNNNNNNNNNNNNNNNNNNNNNNNNNNNNNNNNNNNNNNNNNNNNNNNNNNNNNNNNNNNNNNNNNNNNNNNNNNNNNNNNNNNNNNNNNNNNNNNNNNNNNNNNNNNNNNNNNNNNNNNNNNNNNNNNNNNNNNNNNNNNNNNNNNNNNNNNNNNNNNNNNNNNNNNNNNNNNNNNNNNNNNNNNNNNNNNNNNNNNNNNNNNNNNNNNNNNNNNNNNNNNNNNNNNNNNNNNNNNNNNNNNNNNNNNNNNNNNNNNNNNNNNNNNNNNNNNNNNNNNNNNNNNNNNNNNNNNNNNNNNNNNNNNNNNNNNNNNNNNNNNNNNNNNNNNNNNNNNNNNNNNNNNNNNNNNNNNNNNNNNNNNNNNNNNNNNNNNNNNNNNNNNNNNNNNNNNNNNNNNNNNNNNNNNNNNNNNNNNNNNNNNNNNNNNNNNNNNNNNNNNNNNNNNNNNNNNNNNNNNNNNNNNNNNGAAGAUUUUUUCUCUUUAAUGAUAAUUAAGUGAACGAGUCUUAGUUAAGUCUCUAUUUUAUUUUUCUUUAAUGAAUUUAUGUCUCUAUAAGAAAAGUAUUAUUACGCAUGCAUGCCAAGCAACAAUAAUCUUGAAACUGGGGAUGAUUUCUAAAGGAAGAAAUUUUGGACCACAUGAUCGGCAGUGAUUCAAUUGUCCUAAACUCUGAAGGGCUUUAAGUAAUUUUUAUAUCUUCAUGAACCACGAUUUAACUAAUCAUUUGCUUAAUCUAAUCAGUAAUUUCGAUAAAUAAUGUCAUUGCGUUAAGCAGGCUACACAAAUUAAUCUUUUUAAUUAGGUUAUGCACAAGCAUAUAUGUGUGCUUCAUCUUUUAAUAACAUUCGUAGAAGUAAACUAUAUAUAUAUCUAUGAAUCAAUUAAUUAAUAAUUAACCAAAAGUGAGCACGCUUUAUCUUCAUUCUCACUAGGGUUACUCACCAAAACCCUAUGUGGGCUAUCUAAUAUUCUUCAUAAUUUUUAAGCUUGUUGGUACAGGUGCUGCAAUCUCCUUAAUCCCACCAGCUUGUUUAAAGAAGCAGAAAUUAAUCGAUCAUUAAUUCACAAACAGCCACCGACCAUUCAACAAGGAACCAAACAAAUUAAGAAAAUUUAAUUUUGAUUUUAAUGAUCUCCACACGUCCUAAAAUAUUACACUAGACUUGUUUAAUGAAGUUUCAAUUAUAUAAAAUGCCAAUACAGUGUACAUGAACCAUUUAUCACGCGUUCUGGCUACAAAAUUAUAAGGCUUAGCAAAAUGAAGUAUAAAAUUUCUUUUCUGCAAAAGGAAAGCCUUCAAACUAUUGGAAAACAAUGCAAAAAAAGAAAUUAUAUAUUUUCGUUGUGGAAACUAUAAUGACCUCCACACGUCAUAUAGAGAGCAAAUAAUAAAGCCUAAUGCUGGAGCACUAAUUAGGACUUGUAAAUUGUAAUAGGUGAUAAUAAUAUUCUCUAAAUGCUAAUGCAUGAAUCAUGAUUAGUUCUAAAACACAAGGAGACAAGUUUGGUUAUUGAGUGUAAUUAAUUUUAAUCAAAAUUUUAAGCAUCGUUCAAUGUGGGAGCAAGUUAUAUAAGUAAAGACAAUCAAGCAAAUAAUUUAAGCAUAUGCAAUUAAUUAAGCCGUCGAAUAGAUUACGACAAAUGAUUUCUCCUUCCUUAAAAAUGAUAUUCAGUGCUUUAAACACAUAUAUUAAGCCGUCGAAUAGAUUAUGACAAAUGUACCAAUUAAAGAAUAGCACAGAAAAUGAGCAGCUUCUAAUUCGAUCCCACAUGAGUAUUAUGACAAAUCAGCUUCAAAUGGAAACUUAACCAAAGUUAUCUUCNNNNNNNNNNNNNNNNNNNNNNNNNNNNNNNNNNNNNNNNNNNNNNNNNNNNNNNNNNNNNNNNNNNNNNNNNNNNNNNNNNNNNNNNNNNNNNNNNNNNNNNNNNNNNNNNNNNNNNNNNNNNNNNNNNNNNNNNNNNNNNNNNNNNNNNNNNNNNNNNNNNNNNNNNNNNNNNNNNNNNNNNNNNNNNNNNNNNNNNNNNNNNNNNNNNNNNNNNNNNNNNNNNNNNNNNNNNNNNNNNNNNNNNNNNNNNNNNNNNNNNNNNNNNNNNNNNNNNNNNNNNNNNNNNNNNNNNNNNNNNNNNNNNNNNNNNNNNNNNNNNNNNNNNNNNNNNNNNNNNNNNNNNNNNNNNNNNNNNNNNNNNNNNNNNNNNNNNNNNNNNNNNNNNNNNNNNNNNNNNNNNNNNNNNNNNNNNNNNNNNNNNNNNNNNNNNNNNNNNNNNNNNNNNNNNNNNNNNNNNNNNNNNNNNNNNNNNNNNNNNNNNNNNNNNNNNNNNNNNNNNNNNNNNNNNNNNNNNNNNNNNNNNNNNNNNNNNNNNNNNNNNNNNNNNNNNNNNNNNNNNNNNNNNNNNNNNNNNNNNNNNNNNNNNNNNNNNNNNNNNNNNNNNNNNNNNNNNNNNNNNNNNNNNNNNNNNNNNNNNNNNNNNNNNNNNNNNNNNNNNNNNNNNNNNNNNNNNNNNNNNNNNNNNNNNNNNNNNNNNNNNNNNNNNNNNNNNNNNNNNNNNNNNNNNNNNNNNNNNNNNNNNNNNNNNNNNNNNNNNNNNNNNNNNNNNNNNNNNNNNNNNNNNNNNNNNNNNNNNNNNNNNNNNNNNNNNNNNNNNNNNNNNNNNNNNNNNNNNNNNNNNNNNNNNNNNNNNNNNNNNNNNNNNNNNNNNNNNNNNNNNNNNNNNNNNNNNNNNNNNNNNNNNNNNNNNNNNNNNNNNNNNNNNNNNNNNNNNNNNNNNNNNNNNNNNNNNNNNNNNNNNNNNNNNNNNNNNNNNNNNNNNNNNNNNNNNNNNNNNNNNNNNNNNNNNNNNNNNNNNNNNNNNNNNNNNNNNNNNNNNNNNNNNNNNNNNNNNNNNNNNNNNNNNNNNNNNNNNNNNNNNNNNNNNNNNNNNNNNNNNNNNNNNNNNNNNNNNNNNNNNNNNNNNNNNNNNNNNNNNNNNNNACUAACAAAGCUUUCAUGUGAUGCAUGUUCCUUCCCACCAUCGUGCCUCCGGAAGGUAUCUUUCACAUCAGGAUAUUGAGUUACGUCAUUUAACUUGAUUAAGUAAAGGUAGUUUGUUAAGGUUUAACUAGCUAGUUUGGUAAGGUUUAACUAGGUUAGAUUUAGGCUUGGUUUUUAGAAUUUUCACAGGUAAUCAAGAUGGUUCUCAAAGUCCAUUCUAUAUAAGUAAUAGUGGCGAGAUGCAUUAAGAAUUUAGUCGAGUGAUUUUUGAACAAUUUUUUUAAAAGAUAUACCAUCAUAUAUCACUUCAUGCACUAAAUUAGUCACAAUUUAAUAUAAUACUAAUUCGGUAAUUGCAUAAUUCAGGCAUCUCCAAACUCCAAGGAUCACCUUUAAAAUUUUUUUAAAAAAAGUACGACAAUAUAUAUAUAGGAGUCUCAAAACAAAAUCUAAGGAAAUAUCCUAACAAUUGGUGGUGAUCACAUAUCUUAUCAAUGUUUGAGUUUUGUUUCAAAUAUGUUGACAUUUGGCAUUUACUAAAACACACGGUCAAGAUUUGCUCUUUCGUUAAUUAUUUUUCACUAUCUUCUCAAACUCUUAAACGAUAACGUUUUUACUCCAAAAAAAAAUUCCAUUUCGCUGAUCUUUAUGAUUUUCACAAUUUCCGCCUCAAUCAGAUUACUAUUUCUCCAUCAGCUACUGUUUCUUCUUUUCAACAACUGUCCAUUAUAAUACGAAUUUUGAGAAAGCCAUUGAUCAUCGGUUUCCCUGCAUCUUUCUUCGUUCUCCUCCUCUACCCCUUAAACUAGCUCAUGCCGCAAAGUCAGCUCGCGUUACAUCUAGUCCACAAGGAUUGAAUCACUGUGAUUAAGGUCUUGUGACUUGAUUUUUUAGCAAUGAGUCCCAGAAAAUUAAUAGAAAGUUUGAUUAAUCAGAAACACACAAGGAAGAUCAAAUUCUUUUCCUUUUUCUUUUUCUUUUUUUAAACAAAUUUUAGAACCUGGCCCAUAAAGAAAUCAUCACCAUUUAUAAACCUAGCUUGAAACCUAUUAUUUCAUUACUAAGAAACAACCAAAAUUUUUAUCCUUGUAAAAAUGGAAACACAAAGAAAUCAACAGUUACUGGCCGUCGAGAUUGAUUAGUAUGAUUUUUCUUCGAACUUUAAUUUCAUCAUUCUCAGCAAAAAAUUAGCGUGAUAGAAAAAUUUCAAUAGAAUUAAAAAAUAAUAAUUUAAGAGGCUGAGAAGGGGAUGAAAAGAUUAUUAAUUUAAGAAUAAAUCUUGACCACACAUUUUAAUAAGUGCCACAUUUUAAUAGAUCCGAAAAAGCUCGAUGCUGAUGAGAGUUGAUCCCUACAAUUAUUGUUGCUCUUGUCAAGUUCAACGCCUUUAAAAUCACAACAUAUACUUGAUUAUCAAACUCAUACAGCCUGAAAUUAAAAAUUCGGUCGCAUAUAGAACCCUUUCAUAAAAGACAGAUUUACCAGAUUAUGUCACCCAGACUGAACUAUCCCUUAAAUUAUAAUGAAUGUAUAUAUCUCAAAUUAGAAUAAUUAACAACUUGCAAUCUGACGAAACAUUAUAUAUAAUGCCAUUUAAAAACUCUAACAUCGUUUUCUAAAUUUCCUUUUAUGGAAAGAAAUUCAACUAUUUUGAUGCCGUUUGAUGUGAAUGCCGGUCCAAUUAUAAUGUUCAAAACAUUGCUACAAGUCAGAUAUGAGUGUAAUAAGAAUUAAUAAAUAAUUAAAUUUUUAUUAUUACAUGGUGAUAAGAUCAUUUCAGAAAUUAUUCAAUGAUUAGAAUGUUGGAGGAAUCGAAGAGAUCGUUGUUGUUAUUGGCCUUAGCCUUUUCUAAUAAAUGUAUGGAGGGCAUGCAUUUAUCAAUUUGCUAGCCUGACGUUGACAAUAGAGACCAGGACUAAUAAUGAAUUCUUUUUAAUUAGAAUUAAAAAUGUACAAUUAAGGAAAGUCUUGUUGUCGGAUGAUCACAGCCACACGAGUUGCUGACUUUGACUUCAUACUCUUUUUGAAUAGUCAACUAUCGCCCGAGUAGGUUAGCUUAUUCACUAAUGGAAUCUAAUCUACGCUUCAAAUCAAGUGGGCACCAAUAUUAGUAGCUGCCCAUAUAAGCCACAUUAUUCAUGUCUACUGCUCUCAUCAACUCAAAGAUCAAAUAAUCAAAUAAAGGUAUGUGUUUUAUUCGUUUAAAGGCUUCUUUGUUAGAGUGAUGAGUUAUAUAUAUCAAAUAAAUUAAAUAAUACUCGGCUUUCAUAUAAAAGUUAUCAUUGGAUAUUGGUUAAGUGAAACGGAAAUGCUUAUUAAUGUAAUUAAGUAGCUUUCCUUUUUAUUUUUUUUCUUUUUGUAAGGUAGCAAUGAAUAAAACUCAAAUUAAUUUUUUAAUUCUUAAUUUUCUCAUAAUUCAAAUUUGGUUGACCAGUUAAAUACAGUUAUUUGUGGCCAAACCCUUGCAGAUAAUUUUAUUAUAUAGCUUAAACAAAAUUACCUACUGCAAGGCUCAAUUUAAGCAAAUAUCAUUGGCUAACAAAUUUGGUAAUUUGACGGACCGAAAGAACAUGACCUCAAUGAUUGGAACUUGAAGAUGGUUGAUCCAAUAGGACCACUAUUCCAGUUAUUAUUUAAGUAACUUAAGUAAGAUUUAGGCUUCUAUCCAGAAGAUUAUCGGAACCGUAAUUUAGAAAUCAUAAACAAGAUUUAGGUUUCUAUCGAGAAAUACGCAAGGGUUUGGCAGUUGCUCAUUGGUCAAUUAUACAAGUAAAUAAUAUCAUUUAAUUGUCUAAACUAGGGUUUGUAAUUUGUUAACGUCAGCUGAUGAGAGCUAAACUUAUUUAGCACUCUAUUGUGUAAAUAAUGCCUAGGAAAUGUCGUAAGUUUAAUCAAAUUAAGAAAGUAAGCGAAUCAUGUUCCCGGCUGGUGCCAUGCAAGAAGACAAGCUAAUUAAUUAUAACGUCAUUGCUUAGCUGAUUCAUGGAGGAUUUAAAGAUAAUUAAUCAUUAAUGCCGGAAUGAUUAAGACCCAAAACAGGAAGUUAAAUUGGGAAUCUUUCUUGAAAACUCAUCAGAAGAUUAGACAAAAUAAAGAAAGCUCAGUGUUUGUUGGAUUGGACCACAAGGCCAUGGAUUAAUACAUCUUCAGUUAAUGCGAUUGUUAUUGCAGUACUCGUCAAAACCGAUCUGUCGAGAAAACUCAUUUGAGUGGCUUUUCAACGACUAUGUAUUAUUGAUAUACAUAAUUUAUGUUAUUUGAGUUACUUUUCUUAGUUUCUUUGGGAAUCUGCAUCAUAACUUCAUUAUACUUUAAUGCCUUGAUUAGUAUAAUCAUGUCUUAAGGACCGAAGAGAAGUUCUUGGAGCCAUUUGUUUCUUGCCUUUAAAGGAAAGCUAUGUUGGAGUAAUUGUUAAUGCAUCCACUAAUCAUCCACGUAUAUUAUUUUCCACAGGAAUUAUAUUAACAAUUUUUUAGGCUAUAAAUGCUAGCUGUUACUCAAUCUCUAUCCGUUUCGCUGGGAAAACUUUAACUAGAUCGGGGUAAAACAAUUAGCCAGUGAUAGUAUGACUCGCUACAUUUAAUUUACAAAAACAAAAAAACAGAAAUCUGUGAUGUAAAUAUGUUUUCGUUAAAAUCUACUUUAUUAUUUGGGUAAAAGCUCAUUUAGUUCCUGUAUUUUAAGAUUAGUGACUAUUUAGUCCCUAUAUUUUUUAAAAUGCCUCGAAACAUCCCUGUCGUUAAAGUAUUGAUACCCCUACCGUUACUUUUUAUUUAUUUUGGCUUACUUUUACAAUAUUAUCCUUUUAUAAUAAUUUUUUUUGUUUGGACAUUAAUAAAAAGAAAAUAAUUAAAUUACCAAUUUAACCCUAAAAAAUAAAAAUGAAAAAUUUAUAUUAAUUUUAAAUUGUCAAAAAUUGUAUGCAAACCUAUCAAGAGAGCAAAUGGAGACUUGCAAAAAAAUAAAUAAAAUUUUCUUAAGGAUAAAAAUAGAAAUUAAUUAUCUUUCAUAUUAAUUAAUUGNNNNNNNNNNNNNNNNNNNNNNNNNNNNNNNNNNNNNNNNNNNNNNNNNNNNNNNNNNNNNNNNNNNNNNNNNNNNNNNNNNNNNNNNNNNNNNNNNNNNNNNNNNNNNNNNNNNNNNNNNNNNNNNNNNNNNNNNNNNNNNNNNNNNNNNNNNNNNNNNNNNNNNNNNNNNNNNNNNNNNNNNNNNNNNNNNNNNNNNNNNNNNNNNNNNNNNNNNNNNNNNNNNNNNNNNNNNNNNNNNNNNNNNNNNNNNNNNNNNNNNNNNNNNNNNNNNNNNNNNNNNNNNNNNNNNNNNNNNNNNNNNNNNNNNNAAUGCCUGAAUUGUUCUAAUAGGCAUGUAUGGAUGAGAAGACAUUUGCAGAAUCACCGAGCAACUUGACAAAUAUUAGGCGGGGCAUAGAAGCACUUUUGAAAUCUUAUGGCACCUGGCUCUGAGAUUAGCCCAUGCUCUUUAACCGUUAAUUAAAAGCUCAAAAUCAUUAUUAUAAUGAUAAUAAAAUUUAAAGUGCUUGAAAGUCCCCACUAAUUAGUUAACUUGUGUUAUGGGGGACCAUGAUUAGAGGUCACAGCUAUCUAUUUUAUUAACUAAUCCACUUUCACAACCAAUAUAUAUAGAUCUUGCCCAAAUUAUAAAAUUAGCAUGGCUCAAAAGUGAGGCCAUGCAUGUGCUUAAUUGCAAGCACCUACUCUUUUGUGACCCAAAAAAUGCCGACCCACUUGAUUAUUGGCAAAUCGGUAACCUCGAUCACCUUUUUUCUUCUCCCUUUGGGGAGACUACCAGAAAACUAAUUAUCAAAGGCAAAGAUAAUCCCAUUAUCGUUAAGAUGAACAAAACUUGUGCAAACAAAGCAAGUUUUUCGAUCGUGACAUUUAAGAAGUGUCAUGCACUAUUAGUUGUCAUGCACUAUUAGUUUUUGGACCACACCAACAUAACUAGCCUGGCCACAUAUGGAAGCCAAUUAAAUGGAACACUUUAAUAUUUUCCAUUAAUGGAGUAUUACUCUGAUAGAAAAUUUUGUCAUUGAUUGUAGUGAUUAUAACGAAUAAGCUUACACUGAUGGGGCUAUAAACUGAUUAUUAACCUUCUGAUUUUUAUAAUGCAGAAAUGCAUAAUUAUUUCAUCACAUAAUUCUGACUGUUUAUUUAUGCAUGGUUGAUUAACUAAAGUCAACUUAUUUAUUUUCAUUCUUAUUAUAGGGCUGUCACUAUGGACUUAAUUGAGUAAUCAUCAAGCAAAUUUUUGUAGUUGAUCACUCAAAUUCAAAUUUUGAGAGGAUUCGAGCUCAUAUCAAAGGGUUUUAUUAAAAAAUAUAUAUAUGAAAGAGCAGCAGAAUAAGCUUGUUGGGCAGAUGUUAAUGUUCAUUAUCGUUGGUAUCUAUUUCAAUCCCGCAGAAACUUCCCAUGAGAGGAUUUAAAAUCGUUGGGGUGAAAAAAAAAAGAGUUUGUUUUAUAAAUAAUAAUACAAAAAUUAAGGAAAGUUUCUCAUGCGUUAAAAAAAAAAAAGUUUUCUUGUCGGAUAAUCCCAGCCACACAUUUUCCCCACUUUGACUUCAUAUUCUUUUUCAAUAGUCAACAAACACCCAAUUAGUUAGCCUGUUGACUAAUGGAAUCUAUCUUCAAAUAAUCAAGUGGGAACCUCUGUAAAAGACACACGAUUGGUUCAGAAAUCUUUUUGUUAGAGCGAACACUUCAUCUGGUGUAAGAUAGGGGUGGUAAAACAAAUGAACGAAUUGAAUUUGAAUUGAAUCGUAAAUGAAUUGGGUCAAAAUUCUAGUGAUUCAUAUUCCAUUCAUUUAUUAAACAAAUUCAUAUCUCAGGAUUCGGAUUCGAUUCGUUUAUUAAACAAAUAUCCAGUUCAAUUCGUUUAAUUCGUUUAGUAGAAUUAAUUAACGAAUCGAAUAAAAUCUAGAUUUGUUUAUUAUUCGUUUAUUCUAGUACGAAUCCAUAACAAAUCGAAUCAAAUCAUUAUUCUUUUACAAUUUGUUUAGAAAAAUAUAAUUAAUAAAAAAAAUUAAGCAAAAUAAAAUUUUAAAAAGCCACAAAUUUAAUAUCCUACAACAAAAUACAAAUAACCCAAUCUAUAGUCUAGGAUUAAAUAUAUAGUCAUCAAAAUACCAAAUUACAAAUCCUUAAUAAUACAAAAAACCCUCAAAUUUAAAAAAAAAAUUCAAAUAAAUUUGAGGACAAAAAAGUAAUUUAAUUAAACGAAUAAUAAAUGAAUUUUAAACAAAUCGACAUGUAUUCGAUUCGCUUAUGAUCCCUUUAUUAAACGAAUUCUAAACGAAUCAAUAUCUUCAAACCCGAAUUCGAUUCGUUGAAUUAGCGAAUUGAAUCGAAUUCACUCAUUUAUUAAACGAUUCAAUUUUUUCAAAGCCAAACUCAUUUAAUUCGCAUUGAAUCAAUAAACCCUAUAUUUCCACCUCUAGUGUAAGUAAUAUCAAAGAGUUAUUAAAGAUUAUGAGAGAUUACGAGGCUUUGUAAAGUUAAAUUGAUGUAACUUACAAUUCACUUAUGAGUUUCCUUAAUCGAUUACUCUUAAAAAAAUUGUAAAAAAAAAAUGACUAAUGAGUUUGUGAGUUUUAUAAUGUAACUUACAAAAAUAAAUGAGUUUUAUUGACAUAUUAUUCAUUUAUGUAUGUUUUAAGUGGGUUAUAAAUUACAUUAAUUAUCACUUAGUAAAAGUCCCAAAAAUUAGUUGAAUCGACAAUGGUGAUUAACUAAGUAGCUUAAACAAGAUUACGCACUACUAGAAGGCAAAAUUUAAGCAAUAUCAUUGCUAACAAAUUUGGCGAGCUGGACCCACAGAACAUAUAAAUCUGACCUCAACAAAUGGAAACUAGGAGGUGGUUGAUCCAACACUCUAUUAACUAAGUUAUACUAUAAUUAUCCAGAAGAAUAAUGGAACCCUAACUUCUUAGUAACUUUGAAUUUAUAUACCAUAAACAAGAUUUAGGUUUCUAUCUUGAUAAAUCAUUGAUGAUUUUGAUGUGAAAUUAGUUUUUUCUUUUUUCUUUUCUUUCCAAUUAAGCAAGUAUACAUAGAUUAAAGUCAACUGAGGAGAGCCACACACAUAUAUAUAAAUAUAGAAUUAACACUUUAUGGACUAAUUAGUGCCUCGAAAUUGUCGUAAUUUUAAUUCUAAAUAAGAAAGUAUGUGAAUCAUGUUUCCGGCUUAGUGCCAUACAAUAAGACAAGCUAAUUAAAGACAGUUAACGUCAUUGCUUAGCUAAUUAUCAUGGGUGAUUUAAAGAUAAUUAAGCAUUAUUGCCGGCAUGAUUAAAACAAAAAGUAAUAAUAAUGAUGGGGUUUCUUCCUUCAUCUUCUGUAUCAUCUGCCAGAAACUAAGAAUAUAGAUAAAAUAAAAAGAAAUUAAGCAUAGUGCUUGUUGGAUUUGACCACAAGGCCAUGGAGAUAUAAUGUGUUGUUCUUCAUUGUGCUUGUUAUUGCAUUGCUCAUCAAAAGCUACUUUUCAAAAUUCAAACAAUGUAGACAUUUUUUUUUAUGAGACUCUUUAUCACUUUUCUUAGUCUCUUUUGGAAUAUAUCCACAUUAUAAUCUUAUUACAUUUUAAUUCCUUAAUUUCUAUACAUCAUCAUAUUAAGGACCACAGAGAUCUUGGAGCCUUAUGCUUGUUUUUUUUUUUUUCAAAAUUUUUAACAGUAAUCGAUUAAGGCAACCCAUAUUGGAUUAAUUGUUAAUUAAUAAACUAAUCAAGCUAAGCCACCCAGCUAUUUUCUUUUCCACAUGAAUUAUAUAUGUUAACAAUUUAAAAAUUGUUACGCUAUCAAAGUAUCAAUGCUAGCUGUUAUUCCAACCCUUUCUUUCUAAAAGGAUACCCCAUCCUUUUCGCAGGAGAAAACUUCAUAUAGAUCGGGGGCAACACAAAUAGUCAGUGACAUGACUAGAUUUAUUUAUUGUGACGACCAAUUUCUUAAACAGAUUUUUAACCGUGAAAAUUAAGUGAAUUUAAUGCAACAUCUAUUUAUAAAGAAAUUAGUAAAGGUAUAAUCAUCUGAUGUUUUAGCAAACAAUUACGUGAUAGACCACAUUAGCUUAUAAAUCAUAGCUGAAAGUAUUUAUCAAAGAUUUAUAGUUCUCCUACAAAUAGUACCAAUUGAAGCCAUAAUGUCAUAUAUACAUUAUUUGUCAUUUUUAAUCAAGAUUUUUUUUUUAUAAAUAAGCCCAAAUUAAUUGUGUAUGCGAAUUUGUGUGGUCAAAUAAACAAUGCUUGAAAGCUAGUCAAAUAAACCCUGAGAUAAUCAAGAUAAUUUAUUACGUUAGAUUAACAAUCAUAAUCAUUUCUUAGGUGAAGAGAGGCCCUGAAUCCGUAUUUAUAUCACAUAUGCACUAAAUCAUUGUAUUGCACAGAUGGAUUAGAAGAGAUUUGUCGGAUCAUUGAGCAAACUUUGAUCCCUAGGCGAGGCAGAGAAGCACUUUUGAAAUCAUGUUGCAGUUGGUUCUGAGAUUAGCCAAUUAAAAGAAAGCUCUUUAACCGUUAAUUAAAAGUUCAAAUCGUUUCUCUAAUGAUAAUAAAAAGUGCUUGGAAAUUCCCACUUGAGUAUUUAUGGGGAUCAUGAUUAGAGCACUUAGCUUGGCUAAUCAUACUAAUCUAGAAUCAAACAUUGUAUCUUUUUUAUUUAAGUAAUCCACUUUCACAACUAAUAUUUAUCAUCUUCCCCAAACAUGGCUUAAAAGUGAGGCCACGCUUUUUGUGACUUAAAAAACUAAUGCCAACCCAAAUGUGAUAACUGGCAAGUUCGCAAUCUCAUUUUCGUUUCCUCCUUUGGAGGGAUUGGACAAGAAAAUUAAAUAUAAAAGCUAAGGUGCAAUUAAAACAAUAAGCAAGUUUCGAUCGUGACAAAUAAGAAGAGUCAUGCACUGUUACUUGUUUUCUAAAGGAGGUAAGAUUAAUUGGACCACAACAACUUUAAUCUAGCUUGGCCACAUGAAAGCCAACUAAUUAUUAGGACGCAGGACACUUUCCAUUAAUGGAGUAUUCGGAUCGAAAUUUUGUUAUUGAUCAUACUAACAGAGAAUGAGCUUUCUCUGAUUGGCGUAUAUAUAUUAAUUAUAAAUAAACUAUAAUGCACAAACGCAUCAUCAUUUCACCAAACACACACACACACACAUAUAAUUCUCACUACUUAUGCAUUGUUAAAUUGAUUAAACUCAUUAAACCAAAGUCAGCGUAUUUUAUUUUUGUUCGCACUAUAGAGCUGGGUAUGCAGAAGAAACCCUAGCUCGUAUCAUAGUUUUUUCUUUUGAAAAAUAAAAUUAUAAAAGAGCACUAGAAUAAGCUUGUUAUUUGGACAAAUGUUAAUGUUCAUUAACGUUGGUAUCUAUUCCAUCUCACCUUAAAGAAAAGCAGAAGUUUCGCAUGAAUGCCUUCAAUUAUUGAACCAAAACUAAAAAAUAAAUUAAUAUAAUAGAGAGACCAAAUCAUUAAACAUAUCUAUGUGUGCUGGAAAGGAGAAUGAUCUUCACACGUCUUUGCUAAAAUAUUAUACAUCUCCUUUUGGGAAACACCACUAAAAGCCUUGAUCGCACUAAUAUAUGAUUUGUUUACUAAAUACUGCUUAAUGCAUGAAUGAAUCAUGCUUUGGUUUUUUCACAGAAAUAAACAGGUAACUUGAGGCCAUAUUGCUCUAGCACCUAGCUAGCUAGCUUUAUAUCUCCAAUGAAAUCCUUUUAUUAAAGGAUAUCUCAACGGCUAGAAUACUCUCCAAUUUGUAAUCUAUUUUCCGGAAAGAAAAAAAAAAAUUGUAGGAACCAUCUUAAUUAUACAAAUCAUUAAAACCUGCAUUCUCUUGAGAUAGUUUUUCUCUUUAGAAAUUUGAGAAUUAGGGUUCCAGUAAUUGCUUGACCCACUCAACAGCUAAAUGAACUGAGCACGCGACAAAGCUCUAAAUAAUUAUUAAAGCUCGAAAAUAUCAUAUCUUGAUAGUGAGGAAAAAUUAUGAAAUCCCUCAAUAUUUGAGGUAAUCUUUUUAGAUAUAACACCCUACUUCUUAGAUAUAACAGAAACCUACGGUCGUUACAACGUUAACAGCCAGGUUUUGGAGCAAUUUGGUCCCAAUGCAAUUGACAAAUCUUACACCUAUCACACGUCUACUGAAUGAGAUAACCGAGUCUUAGGUGAUGCCAUAGCACACUAUACUAGACUAUCAUUAAAAUCACGAUCGUUUCAAAUUUAAUAAUAAGUGUACUUGUGGCAUAAUGCAAUUGAGUGGUGACUGCAAUAACGUGGCAGCAGCGAAGAUACCGGUUAGUUCUUUCUUGGUGUGGCGCGGCCAUGCUUGGUGCUGUGCAAAGCCAACCCAGACCGCAUAUGCGGCCAAUUGAUAGCUCUAGAUGUUGCAUCUUGCGAAUGUGGCUUGUCCCACCUACAACCUAUUCAUUGUUGAAGGAUAUUUGUAUUACAUACCGGCAGAACAGGCUUUCAAGACCCUAGCCACCAUCGACGUCGCCGAAUAUUAAUGUCUCUAACCGUUUAUUUUAAAAUUAUAUAAAGAUUAAAUUGGUUUGGGUGAAAAAUUAACAGAAAGAGAAAAUUCAAUUUUUUUUUUUAAUCCAUUGUCUUUCAAGACUUCUUUCGUGUAGAAAUGUCUAUCUACUCAAUUCUGGAGAAUUUAUUCUUUUUCGUAUUCUUUUACAUUAAAUGGAUAAAAUUAAUGGUAGUUGGUAGUUUUGGGUUUGACGUGUAGAAUGUGAUUUUGAUUUGAGAAUUGAAAAAAUGUUUGAAUUCGUUUGAAGGAGAGUACUGCACAAAAUUGACAUGAUUCCCCAAAAUAAUUCUUUUUGCUCUUAUUGGAAAAAAUAAUACAAUUCAAUAUUACCUUUAGUUAAAAGUUUAAGGGCCAAUUUAUGAUUGUGGUCAGUGGCGGACUCAGAAACUAAAAUGAGGGGGGCUUAGUUCAAAAAUUUUAUUUAACUUAGAUUUUUUUUUAAUGUUCACUUGAAUACAUUUUAAGUCUUAUAAACUCAAAUUUUAUUAUUAUUUUUUAAAUUUUAAAUAAUAAUAAUAAUAAUAAAUUAUAUUUUUUUAAAUGCGUGAAAAUAUCAUUUUUCGAAGUAGUAUUUUAAAUACGUGAAAAUAUCAUUUUUCGAAGUAGCUUCCACAAAAUAUUUUAAAAAAUAAAAUAAUAUAACUAAUGGGAUUUGAAUUAAGAUUUGGAAACCAUUAAAUAACACUCUUACCAUUGAACUACAAGUCUUUUAAUAUAUGAAAAAAGUGUCCAAAAUUGUUUAUCUAACUUUUUCAUAAGGGACUUGGGGUACAUUUAAAAGAAAACUUAAUAGCCCGCGCGGGGGGGGGGGGCGAAUGAAGCCCCUCCUAGGCCUUAAUUGGGUCCGCCCAUGAUUGUGGUGGCUUGUAAAAUAAGUUGUUUCUAUUGUGUGAAUGAAAAAAGUUGUCUUUAUUGUGCGAAUGAAAUAAGUAACUCGAUGUUUGGUAAAUUGUGUUAUUGCAAUUAUUAAUAGUUUGAAAAGCAGAGUAUAUGCAUUUAAUAAAUUUUAUUAUCAUAGGAUUAUUUUGUUAUAUAAUGAUCAAAAUAGACAUUCAUUUAAAUUAUCUUUUAUUUAUAUAUUAUAUUUUAUGGAAAAAGUAAGAUAUAAUUGUGGUUUUAUUAAAAUCUUAAAGUUAUAAUAGGAACUAUAGAAAAGGGUAGUGAUUUAUUUAAUGAACUACUUAUAAAAAGUAACCUCUACCUACUUUUAAAAAUUACUAUCAAAAUAGACAAAUUUUUGAAGUAAGCAUCUUUCGAAAAAAUUUACAAAAUACUAUUUUUUGAUAAAACAUAUGAAUAAUCUACUUAUGCCAUUUCAGUGGCAAAUCUCAGAAAUUAGGGCAGUCAAAAAUCACUAUACUAUUAUAUUAAAAUAUUGACCAUAAAAUACUCCCAAAAAAAAAAAUAUUGAGCAUAAAAUAAAAAUAUUUAAGCAACUGACAUGUUUUACUAUUUAGGUGGCGUUUGUUUUUUAACUUAAUGACUGAAAGUAACUUAACUUAAUUAAUUAAGUUAAUUAGAGGUGUUUGUUUUUAUAAUUUAAUGAGACUUUUUAGAUAAUUUUGACUUAAUAAAAUAAGCUAAUUUUUUUGGCUUUUUACUUAAUGGAGAAAUCUGAAUUAAGUCAAUUACUUGCUAAUGUCAAAAAUAUCCAUGUUUUAUAAUUUAUUUUUCAUAUCUAUCCCAAAACUCACCCAUAGAUAUUUACCCCACAUAAAAAUAUCAAUGUUUUUUCUUUUUUAUAUUAUAUACGAUAAAAUUUGAAAUUUAUGGUAUUUUAUUUAUUAAAAUUCCAAAAUAAUUAUGUAUUCACUUGAAUAUAGUUUUACUUAUAAAUAUUAAAAUAUUGUGGUAUUUAAUAUAUUAUUUAUUUGACAUUCAAAUUUAAUAAGGAUACAAAUGUAAAGUACAUAUUUUCAGCUUUUUAAGUUAAAAAAAAUAACUUAAUACUUAUUUUCUGAGAUUCAGAUGAAAAAACAAACAUAUUAUUCAGAUUCAGACAUUCAAACCUAUUCAGAAUUCAGACUAAUUCAGGUCUAUUCAGAUUUCAAACAAAAAAACAAACGCCACCUUAGUCUAGUACUAAGGUCUAGUGUGAAGUAGAAAAAAAAAGUUUUAUUUCAGUAGUUUUUGAAAAGAAAAACAUGAAUAAUUACGUCAAAUCUAAGGGGUUGUUUUAAAAAGUUUUCCCUAAUUAUAACGAUAUUGACAUUUCUAGGAAAUCCCAUAUUAGGGUCGUUUAAGAAGUUUUCCCUAAUUAUAAUAAUAUUGAAAUUUCUUGGAAAUCCAUUUUUGUGUUUAUGGGCCACGUAAUUAAAGCACUACUCAUCUUCAUUCUAGUCACGCUAAUACAUAUUUAUUUUGUUAGCUUUUGAUGCAUCUUUUCUUGAUUAACUAACCUACUUUUCGAAAUGGCGUAUGGGCCAUGGCUGAGAGCGACUACAAUGGUAGAAAAAUUGAGAAUGAACAGAGAGAGAGAAAGGUGGAAGAAUGAGGCCAAUAAACAGAGCAACGAGGGGCAAAUACACACAAGAGGUGAGGUCGGCACAGAUUUGCAGCGGCAUCAAGCAAGAGAUAGUAACAGUGAUCCAGAAAGCGAAGGCGGGUUAACCCGGAGUCAAGAGGAGGAGAAUACGGGUGGGCCAAGGAUGGGAGAGGCAGGAAACCCAAAAAAGUCAAUAAAAUGCGGCCAAAAGCUGAUACAACCAGGUGGGGUUGACAUAGUAUUUUCAAACAAGUGGAGGUGAGGCGGGAAAAACGUGCACAAAUGAGAGGGAAGAGGAAAGAGGAACUGGGCAACGAAAAAAUGAGAAGGAAGAAAACAAAAGUGUGCAUAACCCAAAUGAUAAGGAGGCCCAAUUAGAAAAAAACGCAACACAAACCCAACUUGAAGCAAAAUAUGGGGAAGCUGAUGAGCCGAAUACAACAAGUUCAAAGACAAAGAAACGAAAGUGGAAGCUCCAGGCUCGAACAGUAGAGAGAAAAAUGGAUACAAACAACGGGUCAAAGAGAUUAAAGAGGCCAAAGGAAGACAAUUGUGAAAGAACUUCAGCUGAAAAACGGAGGAGAAUGUGCAGCCAAAAAAAUAUUACACUUUGCUCCUCAACAGAAACAAUAACAAAUGGGAGGGAAAUGAUUCAGUAUGGAGAAGUGGAGAUGACAGCAGCAACAAGGAUGGAAGAAGUAACGGCGGAUGCUGGUUGCCAGCCCCGCCGACAGCAAUGAAAGUCAUCAGCUGGAACGUUCAGGGACUGGGGAAUGACCGAGCGUUCCGUGAAACCCAAAAGAUUCUCCAAAUGCAUAGGCCUGAGAUUUUGUUCUUGUGCGAAACUAAAAUGAGAUCCAGGCAAAUGCAGGAUAAAGGUAAGAAGUUCAACUUUGAUAAUUGUUUUGUUGUGAGUAGUAGAGGUAGGAGUGGUGGGUUAGCUUUGUUAUGGAAAUCGGAGGUAGUGGUGGAUAUAAAAUCUUUUAGCCAACACCAUAUAGAUGCAGUAGUUCACUUUGAAAAUGGUAGCUUGUGGAGGUGUACGAGGAUUUACGGGCAUCCUGAAACAGAUCAGAAACGUCAUACAUGGACUUUACUGCAAAGAUUAGCUGGGUUACUCUCGUUAUCAUGGCUUUGCUUUGGAGAUUUUAACGAGAUUUUAAAGUUGGAUGAGAAGACUGGAAGAAAUGAUAGAUGUGUGGCUAGUAUAAAGGAAUUCCGCGAAGCUGUCUAUAGAUGCGAUCUAAAAGAUUUAGGCUAUAACGGCUAUCUGUUUACAUGGUCUAACAGGAGGUUUGGCCCUAACUUGGUUGAAGAAAGAUUUGAUAGGUUUCUGUGCUGCAAAACUUGGGGAAGCAUGUUUCAUGAAAUAGCUGCAGAGCAUCUUGAGACAUGGACGUCCGAUCACAGUCCAGUUCUGUUGAUUGUGGAAGAAAGAGGCAGAAGGAAGCAGUACAGUAAAAGAACUUUCUCAAGGGUCCAUUACGAAGAUAUGUGGAGCCCUUAUGAGAAAUGUCAAGAGAUUAUUUUUUAUGAGUGGCAAGCAAAGAGAAGCUGGAAUUGCGAAGAUCCGAUUUCACAAUUUAAAAAGACAGCAAAAGAUUCACUGGCCGAGUUAAAAUUGUGAAGCAAGGAGGAAUUUCGGGGCAGAGAGGAAAAAUUGGAAAAGCUGAUACAAGAGCUGAAGAUUUACAGGGAGAGCAGUAAACAAUAUUGCACUGGAGUUGAACUAAAGGCAAUAGAGAAACAAAUAGACGAUUUACUCAUUGAUGAAGAAGUUUACUAGAGACAAAGAUCAAGGGCUGUGUGGUUACGGGAAGGAGACAAAAAUACAAAGUAUUUCCACUCCAAGGCUACUGCAAGAAAUAGGAAAAACAAAUUCAGAGGAAUUGUUGACGAAAGGAACAAAUGGACGAAAGAAGCUGAUGAAAUUGAGAGGAUCCUUUAUGAUUAUUUCGACAGCAUGUUCACCUCUAAUCAUCCAAGGAUGCAUCAACUGGAGUCAGCGCUUAAAGGCAUGCCUUGCAAAAUUUCAAGUGAGAUGAAUGCACACCUCGAUCAGCCCUACAUAGAAGCUGAAAUCACAGAAGCUAUAAGUCAAAUGCACCUAACAAAAGCUCCGGGCAAGGACGGUCUUCCAACAGCCUUCUUUCAAAAGCACUGGAAGUCCGUAAACUAAGGAGUCAUAGUUGUCUGCCUGGGUGUCCUUAAUGAUGGAGGUAAUAUCACCCCCUUGAAUCAUACGUUUAUUGCUUUAAUUCUGAAGAUUGACAAGCCUAGGCAAGUGGGGGAUUAUAGACCUAUCGGCCUCUGUAAUGUUAUUUACAGAAUUAUUGCGAAAACUGUGGCAAAUAGGUUGAAGCUAAUUUUGAAUCAUGUUAUCUCCCCAACUCAAAGUGCCUUUGUUCCUAAUAGGCUCAUAACUGAUAACAUAAUCAUAGGUUAUGAAUGCCUUCACAAAAUAAGACUUAGCAAAGGGAAGAAGCAUGAGAUUGUAGCUUUGAAACUAGAUGUAAGCAAAGCCUAUGAUAGGGUGGAAUGGAAGUUCUUGCAAUGUGCUUUAGAAAAAAUGGGUUUUUCCUCAAAAUUUGUAGGGCUGAUUAUGAGAUGUAUAACUACACCAUCCUUCUCGGUGUUGAUAAAUGGGGUAGCUAAAGGGUUGAUUAAGCUGUAAAGAGGGCUAAGGCAAGGAUGCCCUUUGUCUCUAUAUUUAUUCAUUCUUUGUGCAGAAUUUUUUUCUAAUCUCCUAAGCCAAGUCGAAAUAAACAAGCACAUUCAUGGAAUCAAGUUCGGCAAGGAGCUCUCUAUCACCCAUCUCUUAUUUGCGGACGACAGCUUGAUCUUCGUAAGAGCCACAAAAGAAGAUUGUUGGAGAUUGAAAUGAGUGUUUGACUGUUAUACUAAUACCUCAGGCCAAAUCUUUAAUUUCGAAAAGUCAUCCAUGUUUUUUAGUCAAAACAUAAAGCAUGAGCUGAUCUCGGUAAUAAAUGACACUUUCCAGCUGCCAUUGGUCUCUAGACAUGAGAAAUACCUUGGGUUGCCCUCAAUGAUUGGUAGAAACAAGACCACUUUCUUCAAUGAUAUCAAGCUUAGAAUUCUCAGCAAAAUUUCCAGCUGGCAGGCAAAGCUGUUCUCGUGUGGUGGAAAGGAAAUUUUGAUAAAAGCCGUGGCCCAAGCAGUGCCGGCAUAUGCUAUGAGUGUGUUUAAGCUCCCCUUAGGUCUCUGUGAAGAAAUGCAAAAAGUCAUAGCUCGGUUUUGGUGGGGGAACAGCAAAGACCACAGGCCAAUUCAUUGGAGAAGAUGGGAGCAAAUGUGUCAAGCUAAGAGUAGAGGGGGAAUGGGUUUUCGAGAUUUGUCUAACUUCAACCAAGCUCUUGUUGCAAAACAAGGUUGGAGGAUUAUUCAAGAGCCGAAUUCUUUGGUUGCGAGAAUAAUGAAGGCUAGAUAUUUUAAGCACUCAAGCUUUAUGGAGGCAAAAGCUGGUUAUCAACCAUCAUUCAUAUGGAGGAGCAUUCUUUGGGGGAGAGAAGUGACUGAGAAGGGAUUGAGGUGGAGGAUUGGAAAUGGUGAACAAGUGAAGGUGUAUCAGAGUAAAUGGCUUCCAAGACCUGACACUUUCAAGCUGAUAUCCCCCCCCCCCCAAAUUGCACUUAGAGACAUCUGUUUCGGAGCUCAUUAAUGAAAAGCAUGAAUGGAAUGAAGAGCUGAUUCAACAGAAUUUUUUUAGAGUCGAUGCAGAGCAGAUUACAAGAAUCCCGCUCCCAAGGCAACCAAAUCCAGAUCAAGUAGUAUGGCACUAUGACAAGAAGGGGGAGUACUCGGUGAAGAGUGGCUACCAAUUGGCGUUAAAGAUGAAAACCCCAGACAUGGCUAGUUGUUCAGAGGAGAAGCAGAAUUUUUGAAACGCUAUCUGGUACCUUCAAAUUCCAAAAAAAGUAAAGAUUUUCAUGUGGAGAGCAUCUAAUAACUUGUUGCCAACUAUGGAGAAUUUAUGGAAGAGGAAGGUGGUGCAAUUCCCUCGGUGCCAGAGGUGUUAUAAAAUGGGAGAGUCCAUCUUUCAUGCUCUUUUUGUGUGUAAAGCUUCUAAAAAAAUAUGGCAGUUGACUUGUUUUGAAGAAGAAAUUGGGCUGUGCAAAAACAAUGAUGUAUGCAGUUUUUUUCAAUUUAUGACGGGGAGAAAAAACAAGGCUGAAAUGAAGUUGAUGGUUGCACUGUGCUGGAGUAUAUGGCAUUCAAGGAAUCUCCUCAUUUUCAAAAACAAAAGAGAAGAUUCCCAGUCAUCAGUUGUGGCAGCAGAAGCAGUUGUGCAAGCUUACAGAAGAAUCCAAAUGCCACUGGUGCAAGAAGGCUCAAAGCAUGAAGAUGUUGUCCAAAUGAGGUGGAAACCUCCUCCAGUAGGCUGGUUCAAAGCUAACGUGGAUGCAGCAGUGAAGAUUGAUCAGCAAAGAACUGGAUUGGGAGUAGUCAUAAGGAAUCCAGAGGGCAAGGUUGUAGCAGCAGCUAUGAAGACCACAAUCUUUUUGGAUAAAGUGGAUUAUGCAGAAGCUGAAGCAACUCAGUUUGGGUUGGAGAUAGCAGAGCAAGCAGGUUGCAUUCCAGUGAUUAUGGAAUCUGAUUCGCAAGAGGUUGUGAGCUUAAUGUCUUGUAAAAAAAGCACAAGAACUGAAAUAUUCUGGGUUGUAGCAGAGGUUCAUGAUCGGAUCAAAAGGUUAAAGCAUGUAAAAGUGCAAUAUACUCUAAGAAAUUGUAAUAGUGUAGCUCACUCGCUUGCAAAGCUAGCACUAGAACUUAAUGAUUUUGUCUGUUGGGUGGAUGAUAUUCCAGACCAAUUUUUGUACUUAUUCACAUAGUUGAUGGAAUGAAAGUAUUACUUUCUCUAAAAAAAAAAAAAAAAAAACUAACCCACUUCCCCCCCCCCCCCCCCAAAAAAAAAAAACUAACCCACUUUUCAUCAUUAAUAUUUCAACCAUUCUAAUUAAAGCGAAGCCGUGAAUUGCAUGUGCUCGAUUCAACCACCAGAUCGUGAUUUGUUUUUAUUUCUCCUCUUCUUUUUUUUAAUUAUUAAAAAUAAAUUAUAAGCAUAUUCUAAUAGUGUUUAAUCAAUUUAUUCAUUCUUUCUCCUUUUUGCUAGAAAAUUUAUAAAUAAUAACCCUAGAGUAAACUUGAGCUAGUUGGAUUUAAUGAGGAGAAAAGGCCUACGUGAUGACUCUUAAUUAAGCCUCUAAGCAAAGUAUUAGUGCAUGUCAAGCGACCAAUUAUAAUAAUAAAACUUGUGUCGGUUACUAAAGUGAGGAAAUCAAAUUCUCGCUAUAUGGAGCACGUUCUAAUAAUAAAGUAUUAACCAUCUUAUGAUGCACACAAGCUCCAUACAUACUUAAAAAGCAAUCGUACAACUUAGUUAUAUAUUUAAUCAUCAAUUAGUUAAACAAAAGUAAACUAACUUUCAUUAUCUUCAUUUUUAUUAGUUUAGGGUUAUGGACCAGAAACCCUACAUGGGUACCUAGCUUUUUCCUUAAAAAGCAAAAUUAAAAAAAAAAAUUAAUCUAAGCUUGAUUGACAUAUGUUAAUUAAUACGCAACCACUCAAUCCCCACCGGCUUUUGUUUCAAGAAGCAGAAAUUGAUCCGUUUGCAAACAGCCACCAACCAUUCACAAAGAAGCAAAUUACAAAAUAUGUUUUUUUUUUUUAUUCUACAAAUUAGUUGUUAUGAUCUUCAUAUCUCAUAGAGUAAUAAUUAAAUUAGAAUUGCAUAAUUUAGUUAAUUAAAAUCGAAAUACAUUGUACAAAGAAGUAGAAUUUCUUUAAAUUAAUGGAAAGCCUUUAGAUUUUAUAUAUAUAUAUAUAUAAUGCAAUAAUGCAAAAGAUUAUAUAUAUUUUAGUUAUUGAAACUUUAGUGAUAUCCACACGUCAUAUAUAAUAUAGAUAGAAUAACAAUAAAAAAUCAAAAAGGUAAUAGAAAAAUCUAAUUUGCUCUUGAUGUAUACUCUAUUUCAAUAUUUUGUUGAAUAUUUUCUAUUUGAAAUCUUAUUUGAUUGGGUAUAUACAAUACAUUGAAAGUACCUAAAAUUUUCCUUACAAUAAUAAAGAUAAGUUUGGGACUGAUGUGGUUGAUAAAAUAAAUUGUUUCCACUAUACUAAUAAAAUAAGUUGCUAAACGAAAAAGUAGCUAUAUGUUUGGCAAAUUGCAUUGUUGUGAUUACUAUGAGUUUGAAGAGUAAAGUAAAUGUAUUUGGUAAACUUUAUUACAUAAGUGUUGUUCCAUUAUGCAAUGACCAAAAUAGACAUAAAGUUAAUUUACCUAUUAUUUUUAUAGAGCAAAUUUAAUAAAUUUUCUAAACAUAUCUAUAAACACACAUACUCACUCACUCUCUCACACACACACACACACACAUAGACAAAAUUUAAAGAAAGUGAAAGAAAUUCAAUUAAUUAAAAUUUGAUGAACUUUAUAAUACCGAAAUAUGAUAAAAUUCAAAGUAUAGUACAUAAAUUUAAAUAAAUAAAAUAAAUAAUACGUUGAUAUAGUCAUAUGGUAAGGUUGUGGCUAGCAUACUUUAUGAAAAAAUAUGACAUAUUCGUCUUUUGUUUAAAAAAAAAAAACUAAGGUUGCAAUAAAAACUUUAAAAUUAUGUGAUAAGUUAUGUGUUAAGUUAUUUAGUAAGUUUCUAUUAAAACAACAUCCUAUUUGCUUUAGAAGUUACUAUCAAAAUAAAAAAUAAAAAAUAAAACAUCUAUAAAAAAAAAAAAAAAAGUCACCCAACAUUAACUUUUUACCAAAUUUUUUGAAAUAAACCUCCUUCAACGUUUUAACCAUAAUCUUAAAUGAGACCUGAGCUUGUGUGAGUUAUGAUGAGCUAGCUAACACUAACUUUUUCGUUACAAUAAUUAAUAUUCUUACAAAUUGUAAAAUACAUGAAUCAUGUGCUUGCUUUGCUAUCAAAUACAAAGAGACAAGUCACUCAGAGCCGUAGAAUUCAUAUAUGGUCUAUUAAUUAUUCUGAAAUCACUUUUAAUCAAAAUCUUAAGCAUCGUUCAAUUUGGAAGCUAGAUAAUUAAGAUAAUCGAGUAAUCCGUAGAAUUCAUAUAUGGUCUAUUAAUUAUUCUGAAAUCACUUUUAAUCAAAAUCUUAAGCAUCGUUCAAUUUUGAAGGUAGAUAAUUAAGAUAAUCAAGUAAUUAAUUGGAGUAUGCAAUUAAGCUAUUUCUCCUAUCGUUUCUUUAUAUUGACAAUUGACGAAGACAAAGAAGAUUUUGAAAGGAAAAAAUAAUAUUUAAUAAAGAAUAAUCAAUAAUGGUGGACGAAUCACAAGGCACCACAUAUGAAUUUGCAUGUUUCAAAAAUACUUGUUAAUUAAUUGAUAUUGCUUUCGUCAAAGGGAUCGUUGACGAAACCAUCACUAUCACGUGUCCAAAUAAAAGUGAUGCUUAGUGCUUUAAACACGUACUUGCAUUGCCUAAACUUGUUUACUAAAGCACUAUAAUUAAACCCCGCUAAUUAAUCACAAAUGUGCCAACUAAAGGGUAACAUGGAAUGAGGAGUUUGGAUUCGACUUUGAUUUGUCAUCAUAUUAAACGCCUUAGAUCGUCAAAAAAAAAAGUUCUAUCAAAUGAAAUGGGAAUCAAAUUUUGGAUUAAUACAUAAAUGAGGAUCAUGACUAUUAUAAUUAAUUUCAAAAUUUUAUCUUAUAUAACUACCGUAUUGAUUCCUAGAACUUGGACACAGAAUAUAUUUUAAAAAAUAUAUAUUCAAGGUCAAAACAUACAAUAAUGUUACAAAUGUAAAAGUCUUUAGUUAUUUUUCAAAGUUGAGUCUACAAUUCUUGAAUUUGAAUUACAUUUCUCAAGUUAUUCAUGCAUUUUAAUUGGUACGUAACGGUGUAGUAGGCCAGAUGUUAAGCAAUCGAUGUUUGGCUUUUAAUAUUUCAAUAUAAAAUUUUCUAUUAUAAAAGAUAAUAAUAUUAAUAAUUCAAUGUUUGGCUAUUAUUGUUGUUGUUAGAACAAGAAGAAGAAGAAGAACAUUUCUAAACAACAAAAUUUUUUAGAUCAAUAACUACAAAACGCGUUUAAACUUUGAAAAACAAAUGCUGAAAUGAUAUUAAAUUAUAAAAUCAAAAAUCUUGUCAAUUUAGAUAAUUCAAAUCAUAUUUUUUGAUUGCAAAUAAGCUCAUGAGUUUAGAUGUUGGUCUUUAUAAUUUGCCAUGUUGUAGCACUCUUUUUUUUUUUUUUUUGAAAUACUAUGUUAGAAAAUACAAUACAACUAUUGAUAAAUACAAUCUACUAUGUCUAUUGAAAUAAAUCUCGACUCAUCAAAGUUGAAGUCUAAUAAAUCUACUAGAAUCUAUUUCGACAUAUCAAAGUUGAAGUCUAGUUUAAAAAUCUGAAAUCAAAGAAAAUAAGAAAUUGAAAUAAACUCUCACUCAAACCCUCGACUUCAAAAAUAAAAUUAAAAAAAUGUAUGACCUAAUUCUUUUUUCUUUUUAAAGACGUUCAUUCUUAUUUAGAUGAAUAGAGAUAGUAUUUUUAAAAUAAAACCCAAAAUUUCAAACUGUAGAUUAAUGUAAACAACUUCUAAAAUUUCUUCAAGUCAAUGUAUACAUAUACAUUUGGCAAAAGGAUAAGCUCAAAUCAAUCUUAGGUAAGCUAUCGGCUCUCUUCUUAGCCUAAAGUCUUUUACAAAUGACGCAAUCCGCUGCCUACUGCCUCCCCUAAGGUGUCUGUCCUUCGAUCAAUUUUAGAUUUUUUUAAUUUAAAUCCUUAUCAAAUUUUAAUUAAAUUACCAAGUCAAUAAUUAACCAUUAAUUUUAAGUUAGGUUACAGGCACGAUUCACAGGAUCUCUUUAGGGCCACUACCAACAGGCCACAGCGAUUAGCUUUGAGAUUAUCAUGACACUUUGUUCACAACUAUUGGCCAUUUCCAUUUUUUUUUUAAUAAAAGAAAGUUAAUUAAUUACGAUAAUUACAGAUUUAAUCUUUGUUGAUCUCAGGGGACAGAGGACUAAAGCACUUAGCCUUUGAUCCCACUAAUUAAACAUUAUAUAUAUGUGUUUGGAUUGAAGAGGAUUUUUUUUUUUUGCUUAAUUUUUUACCAUUUUUUAUAGUUUGAUUUUGUGACUGUAUAAACCCAUAUCAUUAAAACUUGGCACGUGUUCAAAGGCAAUCCAGGCUUAUGCUUUUGAGUCAAUAAAUGCAGUAAUCAACGGACACCUGUUAGUUAAUCAAUUAUUAAUUAUUAUGCCAAGCUUUUUAUGUUACUUUCCGAAAAUACGAAAAGCUACAAAAAUGUACUAAUCUUCCAAUAAAUUUAUCUAAUAAUUUAAAACGUUUUAGAAAUAUUUAUCUGGAUUGUGGCACCUUUUCCACAACAGAACCAAAGGACCGGCCGAACAAUAUACAGCACAGUAAAUGCAACAUAAAAAAUAAGAUUUCCAUUUUUAUUUUUUAUAUUAUUUUGGAAACGAUCACCCUAUACCCAACAGCAAUUAAAAAUAAUUAAAAACCUAAUUAGUGUCAAAUGACGUUGCCUUAUCAAUUUCAAUUUUGUACGUAUACGGUGUAGAGGAUUUAUCUUUGCUGAUUUUGGUGACAUAUUACUUUUGAUCUUAUUCAGCUUAUGAGUACACCUAAGCUAGGACUUUUUUACUUAUUAUUAUUAUUAUUAUUAAUCCUCGAUACAUUGCAUACUAAUUUUCAAGAGAGGUCGUGUAACAAAAUGAAUGGUAUAUUAAUUUUUUGGUACACCAAAAUAAGUUACAUAAUGAUAAAAUGGCGAUUCACAUAUUUCUAUUUCUGUAUUUUGUAAGAAUUUUUUUAUACCAUUUAUUGUUGGGCCUUAAAUCGUUGAAUUAAAAAGGCAACAAAACCUUUCAGCAUAUAAAUUGAUAGUAUAUAAAAAUUUAACAUUAGUAUCUAAAUUAAGAUUAGAUUAUAUAUAUGUAAAAAUGUCACGUUCAUGCAAUGGUAGAAUCAUGAUUUUAGCAUGAAGAGGUCCAAAUGAAAAUUUAUGUACUUGAUUAGACUAUAACAUAAAAUUCGUAAAAUUAAGAGGCCAAACAGCGAAACUAUAAUGGAUAGACUAUAACAUUUAUUAGGUUAUAUAACAAAAUAAUGUAAAAAAUAAGGGCGCCAAGUGUAAAAUUCAAAUUAAUAUGUAAAUUUUCAAUUUAGUUUUCUAUUUUUCAGUAUUUUUUUUUAAUUGGUGGUGGCCAGGGCCAGCCUCCAAUAAUUUGCAUUUUUCCCUUAACAUUUUUGCCAAGCAUGAAUUAGAGUAAUAAAAAUUUAAAAGAGACGCAUGUGGUAAAACAAGUUAUGGAAGGAUCAAAAGUGUCAUUUUUCCAUAAUAAAAGUAAUUUUUUUCCAUUGCAAAAAAAGUCUACUUGUUAUUAAAAUUAGAACUUGACAAUACAAUAAUACACAGCAUUAAAUCGAAUUUAAAAUUUGAGGACGUCCACAUUUCAGACUUUUUUUAAUUUUUUAUUCUGUAUUGAUAAUAAAUUUGUCAUGCUCUCUUUGUUUCAUUUAUGGGAGAGAAGUAGAUGGGAAGCCGGUGAACGCAUUGCAAGCAAGUGCAUGGAUUUAGUUCUUCCUUAGCUGCGGUUUGUUGAUUAUUUAUGACUAAUAUAUUUUCGGGUCACAUCAAGCUGCAAUAGGUGUCAUUUACUUCAUUAAUCAGAUAAAUAAAUAGGAAAUGAAUUUCCAUGCGGCUAUUGUUUUGAGGAUUGAAGAUUAUUGCCACCAGUCUAGCAUUACUCACCUAUAAACAUUGAAGUAAAUUUUGAUGAUGUAAUAAUAUAAAAAUUGGCAUUAGAGGUGCACUUUAUUACUCAUCUAAUGGAGUACGACGGAACACAUGUCAAGAUUUUAUUUGUCAUAUUAUUUUAUAAGUUCUACAAUUUUAUAAAUAAAUUCUUGACACACCCCGUCUUAUAUGUUAUAAUGCAUGACAACACGCAUAAAAUCAAGACUUUGGAGCCAUACACGACUUUCUCUACAUAAAAAAUAAUGUAACGUUUUGUUACAAAAUAAUAAUGUGUUAUUUUAAUUUGAGCUAUGAUUACGAUCUCUUAAGUGUUAUAGUUCACAAUUUAAGCACUAUCAAAUAGUCAAAUUUUUAUGACUGUAUAUGUGUAUAUCUAUAACGUCUAGACUACAGAGUACGGGACCCAAAAAUAUCAUAAUUGGACCCUUUAAUGUGUAUUGGUAAAAUGCAAAUGCAAAAUUAAACUAAAGUAAAAAAUUAUCAAAACUGGCUAUAACUAUUGUUUUUCCCCACUUCGAUCGAAUUCAGUUUUGGGUUAACCGAGUUAGGGGUCAUUUGAACUCGAUUCAAACUUGUAAUCCGAUCUGAACAUGAUUAGAACGAAUCGGAUCAAAUCAAAAAUUCGGAUUGAGUUCGAAUAGAACAAAGCAAAGCAAAUCAACGUGUUUCUCCCAUAAACAAGAAGCAAAUAUACCAUGAAGCAAGCUGUGGGUCGAGGUAGAGCAAGCUGCAGCAGCGAUUGAGGUGCGCAGAUCCAAUCACGAUUCGAUUGAAUCGGAGAAAGUACCACCAAUCAAAUUGGAAAAAUAAUCGAAAAGUUUGGAUUCGGAUCAAAUUCAACCAAAUCUGUUCACAUUAUUUGCCCACCCCUAUGACUUAAAUUAUCGCCAAUUUUAAUAAGACUCACAGACUUACACUUUUACCGUUCCUUGGCAAAAGUCAAAAUAUUUAUGCCUCGUUUAUUUUUUGGAUUGGAGUGGGAAUCUUGAGAAGUGGAAAUCCUUGGAUUAGGAGUGUGGAGUGGGAGUGGGAGUAGGGUGUUUACUUAGACUAAAUGAAAGUAUGUAUUGUCAAUCAGAAUCUUAAUUAUUUGUUUACUUUGUCUUGGAUUGGGAAUAAAUUGUUUUAAAUUAUAAUUUUAUCCUUAUGUACAGAAUUAUAAUUUGUAAUUAAAAAUUAAUAAAAAAUAUAUUUGGAAAAUAAAAUAAAUAUUUUAUUAUAUUUAUAAAUUAAUAAUAAUUACUAAUAUUCUAAUUAUGUAAAUCAUAAUUUUUUAUUAAUUUAAAUUUAAAUUAUGUGAAUAAAAAUUAUUAAUAAUAGCAACACAAAUGAAAUAUUAUUAUUGAUAAUAUAGUACAAAAUUAAUAUUUUUUUAGAAUAAAAUAUUUAUUAUUAUUAAUUGAAUAAAUAAUUAAUAUUUAUUAAAAUUAAUGUUUAAUAUUAUUAAUUUAAAUAUAAUAUUUAUUUAUUUUUAUUUUAUUAAAUUUAAUAAAAUAAAUAUAAUAUAAUUAUUAUUUUUAAUAAAUAUGAUAUUAUUUAUUUUAUUAAAUAUUAUUUAUUUAUUUAUUUAUUUUUAUAAGAAUAAAAUGGAAAGAGGGGGAGUGGAUUCCCACUCCCACCUCCCCCCAUGGGAGUGGAAAUCUCACUCUCCACUCCAAAAUUGAGUGAGACCCACAGAUUUUCACUUCCACUCUUCUUUUUUAAUGUAAGUAAAUACUGGAGUAAAAAAAAUUCACAUUCCACACUCCCACUCGAUAAAAUAAACACUACCUUACCUUAAAGUCUUUUAACAUUAAAAGGAGGGGAAGACGUUUGAUUUGACAAAGCAACCUUUCAUAUCAAAUGGCAAAUCCUGAACAGAAAAUUAGACGGCUAAUCAAUGAUGGGUACCGAAAUUAAGUUGCAGUAGGUAAAAUAACCUAUCUACUCGUUCUUUCUCAGGGCCAAACAAACAAGAAAUAAAACAACAAAACCUAAACCGUGUCUCUCCAAAAACUUGCCGUCACUUUGCACAACACUCGAAACAAAAAUUAAAUCUUAAUUAAUAAAGUAUUAUAUGUAUUUCUAAAUUUUAUAUACUUACCAUAGAUGAACAACUUCACCCUGUACCGCAAUUGUACGAUGCACAAAUGGAGUUCAAACUGAUUGUGGGAGCUUGCUAUGUUACAGACUCUGUAUGUAACACAGCAAAUGGAGUGCUUCCACGCGUUGCAGGAGAGAGGAAAAGCAACCCAAAUUACUUUGAAAUUUGAAAUCAAGUGACGAUUAAAGAUAAAUGUUAGUGCUCGAGAACCUUUCUAAAUUAAAAAAAAAAAAAAAAUGAACAGAGUUGAAGUUAUAAAUUAAUUGAACGACAUUUUAUAUAUGACAAAUUGGUAAUAUCAUUCAAAAUAAGAUGAACAAUUGUUGUUCACUAAAAUAUUCCAAGGUCAAACCGCACUAAUCUUUUAUUCUUGCAGCUAUUUUUGGAAAACGAUUGCCCUCCGCCAGAAUAUCUUAGCCAUUAAUGCUGAAAUUAAGUCUCCACAGACCAUAAAUUCAAUUCAAAAAAUGAAGACAAUAUUAUCUAAAUAAUAAUUUAGUUUUACUGGAAUAAGCUCAAUUUUUUUAAUAAACAAUGUUUUGAAAAAAAAAAAUCAGAAAUUCUAUUUUCCAAAAAGUUGUGUAUGAUGUUUGUUCUGCUUCUGGUCUAACUGGUGUGAAAAGUCAGCUGAACUAACCAGUUUCAAAAUGUAUAUGGAGCAACGACCCAAACAUAGGUCACAGUACGACGCUGUUGAGUGAAAAUAGAGAGGGGGAAAAAUAUAUAUAUGCAGAUUUAUAUCAAAUUUUGACCAUCGGUUUUAAUUAUUCCGAUUCAAUUUCCAAACAUGGGUCAAUAUUGUUGCUGAAAUUUUAUGGGUUCUGACAUGGCUCUUCCAGUUAGAAAUAGACCACGUUCUUAUUUGCAAUUUUUUUUUAAUUACUUAUUUUGAUAAAUUCACAAUAUUUAAGUUUGGUAUAAAAAAAUUCAAAAUUUUGAUUUUGAUUACUCAAACUUACCAAUAAUAUUUCCAUUAUUUAAAAACUUUGUUUCUCUUAAUUCAUCAAUCUUUUACAUUUCCACAUCAUCAGUUAACGGAUUUUAAAAUCCGCGACUAAUAUUCUUAGCAUAUGCGAAAAAAAAUAUUUUCAAUUUUCCUUUUAUUGUACUAGCACAGCAUAGGGAACAAGCACAUGAUUCUUUUAUCUUUAAUUGGAUGAAAAUUCAUGUUUGUGCUUCAACCACAUGCCCUAACCUGAAAUUGUUGGCAUCUCACUACCUAAGACAUUAUGAAUUGAUUUUAUGUAGUGUUUACUUUCUGGAGUAGAAGUGAAAAGUGUGGAUCUCUCUCACUGUGUUUACUUAUAAUUUUUAAAGGGGAGUGAGAAUCUCACUCUGUGAGUCUCAUCUAAUUUUAGAGUGGGGAGUGGGAUUCCCACUCCCAUGGGGGGAGUUGAGAGCGGGAAUCCACUCCCUCCUCUUUUCUUUUUAGCCUUAUAUUUAAAAUAAAAUAAAUAAUAUUUAAUAAAAUAAAAAAAUCAUAUUUAUUUGAAUAAUAAUAUUAUUUUAUUUUAUAAAUUAAAUCUAUUAAAAAUAAUAAUAAUAAUAAAAUAGAAUAAAUAAUAUUGUAUUUAUUUAAAUAAUAAUAUUAUAUUAUUUUAUAAAUUAAAUUUAUUAAAAAUAAUAAUAAUAAGCAUAUUUAAAUAUAAUAUUAUUAUAUUUAAUUAAAAAUAAUAAUUUACAUUGAUUCUAAGUUGAAAUUACUUAAAAAUAAUAUUAUUAUACUCAUAGAGAAUUAAUAAUAUUAAUGUAUUCUAUCUUUAUUUGAAAAUAUAAUAUUAUUAUAUUUAUUUAAAAAUAAUAGUAUUAUAUGUAUUUAAUUAAUAAAAAAAAUUAUUCUAAGAAAAUAUUAAUUUUGUAUUAUAUUAUCAAUAAUAAUGUUUCAUUUGUGUUGCUAUUAUUAAUAAUUUUUUAUUUACAUAAUUCAAAUUCAAAUCAAUAAAAAAAUAUGAUUUACAUAAUUAAGAAUAUUAAUAAUUAUUAAGAAAAUUAUCUACCGUCCACCCGUUUUUUCAUCUUUUUCAAAAAUAUACAAAUCUUUUUUUUUUUUUUGCAGUGCUUCAUCUGAAGUUACUUUUUUUCAUUGGUCUACUCUUGUUAUAACACCGUUAGAAUUUUGCUGACAUCAUAAGGGUAAAUUUGUCAUUUCACAACGACACAAUGAUGGAAAUGUGCAAAACAAUAUAAUAUCAAGUAGAGUUCAGCAAAAAAAAUUUAGAAUUGUGUAUUUUUAAAAAAAUACAAAAAAAAGGUGGUCAGUGAAUAAUUUAUCUUUUAUAUUUGAGGGUAAAAAAGUCAUUUACACAAUAUUUCGUUAGUUUUCUUAACGGUCUCCAAACAGAAGUGGAAAAGUGAAAAGAAAUGUAACUUCAGGUGGAUUCCAGCCAAAAAAAAAAAUUGUGUAUUUUUGAAAAAGUUAGAAAAAACGGGUGGACGGUGGAUAAUUUUACUAAUUAUUAUUAAUUUACAAAUAUAAUAAAAUAAAUAUUUUAUUUUUCAAAUAUAUUUUUUAUUAAUUUUGUAAUUAAAAACAUAAUUCUUUAAAUAAUGGUAAAAUUAUAAUUUAAAAUUAUUUUCUCCUAAUUCAAGACAAUUUAAACACAUAAAUUGAAUUAUAGUUUCAAUUCUAUAUUCAUAUUCCAGUGGAAGAACAAUCUACUUUCACUCCCACUCCUCACUCCUAAUCCCUGGAUUCCCAUUCUAAUCCAAAAUGUAAACGCUCCCUUAAUCUAAUUCUCACAUUCUUGAGCACUUCAAAAAUUUAGCUAUAAGGGAAAUUUUUUUCUCUCAACUACAAAUGGAAACAUUAGAGAGAAUAGAAAAGAAUGGUUUGUUAAAAUUUUAUUAAAAGUAUAUUUUUAAUCAUUCUUUGGUUGAAUAGUAGAUUUCUACUUAUUUCAUAAUUGAAAUUAAAGAUUUUAAAAUCUUUGUGUAUUAUAAGAGUACGUUUUCUCUUUCUAUUAAGAAUUGAUUUAAAAAUGACAUUUUGAACUAGCCUUUAACUAUAUUACAUCAAGGUAAAAUUCUCGAAUUGAUCUCGGACUAGACUAUAGUUUAUCGAGACAUCUCUUAACAAAUUUCUCAUUCAUCUAUAAAUUGAGUUUUGUAAUCGAUAAUUAAUUAAUUAAUUAAAACAUCACACAAUAAAAAGAAGACUAUUGAUCUCAACCAAAGGCACUAUCAAAACAAAAUAUAGAAGUGCAUGCAUAUCUUUUCACCCAAUAUUUGUUUCAUCACCAUAUUACCUCAAAAAAAUAUGUAAAAAAUAAAAAUAUUAAUAAAAAUCAUUAGAUUAGAUUAGAUGGCCCGUCUAAAAUUGUGGAUGAAUUAGGAGGCUUAACAAAACAGAAUCUCUAAAAUAAAUAAGCACAUAUCACACUCCAUUAGUACCGCCACCACUAAUGAGAAAAAAUGAAGAGUCAAAGAUUAGCAACGGCAGACCUAGGGAUGGCAAUUUUUCCCAAUGGGAUGGGAUCCUGCGGGAUCCCAUCCUAUUUGAGACGGAAUUGAGACAUAUUUUUGUCCCAUAAAAAAAUUUAGGACGGAAUUGAGACAUUUUUUUAUCUCAAUUACAUAUGCGGGACGAGAGUUUGAUUGACAAAUUCCGUCACAUCCCGUCUCAUUACCGAUUAAAAAUGAAAAAUUUUUCAAUUGGGAUGGGAUCCCGCAUGAUUCCAUCUCUUUUGGGACGGGAUUGAGACAUAUUUUUGUCCCAAAAAAAAUAUAAAGACGGGAUUGGAAAGUUUUUUCAUCCCAUUUGCAUAUACAGGAUGGGACUGGGAUUGGUAAAUCUCAUCCCAUCCCGUCCCAUUACCAACCCUAGGCAGACCCAAUUUCCUAAAGUGACUAAAAUACCCCCAGGUAAAAAUCGUUUGACUUCAACACCCUCCCCCUUUCUCCGCUCUCUACUCCGACACUCGUAUAUAAAUUUGAGAGCCACAGCUCCUUUUUGGUUUUACGAGGAACGCCCCCAAAUCUUGUUCUCUCAUUCCCCCACUUCUCUUUCUCCUCGGCCAACCAAAAGCGCGCAAAACACAGUCGUUUCAUUCAAUCACUCACCGUGACCACCCACCAAACAAAAAAAGAAAUUUGUAAGUUUUUCGAUAACUUAAGCAUCUUGUUUAUUUAUCUCCAAUUUAGCUAGCAAUGUCUUCACAAAUCAUCAUCAAGAUCUCACUACUCAGCUGCUUCAUCUUUCCAAUUCAAAUCUCCUGUUCCAAGUGCAGCCUCUUUUAAUUUUCUUUAUCUAAAAAGAAAACUUUUGAAUCCUUCGACGAAGAUCUAAAAAAGUUCAAAUCUUUUCAUUUGUUUAUAAUACAUGAACUUCUCUUCUCUGUAAAGUCUCACGAAGAAUGAACCUGGCGUCUUCUUUAUAAUAUUCAAAUUUAAACGUAUUACUUCUUCGCUGUCUCCAUUUCCCCUGCAACUAGUUGUUUUAUAAUACUCUUUGUGCACGCCAUUUUAACGUCCGUUUUGUUUUUUUUGUCGAGGACUUUCAAUUAUUAUUAAAUCAUUAAAAUAUACAAAUAUCCUCACAAAUUGAACUAAACUAUAUAUUCCGUUAAGAGAUUCUAAUUGGCUCUGCCGUCUUUUAAUUGCCUUGAUUCGCAGUGAUCUUCGCUCUGGAAGAUCGAUAGCAAAUAUGGUACGUUAAUGUUAUUAACUCUUGCCCGGCAUCUCGGCUGUUUAUCGGUUUCUUGUAUUUCAAAGUAUCAAGUCCCAUUUUUUUUUUUUUUUUUUUUUGGUUUUUUCAGUCUUCGUGGCCAAAAGUAGUGGCGAGAAAAUGGCUCAAUAUACAAAGCGGAGCAGACGAGUUCGACUCCGAUUACGCAGUUAAAGGUAAAAAAUUUAAUUUCUUACGUAUAUCUCGGGUUUUAAUUGUGCCAUUAUAUCGUUUGCGAUAUCGGAUAAUUACUGGGAGAUCUUGUUUUUAAUUUCUCUCUCUCUGACACUCAACAGGUAAAACUUGUGAGAGAAGAAACAGUUGCUCAGACGACGAUUACUACGUCCUCGUACGGGAAGGUUUCUCAGGUAUUUCUAUUUAUUUAUUUAUAUAUCGAUCCGAAACGACACUGUUUUGAUUUCACUGUUUAUAAUUGCGGUUCUCUCCGGUUACUGGGGGCCGGGGGACAUCUCACAGCCGUGUGAUUAGACGGCUUUGAGUUAACGAUGGGACUUGUAAGAGUAAAACGUGAAUGACCCAGCAGUGAAUUCCUGGUUGGGUCCCGUUAGGAUAGAUUAUUUGAUUGCCACGUGGACGCCGGGAGACACGGGUACAUCAAAACUAGGUUGAUGUUUUCCGUAGCAUAUAGGCAUGUAGCCUUUUCAUUGGCUUGCGAGUUUUUUAUUAUAUUUUAUAUUUACUUUUUUUUUUUACCUAAUUGGGAGUUUUAUUUCUUUUUCACUAAAGGCUGGUUGAAGGAAGCUGAUGCGAUUAGACAGUCAGCCAUCGUCCCGGAGUCACCACCUGUCACCGAUACCGUCAACCUCAAGUAAGUAUUGGCGACUCCGUUUGUUGCACCCUUGAAUUAUUAUUUAUUAUUAUCUUUCUUGCUUAAAAGACACUUAUACCCUUGUUAAUUACAAAUUACAUUUUGUUUAUUAUUAUUUUUUUAAAAUUUUCUAUUAUCAUAAUCAUUUUUUAAUCGCUCUUUUAUUUAGUUUUAAUGGAAAAUUAAGUGUAACUAUACUUAAUAAAUGCCUAAAAGUAUUCUCAAAAGUAACGUCUUUUUCUCAAUUUUUGAUCUCAAAUAAUGCAUACUGCAUUCCCUAUAAAGAUUGGGUUGGUUUAAUUUGGAUACUUGUAAAUUAAUUUUGUAGAUAAAGAAAGAAAAAAAAAAGAGAUUUGUUAAAACUAAUUAAAGCAAUUGGUUUCUUAUGAUUUGGGGUAAGGAGAAAUAAAAAAAUAACAAUAAUUGGGUUCUGUUUUGGACUUUACAGAACGUUCGUGGGGACAUGGAAUGUCGGAGGCAAGUCACCCCAGGAGGAUUUGAACUUAAGAGAUUGGCUAAAGUCAACUGCUCCGGCUGACAUUUAUGUUCUUGGGUAGGCGUUGCUUACAUUACAAAUUAGACCAAUUUGCUUGAUCUUCUUGUUUUGUAUUGACAAUUGAUGGAAUUUUCAAAGUAAUGAGUGGUUUGGAGCCCUACUCUAUCAAUUUGUCAAACAUCUGCUGUUCAAAAAUUGGAAUGAAAAUGAUCGGACGCACCGUUUUUUGUGCCACCUUAUCAUGCUUCCACAGCUCAACAAUAAUUUCCCCACCAGCACUCCACUUGCCCACCAUUUGUUUUUCUUCAUUUUUACCCCAUCUUCAUUCAAUUCUUUUGGAAGUUUCAUUAUAUAUUAUAAUACUGUAAUCCCUUCUAUGCUGAUUGAUUUUGAUAGUUUUACUUAAUGUGUUAUUUUUCGCAUUAGGUUCCAAGAAAUUGUCCCUCUAAAUGCUGGCAACGUACUAGGGGCAGAGGACAAUGGGCCGGCUGCCAAGUGGCUCUCUCUUAUUCGUCAAGCUUUGAACGGCAAUAAGACUGACCAAGAACUUUCUCAAUAUUACAACAAUGCCACUUCACCACAGACUGACCAGGACCAGCAAGGUAGCUUGAAGCCCAGAAUUAGCUUCUCUGACUUGCUAUCAUUGGAAGAUGAACUUGGCCAAGAAGAUUUUGAAAGAUUGUUAAGUUUGCAAUCAAGUUCAAACUCUUCUGAAGAAGACUCGCCUAGCUCAACAUGCAAAUCCGGCAGCCCUAUGCGGCGUCGUUACUGCCUAGCAGCAAGCAAGCAAAUGGUGGGGAUUUUCUUGUGUAUAUGGGUUAGAGCAGAUCUUUAUAAACAUAUUAGCAACUUGAAGGUCUCAUCUGUUGGCCGUGGCAUUAUGGGUUAUCUUGGAAACAAGGUGAGUCCGUUGUUCUUCUGCUUGGUCAUAUAAAAAUAUCAGUAAUAAAAAAAUCAUUCUUACAGAUAUUUUUGUUAACAGGGUUCAAUAUCAAUUAGCAUGACAUUGCACAACACAACUUUCUGCUUCGUCGGUACGCACUUGGCCUCCGGAGAGAAAGAAGGUGAUGAGAUCAGAAGGAAUUCAGACGUUGCACAAAUAUUAAAGAGAACAAGGUUUUCUCAUUCAUAUAUAGAUCCCGCACAGCCACUCCCCCCUGAAACCAUAUUGGAACAUGAGUGAGUAUACUUUUUUUCUUUUUAUUUGUUUCUCUAUUAAAUAAUAUUUUCAUUUCCUUCUUUCGGCUAAAGACUAUUUUCUUUUAUCCUUUUUCCUUUUCAAUUUAGUGUAAUUUUUUGGCUCGGGGAUUUGAAUUAUCGGCUUGCAAAUGGCUAUGGUGACACACAUGAACAGCUAAAGAGAAAUGACUGGCAGGCACUUCUAGAGAAAGAUCAGGUAAGAGACUAAAUAUGUGAAUUAGCAAGUUAUCACAUUUUAAUUGAUUUUUGUUAUGUUGUUGUAUGAUAUUGCCCCAAGCAGUGUUGUGGAUUAAUAAUAAUAAUAGUUACACUUGAAAGGUCUAAUGUUUAUGUGUAUUUUGUUUCUUGACAGUUACGGUUAGAGCAAAGAGCUGGUCGAGUAUUUGAAGGCUGGGAGGAAGGGGAUAUAUAUUUUCCCCCAACAUACAAAUACAUCACCAAUUCUGACCAUUACGUUGUUCAAACGUCUAAAUCUAAAGAAAAACGACGCACUCCUGCCUGGUAAGAUUUCAAAUUUAUCUGCUUCAUCCUAUCCAGCAUCAAUUUCAAUUAAUUAAAUGGAGAAUCGGAACUAAUUUAAUUCCAAGUUGGCGGAAUCUAGAGGUUUAUUAAGUCAGAAGCAAGAUUUAAGCUGCCUUCAUCAUCUAUUCUCUUUAAAUAAAUGUUUUACUUAUUGUCUCUGCAACUUGUUAGUUGUCGGAAACUAACAAUAAACUAAUCUGUGUAAUUUGUUCAUUACUUGAACAUGAACCUCUGAUUGAUAAGAAAAUGUAAAUUAAGGAAACCGUCAUUAAUAUAGUUUUAUCAUCUUCUAAGUCGUUGUGCUGGGGACACUGGGUAUCAAAUCAAAACAGUGGGAGCUGACUUGUGAAUGGGAUCACAUAGUGUUUGCAAGACUUUCAAAUGUUUUUUUAAUGCCUCUUGUUUUCCAUUUUUCAAUGCCAAAUUGAUCAGCCACAAUUAUUGUCAUAAAAGUAAUCAAUAAUCAUGUGAAUACUUUGUCUUAGUGACCAUUUCCGACGGAGACCAUGUGAAAAAUAUUAUUAGGCAAACAUCAUCCAUCAAGGUUUCAUAUUAAUAUAAUUUCCUUAGUUGAUUUAUUUAAGUCGGCAAGUAAAUGGAUUUCCUUUCCUCCCACUAAAAUAUUAUCUAUUGCAACAUGCACAAACCGACCAUGUUUAUUGUAUGACAACACUUUGAAUAUGUGAUUGCUUACAAAGAUUUACAAGCUAAUCUGCAACAACUUUUUGGACACAAUUGCAGGUGUGAUCGGAUACUGUGGAAAGGCGAAGGACUUAAACAAUUGUGUUAUGUAAGAGGAGAAUCAAGAUUCUCAGACCACAGACCAGUUUAUUCUUUCUUUUCCCUACAAGUAAACUCAGCAAACAAGCCUAAGCCUCGCACCAUUAACCCCAAGUCCUGCCCGUUGAAAGUUUCAACAAACAGUGCCUUAUCAUCCUCAUGCGUGGCCAAAGUCCAAGCAGAGGAACUCCUGAUAUUUCCCAGGCCACAAAGCUACAUGGACAAAACACACAGUUUCUGACGAGAGAAUCCUCACAGUGCAAUAGUGAAAUUACAGCUGUGAGAUAGUCUGGUAACUCGGCACAAGCACCGAGAUAAGCAUUGUCCCUGCCUCUUUUUAGCUGUUUGGGACGGCAUGUCUGGUGGGUAAUGAUUUUCAUAUGGAAACAUGUAUAGGCUAUUAGCUCAAGGCAAUACCGUGAUAGAUCAGAAGGAGAGAUAUAAUUAAACUUAAAUGUGGGACUGGGGUGCAUGCUUGCUCGUGGCACGCAUGAUGAAGAUUGGGGUUGCUGUAAAUAUAUGGGAAGUUAAGAGCAUGAUGAUUGGAUGAGUUGGUAAUGGAGCAGGGGAGUGAUUUAUAAGCCAAAAAAGGACAUUAAAGAAAGGAAUGAAUAUAGAAGCGGCUGGAUCACUGGGCACAGGUGUCACACGCAUUUGCAUUUUGGAACUAAUCAAGUGUUGCUCAGUUCUGGUUAAGUGUAAGAGAAUGUGAUCCAGCUUUUUGCAGAGUUAUUUUACUUUUUUUUCUUCCUUUUUUAACUUAUUUUGUUUUUGGGUAGAGAAUUAGACAGAGACUUGAUUGAAGGGGGGGAAGUGUAAAAAUCAAAAAGGAGGAUGGCUUUUAUGUAAGAAAAGUUCUGUUGCAGAAAGAACUGGGAUACAAAAGAGGGUGUCUAGAGGGAGCAUAGAUGUGAGUUGAUGGAGCAUUUGUUCCCUAAAGACUUGCCUCGUUUGUUAGUUUUGUUUGCUAUUACUGUAUCUCAUCCAUCAUUGAAAAAUUUUGCAAUUUUCAAGUUUUCUCAGCGUGUUUGUCAAUAUACAUCAUUCAAUUUGUCUUAUUUUAAAAGCAUAAUAAAUGAGUUAUCAUGCAUUAGACUUAAUCAAUAAUGAUACGUUCAUAACAAGUAACACAAAAAAUAGCAUAUACUCACUCGAAUAUAAAAAAUAAGUUCAUAACAAUUUGUCUUAUGUAUUUUUGUAUUAAAUUUUAUGUUUUUUUUUUUUGUAAAUAUAGCAUUAUUCGGACUUAAUUUUAUGUACACAAACUAUAAUAGCUAACCACUAAAUGUACACUAUUCCCAGAAUGAAUCCCUCGAAUUCCUUCUGAUUAGAAUUCUCGCAUGAUCUGAAUUUUUUCUGAAUAAAAUUCAAUCAAGUAAUAAAUAGUUAAUAAAUUAAAAAGAAAAAGAUAGUUAAAUUUUAGGAAAAUUAUCAGCCACAUAUCUUUAAAUGACACUCGUAUCAAACGUGUGUGAACACUUUUCAAGUGUAUCACUCGUAUAUCCUAAGUUUACAAAACACUUCGGCCGUCCACCAAUCCAUUAACUUCUGUUAGAAAGUUAACAGAAUUAUGGCAAAUUGACUAUUUCGCCCUUGAAACUCAAAAUGAGGUAAAAAUAUAAAUUUACCCAAAAAAUUAACGUAAAUUUUCAAUACACAAUUUUUUUAUUUUUUUAUUAAUAAUACAUUUUUUAUUAAAAAAUGAAUUAUUAAUGGUACAUAAUAUUAACAAUUAUCUAUAAAAAAUAUCCAUAUUAUACUAUAAAAAAUUAUUAACAACAUAUUAUUUACAAUUAUACAUAUUGUACCAUAAAAAAAUUCCAGUUGGAGCUUGGAGAAGUAGAUUUUCAAAAAUUUAGGUUAAAUUUUGGAAGAGUAGAUUCGGUUGUAAAGUAGUUUUUUUUAGCAAUUAUUAACAAUUAUCUGAUAAAUGGGAUGACAUGUCAUUUUUAUUAAUAUCUAUCAUAUGACAUGUCAUUUUUUAAUAGAUAAAUGGGAUGACAUGUCGUUUUUGUUAAUCAAAGUUUCGUUCAUCUUAAAAGACUAGAUUACCCUUAUGAUGUCAGCGUUUGCAAACGGAAGUUAACAUAUUAGUGGACAACAAAAGUGUUUUGUCAACUUAGGAUAUACGAGUGAUACACUUGAAAAGUGUUCACACGCGUUUGAUAUGGGUGUCAUUUAAGAGUAUAUGACUGAUAAUUUUCCUAAAUUUUAAUUAUACACGCGCACUAAAGAACAAAUAGCACAAGAUAUUUAAAAGCUCAAAAGUUAUCUUAAUCCAAUUCGUAAGCUCUAGUGGCUCGUUUACUUCUCCAUAGGGCAGGAAUUGGAAUAAGGUGAAAUUAGAAUAAAUUGGAAUCGGAAUGAGAAAUGAAAAUCAAAAUAAAUUAUUUAAUUGAGUUAUUGAAAUUAGAAUCGGAAUGUGUUGUAUUCUCAUAAUGUGCUUACUUUAUCUUAAAAUCAAAAUUGACCAUUGCAAAUCAUUAGAAUAUCCUUAAUUGCAAUUAUGUAUUUGUUCAUUCACAAAAUAAAUAAUAACUAUUUUUAAUAUAGUUAUUACCAUUGUUAUUACUGUUACAAAUUAUUAUAUUAGUAAAAUAAAUUAUUACUGUUACAAAUUACUAUUACUAUAAUUAUAAUUAUAAAGUAAUAGUAGUAAUAAUAAUAAUUGUUAUUAUUGUUGUUGUUGCUAUCAUCAUCAUCGUUGUUAUUAUUAUUAUUAUUUAUUUAAAUGAGGUAAAAAAAUUUAAUUUUAUUUAAUGGUAAAAAUGUCGAUUCAUUCUCCCUUCUUAUUCUUCUAUUUUUAUUCUCACAUCAUAAAAAAAUGAGUCUCAUUCCUCAUUUCAUUUUUUUGGGCCCCACCCAAAAUUUAUUCCCAUUCUUUCAUGUUUUUUGGUAAGUUAACGAUAUUUAUGAGUAUGGAAAUCAUUUACAUUCACUAAUCCAAAAGCAAAAGGUGAACACAUCAUAAAUUUCAUGUGAGGAGAUAUUCAGUUAUUGCACCUUAACCAAGGGGUAUUUUUGGAGGGAUCAUCAGGUGCUAUUAGCGUCACACCUUAAUUUGAAGCCCAUGGUUAAUAUCUCUCGAAAGCCCAUCAUUUGUUUAACAUCCAUGUACAGCUGCUGGUUAUCUUUCCACCCCACUUACCUUCUAAUCAAACCCACUAAUUAAUACGUAAUUUACAGUUAAGUCCGUAUUGUUUGUCUAAAUCAAAUAUGAUAUUCGUAGUUUGCAAAAUCAAUCGAAAAAAUCCCCUCUAAUUUCUCUUUUACAACUAAGGUCCAUUGACUGUCAAGGCUGCCUUGAAGAAAACAUUCAAAUUAUUUUGAUAUGAAAUUAAGUUGACUAUUUUAUUCUUCUAAUAUACAAAGACAUAUAAAAAAAUAAAGGUUAAAUAUUUUUUCUAGAGUCUUGUUUAAUGUUGAGGUGUGGUAAAUUUUAAACUAUUGUUACCAUAGAAAAAAACUGAACUAUAAAAUAAAAUUAAGGUAUUUGUGCAAAUAUAAUUCUUAAACAGUAAUUUUGAUAAAAUUAGUAAAGAUAUAAUAAAUUUUCAUCAUACAAAUAUAAAAUCAAAUCAACUUAAUUACUAAACUACAACAGUUAAUGUUUACCAUAUACUUUCUUACUGUAACUUCUAAAUUAUAGUUGUCUAAUUUCAUAAAAACACUAUAGAAAAUGGCCACAGCACGAAGCUUUUGAUAAGUUUUGAAUCAUAGUUUCAAAUAAGCCUUGGCAUUGUUUUGAAAUUAUGAAAAUUAUUCAUUUGAGUUUUAAAAUAGCUAGAAUACCUCAGUUAAUUUAAAAAGUUUUAAUUUGCCCCUAAUUUAAAAAUUCAAUUAUCUACAAUUUAUUAAUCGUUUUGAUUUCAUAAAAGAGGAUUAGUAAUACCAAAUGAAUAACAUAAAUAAACAAUAUAUAUUUUUGGCUAUAAAUACAAUAAAAUAGGGGGAAAUGACUAAAAUUACAAAUGAUCUUCAAUGUUUGGUUUUUCAUAAAAAACAUUUGGGCAAUUAUCCACCAAUCAUUCUUUUUUUCGCACAUUUUAAAAAAUAUACAUUUUUUUUUAUAGAACUCCAUGUGAAGUUGUCAUUAUUUUUACUCCUCCAUUGCCGUCUAAACUUUGUUAGAAAUUUACUAAUGUUAGAAGGUUAAAAUUGUCAUUUAAUUUUAACAAAUAAAAAAGACCCUACAUCAAAUAAAAAAAUUCAACACCACAAAUUAUCAAAAUGAAAAUCCUUUAAUUCAAUUGAAAGAAAAAUGCUCGACCUUAACCCUAACUCAAGAGCCACACACUACCAAAAUCAAAAUUAAAUUUUAUUUAAUUUAUAAUCAAAUAAUAAUAAAAAGGUGCAUGAUUGGUGAACAAUAAACAGUGGCAGUAACUUGGUGUGGUGAGGCACGAUGGAGUGAACUGAUGAUGUGGUUUAAUUCUAAUUUUAUUUUUUUAUAAAUAGUAAUGAAUAAAUAAUAAAAUCUAAAUUAUAAAAAAUUAAAUAUUAGUAUAAAUAACAAAUAUUAAAAUAUUUAAACAAAUAUACUAUGAAAUUUUCAAGCUCAACUAACAAAUUGGAGUCCUAAAUUACUAUUUAAUUAGGUCUUAUUCAAAAGGGCUUGGCCCAAAAUUUUUUAUAUUUAUCUAAUAAAACAAAAAUUAAAGCAAAAGCUAAAGUUAUAACAUCCAAACUUUACUAGGAUAUAUUAUCAAAUUUUACUUUUAUUUAAAUUUUUUAUUUUAAUAGAUUAAAUCAAAUUUAGAAACUAAAAAUGUAUUAGUUAUUUAGAAAUUUUUCGAGGAUUGGGGACCUCAGGGAUUCAUUUUUAUUAUUUGGAGAGAGAACGAAGAUUCCUUUAAGAAAUUCUUAUGAGGACGGGGAUAUCAAUCCCCUCCCCUACCCUCCCCAUUGCCAUCCCUAGUGGCGGGGUGCAAUGUUGGCAUAUUGUGAUUGAAAAAUCUUAAGAAGAGAAGAGGUUGCAAUUUUUAUUUGAUUGAAAAGAGAAAAUUUUUUCGAAAAGAAGAGAUGAGACUACAAUUUCUGUUGGAGAAAAAGAAGAGGCUAACCAUCAAAAAGGAAAAAAAGAAGAAGAGGCUGAAUUCGGUUUUGAAUGAGAUUGAAGAUUAUUAGCUUUGUGUCUUGUUGCUAAUGAUGCUUUUACUCUUUUUUUCCCUAGUGCUUUGCUUGAAUUCUUUUAAUUCUUUGGUUUAGUGUUUGGUUUUAUUUUGGUUAGGGGUGGGCAAAAAAACCGUGGUUUUAAAAAUACUAAACCGAACCGGCGGUUUUUUCUAAUUCGGAUCGGUUUUUAUUUAAAAAAAACCAAAAUAUAUGAUUUGUAAAAAAAAUCGAAAUGUCGGUUCGGUAUUCGGUUCACUUAGCUGAACCAAAAACCAAAUUAAUUUUAGAUUUUAUUCAAAUCGACAUGUGUUAAAUUUUUUUUUAUAGAUCCAAAUAUUGAGUUGGAAAAUACCUAAAGUUGAUGUUGAUAUUGAUGAAGAUGGGAGAAUGUUGUUGGCGUUUGUUUCUAAAUUUUCUUUUUAUUUUGUGUUGUAAGAUGUAAUUAUUGUUAUUUUUAUUUGUCUUUACAACAUUAUGAUUAUGUUUUUGUAGAUGAAGUAUUGGAGUUUGGUUAUGUAUUUUGAAAUUUUAAUAUUUCAUAUUUUGUGAGUACCUUAUUAGUAGUUAGUAAGAUAUUAGUGAUAAAAUGUGUUUUGAAUACUUUGUAUUUAUUGUUAAUAUUUGUAAUGAAAUUAGGAAGAACUAAUUAUUGAAAAAAAUUAUUACAUUCAUGAGGCCCAAUGGGCUAAAAAUUUGAAAUUUCAAAAUAGGUUCAAUAGGCCCAGAACUGAAAAACCGAACCGAUCCGAAAAGAUCCGUUUGAGUUCGGCUCUUAUUGAGUUCGGUUCUUAUUCGGUUCUUUUGAUAAAAUAACCGAUUUAAAUCGGUUCUACUUAAUUUCGAUCCGAACCAAACCGUGCCCACCCCUAAUUUUGGUUAUUAGAUUGAGUUUGGGAUUAGGUUUGGGUUUUAAUUCUUUUAAUUAUUUUUUGUUUUAAUUUUGGUUAUUUUGUUUCAUUUUUUAUUUAAUAGCUAAAUUGCAAAGAAUAACCAAAGUCAUCUAAUUUUUUGGCCAUUCAGUUAGGGUGAAAUAGUAAUUUUAUAUUAAAAUGGUAAAAUAAUCAUUCUAUUGAUACUCUGAUAAAUUCUCUCACGUAGUUUAGAUGAUAGUGAAAUAAUGAUAUAUUUAUAAGAUUUGGAUGAAAUUUUGCAAAGAAAAAAAACUGUUUAUUUUUUAAGAAGCCGGAAAAAAAAGAGAGGUGCUUAGUGGAUAAUUGAAUUUAAUUCAAUUUGGUGGCUUUCCCUUUUUGCCUUGUAACAAUUGGAAUAAAAAAUCUUAGUGGAUAAUUGCUUUUUCUUUUUUCAAAUUUCAUCACUAAAUUAAUUAUAUAAGACUCACUUUGGGUGACACAUAUUUUGAAAAAUUUAAAAAAAAUGACAUAUUUUUUAAAAAUACUCGAGCAAGUGACAAUCCAUUAACGUUGCCUUUAACUUUUACAGGAAUAGUAAAUUAAUUAUAAAAUGAUACUUUUGCCCCUAAAUUAAUUAUAAAAUAACGCUUAUGCUCCUGUAAUAGUUACAAAAUUACAUUUCUAUCCCUACAAUUAGUUAUAAAAUAUGUUUUUACCCCUAGUCAUUUUUUUUAAUUUUCUAAAUAGAAAAAAAUAAAAAAAUUACACCUAAGUAUGAGUAACAUUUUUUUUUGGUUAAAUCAAACAAAUCUUUAAAAAAAAAUUCUUGUUAUAUCAAACUUUGCCGUUAAAAUUAAUAAGAAAAUUUUAUUUGAUUCAACAAGAAUUUUUUUUUAAAAAUUGUAUGAUUUAACAAAAAAAACCUGUCAAUUAGACUUAGAUGCAAUUUUUUUAUAAUUUCUUCUAUUCAAAAAAUAAAUAUAAUUUAAUAAGGACAAAAAUAUAUUUUAAAACUAAUUAUAGGGAUAAAAAUAUUAUUUUGUAACUAUUACAGGACAAAAGUAUCAUUUUAUAAUUAAUUCUAGGGAUAAAAGUGUUAUCUUAUAAUUAAUUUAUUAUUUCCAUAAAAGUUAAUAUUAAAGUUAACAAAAUAUCACCUAUUUGAGCAUUUUUAAAUAGUUUUAGGGUUUGGAUAUCUUAAAUCAGCUCUAAGGUAAACCAUCCAUCACAACCAUUGGAUGCACUCUGUCACAAUUUUUUUAAGUUUAAGUAUAUGCAUCCAAUAGCUGUGAUGGAUGGUCUAUCUUAGAACUAAUCUAAGGUAGCCACUGCCUUUUUUAAAUAAUAUAUCACUUUUUUUUAAAUUUAUCAAAAACACGUGUCACCCGUUAUAUAAUCAUGCCCGGACGACACCGCAUAGAAGUGCAAUUUCCACCCAGUCAUUAAGUACAAACGCAUCCUUGACUCGACGAUGGGAACUCAUUGGCUCGCCCACGGGGGCCAUGACGCAUCCACAUCACUUUCAAGUUUCAAACUGGCGUAAAGCUAGACAGUGAACGGACAAGAUCGCACUGUCCAAUUUCCACGUGUACGGCAGAGAUCAUGCUCUACGGGUCCUGAAUCGCGAUCGUGCAGGGCACCACCGUCUAUAUCAUCAGCUCACUCCUCUUCAAACACACCAAAAACCUUAAAUAUCUCAAUCCGAUAAUAAAUUAAUAAAAGCAUUUUCUUCUUCUUCUUCUUCUUCUUCUUCUCUUUGUCCCACUUCUUAGAUCUCGCCGGAGAUCCUCGUCCGUACGAUCCCCGGCUGUCUUUCCGUCGGAAACUUCCUCAUUUCCGAUCAUAGAUCAUACGGCCAUUGAGUGUAUCUAUUUACAGGUACUUCGAAUGAGUAUCUCUCUCCAUCUCCGUUUUCAUUUUCAAAAGCCUUAGGGUUUAGGGUAUUAUAAUCUUUGUAGAUAAAUAAAGGAUUGUCUUUUUCGAUUUAAAUGUUCAUCUCCACUGAGUGUCACACUUGUACGGUGUUUAGCAUAUAAACAUUUUGAUUUUAAACAUUUUUUGACAUAUAUAUAUAAUUUACAGUUACUUACUACUCACUGAACAGUGUGUGUUGAUUUUUUCAAUACAGUUUUUGUUGAUAAUAUUACUGCAUUUGGCAGAUAAUUUCAGUCUAUCUAGUGGCGUUCUAAAUUUUCGAAGAUUGAUUGUGUUUUUUGCAGUCAGUUAUUUGGUAUUUGACGUCGAACAAUCAAUGGCCUCAAUGGCAUGGUAUACAUUUUGAAGGGUGUGAAUAUAUAUAGCUGUUGAAUCUAACAGUGAAACGAGGAGGAGCUUAAAAGUAACUUGAAAGGAAGUUUGACAGAAAAGUGGCAAAAUGGUAUGUUACGCUUCUUUCUGAUGACAUUUUGAUUUGAAGUUAAAGUUUGAGUGCAUAUUUCAGUAAUCUGAGAAUUGUGAUGUUACUAUUUAUGGAUAUUUUUCAGUCUUUACACUGAUUGCAUUUCCUACUUGCAUGGUUGACAUGGUUAGAUUACCAACACUUACUUGAUUUGUAUAAUCACUUGCUCUGGGAGGACAAGGUAGUGGGAGUUAACAUUUUUAUGGUCUAGGUUGUUUUCACCCUGCUUAUCAAUUCAUGUAGAGGGUAAGUAUGUCUCUAACAAUCUUGAAGGACCAUGGGUGUUGAAUUUAUUAUUGAUAGUUAUCUUUGAAGUUAAUUCCGGUAUCUCUUACUCUUUGCAUGGUGGUAAAAGAUUUUGAUGUAACCAUUUUUUUUUUCUUUUUUUUUUUUGAGCGAGCACUUUUAAGUGACUCCUAGUUAUUGGUUUUGACUUUGGCUGGCAACAGAAGUAGUUUAGAACUAAAGCCAUGAGUGGGAAGAUGGAGAAACAGUAUGGUAUAACACUGCAGGUUAACUUUCUAACCAUGAAUUUUUCUUUGUUUUCUUUGGUCAGCUUUUAUCAGUAAGUAUUAGAACUAAAACAGUUGUACCGAUUGGAUAAGGAGCGAGAGAGCUUUGAUGGUAUGUUUGUCAUAGUUUAGUUCAUAUUAUAUUUUAAUGAUGUGUGUUGAGUGCUUCCAUUGUUUUCUUUCAUAAUAAUCAUAUCAUGGAACCUUCUUCUUUAAGUAAUUAUAGGGUUACUUUCCUCACAGAAUCAAGGCUUUUGGAUGGCAAAGGGUGCUGAGUGUUUGAAUGAUGGUGAGAUGGCCUAUGAUAAUUCCUCUAAACUUGAUCCAAAGCGUUCUCAUCAGUGGUUCAUGGAAGGUCCUGAGGCCGAGCUUUUCCCCAACAAGAAACAGGCAAUAGGAGUUCCAAGCAGCAACCUUUUUUCAGGAUUGUUAAACUCGAAUGUUCCAGCAUGGGGUCAUACUUCCAGUUUCCACUCCAUCUCUGGCCCUUUUGGUGAACGUUUAUUUGAUUCUCCAACAACCAGAGCUGUCAAUCUUGAUGAUCGAAAUGUUACUUCAGUUACUGCAGAAAAACUUGAUCCUGGAAGAAAGGAUUUAUUUGGUAAUGAUUCUUCCUUUGGUCUAUCUAUGUCACAAGCACAGGAAGAUCAUAGGGGAGGUCUUAGUUAUGGGAUUAGAAAAGUAAAGGUCAGCCAGGUUAAAGACUCGGAAAAUGUUAUGGCAGUAUCAAUGGGACAUGGCUAUGAUACAGUAGAUAACAAUACCAUAUCAAUGGCCCAUGCUUACAACAAGGCUGACGACAGUUCUAUAUCAAUGGGUCUUGCUUAUAACAAAGGUGAUGCUAAUAUUAUGUCUAUGGGUGAUACCUUUGCUAGGGAGAAUAACAUUUUCAUAUCAAUGGCCCAACCCUAUAACAAGGCGAAUGAUAACCUAUCGAUUGGUCAGACAUACAAAGAGAAUAAUGAUAGCCUGCCAAUGUCUCAUUCUUUCGGCAAGGAGGACAAUGGUAUGAUCUCUAUGGGUCAAACCUACAACAAGGUAGAGGAGAAUGCUAUAUCAGCAGGUCACAUUUAUAACAAAGGAGAUGACAGUACCAUAUCAAUGGUUAACACUUAUAAUAAGGAUACAAGUAGUUUAUCAGUUGGACAGUCAUAUAAUAAGGGAGAGAGUACUAUCAUUUCCUUUGGGGGGUAUGAUGAUGAUGAUGCAAAUCCCUCGGGGACGCUGUUAUCUACUUAUGGGGUGAUGAUUGGCCAAUCUUCUGUCAAUACAUCAGAAGCAUUAAAUCAGAAAGCAUUUGUUAAAUCAAAUGCUGAUACACUCAUGUCUAGUCAACAUGUAACCAUCUCUGGUGCUGAAAAUAACUCAAGAAAGAAAGAAGACCUAAAACCAUCUAAGAAGGUCACUUCAAACAACUUUCCUUCAAAUGUCAGAAGUUUGCUAUCGACUGGUAUGCUGGAUGGAGUUCCUGUUAAGUAUAUCGCCUGGUCACGUGAGGUACGUAUUUAGUGCUUAAUGUUCAUCUUCUAGAUUAGCUUAUUGCGAUAAGUAUUUAGUGCUUAUUGGUCAUCUUCUAGAUUAGCUUAUUGUUUGGUGACAUGCUGCUUUUCUUAUGCUUGGUAGAAGGAGCUCCGUGGUGUUAUUAAAGGUUCUGGGUAUCAGUGUAGCUGUCAGUCCUGUAAUUACUCAAAGGUAGUUUAUUCAUUAGCUUUUCUAUGAAGGGCAGUUUGGAGCUUGAAUCUUGGCUGACCAACUUUUUCUUAUAGGUUAUUAAUGCUUAUGAAUUUGAGCGUCAUGCUGGUUGCAAAACGAAACACCCAAACAAUCACAUUUAUUUUGAAAAUGGGAAGACUAUAUAUGGGAUUGUCCAAGAGCUAAGGAGCACACCUCAGAAUAUGUUGUUUGAAGUUAUUCAGACAAUUACUGGCUCCCCAAUCAACCAGAAGUCCUUCCGUCUAUGGAAAGGUAAUGCGAGCUAUCUAAUACAAUUGUAUUUCUUUUGCCAUUUUGAUAUUACAAAUUUCCACUGUUUUCUGAUGGAAACAGAAGAAGAAGAAAAGAAAAGCCUUAUUUUUAUUUCAAAGAUAUUUCUGUUGAUUCACCAUAUUACCUUACAUUUGCUAUUCCUGCUCUUUUUCAGAGUCCUUUCUAGCUGCAACCCGUGAGCUUCAGCGUAUAUAUGGGAAGGAAGAAGGGAAGCAAUUGUCAUAAAGCAGCUUUCCCCAAAUUGUAAGUUAGGAUGUUUUGUUUUGUGCAUAGGAGUGGCUUUUUUGGCAACACGUUGUACUUGUUAAUGGUGAUUGCACCACUAAUUAAAGGGCUUGAAUUUUUUUUCUUACUCCUAACUUGAGGGUUAGGGAUCAUUGUGAAAGUAGGAUAUCAACCUUUGAGAAAGAAUGUGACCUUCUUAUGGGUUUAUUAGAUCAUAGCAGCUAAUUUUCUGUAACUGAAUCUAAGGUUAAGAAUGAAAUUGCAAUGUUUUCACUUCUCAUCAGAAAGGAAGUUUAUGAAUGUAUUCUGCGAUCUCUUAUCCAACGUAUAUCCUUAAUAGUUUCUUUUUCCAUUCCAACCAUGGAAAUCAUGUUAGAAAUUGUAGGUUGUUAUGACAGAGAAUAACCUGAGCUCUUUAGAGUUGGUUCUGCAGAAGUCAGCAUCACCAAGUCUUUUCACGGUUAAUUAGUUUGACACAAGUCCUUCAAUCUAGUUGGCCAAAUUAGCGGCGACAUUACUAAUCCUUUAUAGUAAAACUUUGGAAAGUAUUUUAAUGGUAGAAAAUCAUUUUGUUUUCACUUUUGUUGUCUCUGUGUUUUCCCUAGAGCAACAACAUUCAAAUUCACUGUGGUAAGUAUGCUUUUGGUUAUAUUUGCUAGAUUGUUCAAAGCUACGUGUAUUAACUUCCAGAUUAUAAUUACAUAGUACCAUGUUACCAGGAGUAGAAGGGCAGAGGUAUUUAUUUGCAAGUGUCCACAAUUUGCUAACAAAGUGUAAGAAAUGAAAUGUUGAAUUUUUAUGCAUCUGCGAGUAUAUAUAUCUGAAGUAUAGAUUAUCAUUCAAAAUUUUCUUCUAGGUAGAAUUUCUGUGCAUAAAGAAAUAUUAGCUUGUGAUUAUAGUCUAUUUGCAUACAAAAUACCUAUUUUCUUUGACAGAAUAUAUACGUUUUGCAAUUGUAAAAGGUUUCAGUAGCAUGCUUAGAUAAUUAGUGCUAUAAUUAGUACUUUUAUAAGCAUGUCAUAAGCUGUAUAAAAUCUAAGGAUGCAUCGAUAUUGGGGAAAAAAAAGGACUUAAAUUAAGUGGUUAUCAAUGGGCAAAAAUUCAUCAUGGGUUGAAAUAGUGAAAAUUCACUGGUUCUAAGAUGCUUGUACUAGAGGGCACAAAUUUAUUGCAACCCAAACUAUUUUAGUAAUGAAAAUUUUCUUGGUUGGACUUGGAUGGCCAUGUGAAAAGACAAUAUACAGUCAAAGGAAGAUCUGGCGCAUGAUUGAUAAAAGGUCAAUUAUUAGACGAUUCACUUGCAUUCUAAUUAAACCAAAUUUUGCUGUUGCUGAAUUCUGAGAUACAUGCAAUUUGAAGCCUUGAUUAAGGGGAGUUAAACUCUUGACAGUUAUAGGGUCCCUUUUGCAUUGUUAUUGUCAUUUACUUGCAGCAAUUCCUCUUAUCACACAUCAAUUUUUGUGACCUCAUGACCAAAAUUUUCCUUUCCAUUGCUACCUGUAUUGUUUGUUUGCUCAGCUGGUGGUAGAUGCUCAUCAGUUGAUGGUGAUGGUGACUUGUGAUCCUUGCUUUUACCCCAGACAACAAGAUAUAAGCCUCCGAUUAUGAUAAUGGCACCAAUGAUCCUUCAAAACAUAAUCUCAGUUAGUUUCUUCGUUCUUUAGGAUUGUGAUUAUAUUGGUAGUGAAAGCUUUAUAUAUGUACUUACCUUCCAAGGUACAUUUGCUCUGCCAAAAUGAUGGUGCUCAUAAUAGCCACAAUGACCAUGCAUAGAGGACUAAAAGCUGCUACAAAAACAGGGCCUCUGUCUUUCAUUACUAUUCCUUGAAUGUAGUAAGUUAGUCCUGAGCAUAUUAUCCCCUGCAGGUACACGUCUCUUAAUGUCAGAGUCGCAAUUCUUACCUUCAGUAACCAGGAAUUUUUUUUAAUCUAUUGAGACCAUCUCCAUUUUGGAUGAAAGAGAUCAAAGAGGUAAGAUUUGAGAUUGAAAUAAGAAGAUGGUCCUGAGAGCUCUGGUUUUAGGAUUAGCUCUCUCAUGUUACCAGUUAGAUGUUGAAAUCGCCUUGUUUGCCAUAAGGAGUAGUUACACCGAGUCUUAUAUAACUACUGUUGGACGACAGAUCUUUCUAUUAUAUCUAAAUUGCUUUAAGAUUCUUACACUGUAGACAGAAGCCACUAAUUUAGUGUCCCAGUGUAUGGCCCAGAUGCUAGCUUUUCCUCUUUCCAUUAUUAGCGCGGCUAAAGUGCCCUCAACUGUGCCAAAGAAGCAUAUCCAAGCUGUAAGAGAGAGCUCAGCGGGGUAUGCUUUCAAUGUAAUUGCCUAAAGAAACAAAGUGGCAAGUGUUAGUAAUAUUCUAAAACUCAUGGGAAAUUUUGAAUAUGUGGGAUUCACUCACCUGCAGAAUUAUGAAAAAGGACCAGCUGAAGCAGCCAGCUGUGAUCAUUAGAGCACCCUUGAUUGAAUUGUGGGUGGUUGUCCCACUGCUCCCGUGCCCAUGAUUUUCUGCUCCCUUUGUCCAGAAUAAUUCAAGAAUUGGACCUUUUAUCAGGGUCAUAACCAUGGCUCCUGCAACGGUUGCCAAUGUCCCAAUCACUUUAGCUAGGCUGCGGAUGCUCUUAAGAUUCACGUUCUCAAGCCUGUAUAUAAAAAUAGAUUAGUUUCAAAUUUGCAGUUUAUAAAAGCUGUUAUUUCUUACUCAUGCUUCUGCAAAAAGUUUGUGGAGACCUGAUGAUCCAAGCCAUUAGAAAGGUGAUGGCAGGAAGAAUAUUGUACAUAGCAGCUGCAAAUGUCGCCGUUGUAUACUUCAUCCCGAUAAAGUACAAGUUCUGGUCUAUAACUGGCCUACAAGUACGCAUGAUGUAGGUUAGAAAAUGAGUUGAGUUAAGUGAUGGUACAAACAUGUUUCAGUUUAGAAAAUUACUCUAGCAAUCCCAGCAACAGUAGCUUUGUUAAGAUUGCCAGUGUCAUCUUUGGUCGUAUCUUCCUGUUAAAUAAGAAAACAGAACAUUGGCAAUCAGAAAACAUUCAUUUUAUUUCAAAUUUUUAUUCAGUGUUUGCAAAGAACAAGCGUGAGAAGGAAGUGUGCUACUUGUCCAGAAUGACUGCAAAAGGAGCCAUGGCGAUUGUUGCAGCAGCGUGUCGGUACACAACAAGGACGUAAGGGCUCAUGCCCUUGUUCAAUGCAGCUUUGCACAGAACAUCCAUUCCAGCAAAACCUACUUGCAUGAAAAUGACACCAAUGAAUGGCCUCGUCCUAUUGAACAAACUAAGCAUUUGGUUCUUCAUUUGUGUCUCUUGAGCCCGCACUGAACCCAAACCAUUUUUGGGAAGGCAAUUUAUAAUGAUUCCGUGUGAGGGGCAGCUUUGACAUUAGCACAAGUUGCUAGCGUAUUCAUGAUUCCGAAUAUGAUAACGCUUUCAUACCCAGACUCCACUCAUCUCUCAAAGUUCCUCCAUUAUGUACUAAAUAAUUAAAAACACUUUCAUCAAACCGGAAAUUAUUGCUCGUUGUUGUGAUGAAUCUUUUUCACACUUGGUGGAGUUACUUUUGUGUUAUUUCUUUCAUUGUAUAUUACAACAUCAAAGCCCCGCCACAAAGGGAUUCCUCCGUAAGUGCUCAAUCCAAUCCGAUACUACUUGGUACGUGGAAUAGAAAACUGGAUUAGGCCUCGUACGUUGCAAUUCCAUGCACAUAUGCGGAGUUAGGCUUGAAGAGAUAGGCCGUUUUGGCAAAUGAAUUAAUAAUACUACACUUUCUACGUAAUCCCGUCUUUCUUUCUUUCUUUCUGACCAAACGGCCAAUUCUAUCCAUAAUAAAGUAGCAGUGCUGUUAUCUUAUUUCGAGUGAGGCGAUAUUCGUUGCUUUCGUUAAAUUUCCGUUAGAAUUCGAUUCAAAGUAAUUGAGAGGUCCUUAUUGGAGCCAAUUCAAGUCCGAUUCAAAAAAAUAAAUCUAUAUUUGAUGAGAACUUGUGUUAAGUUUAGAUUUAUGUGUGUUUUUCCUCAUAUUUGGAGCAAAUGGACUAUCUGAGGUACACCAGAUGAUGACUAAAAUAAUAUGCAUAGUAAAUUAAGGUGGUUAUAUGGGAAAUAAUAGAAAGAGUUCAAUAGAGCCCCGAAUGGGUUAAUAUGAGGCUAAUGUGUGCUUAGGAGUAGCUUAAUUGUACAUUAAGUUAGCUCAAACAAGCUCAUACGUGAAUGAUCUCAUCUCAAAUUAAAAAUAUAAUAAAACAAAUAUAAAUAAAAAGAGCACAAAAUACUUAUGUGGUUCGACUUUUAGCCUAUGUUUUCGAGAACAAGUCAUCACCAAUCAUAUAUAUAAAUCAGAGGUGAAUUGAAUAAGACAUUUAUAUAAUGGAGGCUGGUGGUGAGAAAAGUGCAUAAAAAUAUGGUUAGAUAUUAUCUUUAGGUUAAAAGAAGUGAAUAUUUUUAAGGAUACGUGUCAUAUUUAAAGGAAAAGAACAACAUUAUUCCUUUUGUAUUAGAUUUUUUUUUCCUAUAAAUAUCUUGAAGUGUCUAAUCUUAAUCAUUGAUUUCCAAACCCAUACAAUCUAGUAAAUUCUUCCAAAUGACAUCUUUAUACUGCUCUAAAUAUUUUAUUUAUUUCCCCCACCCUUAUAAUCACUCAUGUGUUAUUCAUUUAUUGGUCCUAAAAUAUCGUUAUAAAUUUAUCCCGAACGGUGCGUUCAAAUUUACCACUUUUGAAGUCGAUCAUGGAUCACGUACUUGUGAUGAAAAAAUCGAGAAUUAAAUCAUGUAGAGUCAAUAUCGUAUGGCAACUCGGCCCACUGAUGCAUGAAUUAUUUGAUUACGUUUCCAUUAUUGGAGGCUGAGCUACAACUUUACUGGACAAAAUAAUCAAUAAUGGUUCGAUUAUUAAAAGUAACCUUCGACUUUUCGCAGAUUGUCAAACAAACCCCUAAUGGGCGAAAAAGCAGAAAAUAGAAAGUAAAGGAAACGUGAAGCGUUUCCUUAUAAAAUCAACUCAUAAAGGUCGGUCCAUGGUCAAAGUGACAUUGGGCACUAAAGUCCCACAACUUAAUUGGCCUUACGGUUAUAUCAUCAUUUUUGUUUUCUCAUGCUUUAUGUUGUUAGCACGUAGACCCACCACACCCGACUCUCCAUAAACUUAAAACUCCAUUCACGUGCACCCACCGUGUGAGAUAAAUUGUGGGUGAUUAUUAACGGGGAUAACGACACCAGGGUCCCUGAAGUUUUUCAAUAUCUCAUGAAGUUAACCUCGUUUCCUAUCUGUAUCAAGUUUCUGCGUAUCCCCUAAUGAAAUGACUGUAAUACCCUUUGGAGUUUAGUUAAACACAAGGUCAACCUCAACGUUGUAAGGGCCUAAGGGGCACUAGUUAUUUUAUUAGGGUCAUUGAACAAUUACGUCCUUAGCUGUGAAUACGAAAGACUCAAGAGUCAGGGACCCAAUGAUAUUACUCCUUAAAAAAGGAUGAUGACAUUACAGUCAGACCCAAGAAAGUAGUGCUUUUAUUAAUGGAAGUAACUACAAACAUGGCAAAUGAAGGGGCUGCAGCUCAUUUUGGAGACACCAUAUCUUGUGUUACAAUAACCGCAUUUUCUCAAAAGCUCAAAAUGGAAUAUCAUUUUUCUGCUCCUGAUGAGAUAUUGGGAUUCAUAGAUGAGACGGUGGGAUUCCUCGCCGUAGAAGAAAGGUGCUUGAAUCAUUUCAAAUUUGAGAAUACAAUAUGCUUAUCAAAUAUCAAUACCAUCUGAUAUAACAAAUUUUGUAUCACAACUAAUAUAUGAUUAUAUAGGUAAUUUGAUAAUAGACAUAACAAUAACCAUAUGACAGGAAAAUCAAUCAACUUAAUACUUGAUACGCGAUAACAUGAUACAAACUUUAUACACCAAGUUUGUUUGUAGAUCUGUUGAUGGUCAUGCCCACUACAAUAUCCAUUUCCAAAAUUUCUAUCCAGUUCAACUUCCAGUAUUCAUCAGCAUCAAUUUUGGAACAUUUCAACCCAGUAGAGGGAUGAGCUUGAUGUAAAGAGUUUCGUACUAGAUGGACAUAGCAGCAAACAUAGCUUGUAUGUUGUAUCAGAGAAAAGAAGGCUGCUUCUAUUUAAUUCUCAGUAUCGAAAAAGCAAAAUAACAGGCAUUACAUGGUUUUUCAGCACAAGGAACAAAAGAAAUGAAAGGAACUAAUAUAAUAUAAUUAAUGCCAAACACAGAUGAUCUAUCAUUCACAAGCAAGCGUGUGGUAGUUGUAAAAUAAUGAUAGAACAAUACAAGCACCAAUGAUAUAGUUGACAAAAUUAGUUGUCCCAACCAAAAUGAUUGCCUUGACAUAUACCCAUGUGAUCUCACCCGCAUAGAUUGCUUAAGAACCGCAGCAAGCUGAUCUUUGGGCAGCUUGAGCAGCCCCACCUGCCUGGUCAGGUUGGUUAAUUUUGAUAGUCUGAGGCUGAAAAGAUCCAGCAAAUGAAUGAUUCAGUAUAUAAGCAAAAUACUCCAUUAUAAACUUGUCUUGGAGAAGAUACAAAUGGAACCAAGGACAACCUCAAAACAUUGGAAAAAUAUAAAUAUCAAACUAAAAGAAACAAUUCUCACUUGUGAUCUCAGGAAUCUAAAUAACUCAAGACUAUUAAGUUGGAUAUUCUAUGACUGACAAAGACAAAAGAAAAACCAUCUUACCUCAGCCCUAGAGUCUGUAUCUGCAAGCCUUUGCUUGAUGUCCCUUGCAAUUGAAAAGAAAACCUCCUCCACAUUUAGGUUUGUCUUUGCACUCUGUAAUAGACAGCCUCUUCAGGAUACCCAAACAAUAUAUUGCACCAACUUAAAUGUGAAAAUGAGAAAGUACAUACAGUCUCAAAGAACUUGAUGCCAUAUUCAUCAGCAAGAGCUUGGCCCUUUGAAGUGGGGACAGCCUGAAAAAGAUGUUUCUUAUCAACUUAACGACAAAAAUUACACUAAAAAAAUUAUAAAGCACACAAAUAUAAAUGCAGAAACAGAGAGGAAGAGUGAAGGAAAACAGACCCUUUUGCUUUCAUCCAUGUCGGCCUUGUUACCCACCAGAAUCUUGUUUACAUUGUCAGAUGCAUGCUGUUCGAUAUUACGGAUCCAAUUCCUAAUGUCUGAACACAGGAAGUUAACAGCUAAAUUUCAAACAAGCUUGGAACAAAAGAGAAUAAACACCAUUUAAAGGAGUGGCAAAAUGACAAUGCUGGUAGCAGUAACAUUUGCAGCAUCAUGGAAAAUAAGGUCCAGUGCCAUGUAUAAAUUUUGUGGAAAAUAAAACAUUCAGAUCCAGAUAUCCAAUCAAAAUAGAGGAAUGAUCAACCUAAGCUUAGAAAUCUAAACUUCUGAUGAUAAAAUGAAGGGAGCAAUUACUGUUGAAAGAUGACUCGUCGGUGACAUCAUAUACGAGCAAUAUUCCCAUGGCUCCUCGGUAGUAUGCUGCAGAGAACGAAAAUUAUGAUGUAACAUUAGGACACAAAAAUGAAAACUUGGGAAACCACAAGUAGAUUAACGACAGAGGGGGAGGAGAAGAAAAGGGGAAAAAAAAAGGUUCAACAGUUUCAAUGACUAUAGCCUACAAGCCCAUACCUAUGGCCCCUUAUUUUUCACAGAAAUUAUGACAGAAACUGAGGGCCACUAAAUCAUAACAUUUUGAAUGAGAUUCCAUAACAUGCGUCAUUCCAAAGUGCAUUAGUUGUCUGUGUCAAAUAUAAUGUUGUUGAUGAAAAUUGAAAAAGAAAGUGUUAAUUGCACCAAAAAAGAAAAUGAUUGUAAAUGACCAACAGACAAUGAGGCGGCGCAAAACCUGGGAAGACAACAAUCAAACAGAAUUUCACAGCAUAGACUUAAACAGUUGAUGAUGGAAGCAAUCUUAAAUACCCUAGCUAUGUAGCAUACACAUUUUCAUUUGCAGACCUCACAAGUUACAAAAUUGUAUUAAAAACAAGUAGAAAACCUGAAAUGGUAUCUAUUAAAUCAUAAAACAGCUGACACCUCCACAGAUCUAGAAAACUGUAUUCAAAGAAACUGGUAAGCCAAUACCCUAGAACGCUGCUAGUAAAAGAAAAGAAUUACACUUGUCCAACCAGGUCUUAUCAGCAUGUUGGUCCAACUCCAAGUAAGAACAGUUGAUAAUACUUUUGACAAAAAAUUUCAUAAGAAAUUGUGAAUCCAACACAUUAUCUGACAGCUAGAGCUAGAGACUUUAGAAAUCGUUAAAUUAUCUUGUGAGUCAUUGAAAGUAAAAGACCCAAGUACUUUACGAGACAUCUAGAUAACAUCGAUAUCCUUUCUGAUUCAAUUAUUGACAGGAAACACAAUACAGAGUAAGAACAAAAUGAUUGUCCCAAAAGUCUUUGAGAAGAUUCAAAGAAUAAACUUCCUGUCAGAUCUACCCAAAAUGCAACAUCUAAUUUCUUUCAAAAAGGCUAUGUCAUUUAAUCAAAUAAAUUCUUGACCUUGUUGCUAAAUAUGGUACAUGUGCAUAGGUGAAGACAUGGUCCGUGUGAAUGCAACAUUAGAUUACCAAUAGAUUUUAUUUUAUUUUUAUAAAUUAAGGUGUGAAUUAAAGGAGAUAAACAAUGCAGAUCCCAUUUAUACUGUAAUUCUAUUCAGUAUCAGUGUUUAUGCCCACACUAACCGGUUGUAAUUGUUCGAAACCUCUCUUGACCUGCAGUAUCCCAUAUUUGAAGUUUAAUUCGUUUUCCAUCAAGCUCUAUGGUCCUAAUCUUGAAGUCAAUACUGUCAAAAGAAAAUACAACCUAGUCAGAACACUAGCAUUUGAUAUUGUAAAAUAUAAGUAAAUCCCCUAUUAAUUUUAACUAAGAUAACAAACUUACCCAAUGGUUGUAAUAAAACUGGUAGUAAAGGAACCAUCAGAGAAUCGCAGAAGGAGACAACUCUUACCAACACCUGCCCAAGUCCCAAAGCUCACGAAAGUAAACACAUAACUCAAUAUCCAAACCACUCAAAGCUGCUUCAUAAAACUCCAAAUAAACAACAAAAAUCAAAAUCGCAAAAUUUAAAGCCAAAUGUUACAAGCAAAAAGGUCCACAACUGGAAUAAUUAGUAGAGAAUGUAAUUACAAAGCAUAUGACAAAAUCCAUAUAAAAACAUUUGAAGAUAGUUGGCACGGCACAGUUAAAUUCAUCCGUCAACCUGGUGAGAUGAAGUGUACUACAAAAAAAUGCUUUCAUAUAAUGCACAGAACAUUAACAUAAUAAAUUGUCAAAUUUGAAUUCACAACUCACAAGACAGUGCCUUCGGUUAGAUCUACAUCUAAUCCAACAGCAUUUUACAAAUCUUCAAUCUUAAACACAUUGAUAAAAUAUCACAUUCACAAAUCUCAAAUUUCAAAAUUUCUUAAAAACAGAUAUUAAUUGGACAUCACGCCUCACAUCCAGGAUCCAAAGUAGUAAUUGAGCAUGUCGAAUCGAAUCAAAAUCAAACAUGAAACGACGAAUCUGAAAAGAAAUUGAGAGGGACAAAAAUGUAAAAUCAUACCGCUGUCGCCGAUCAGGAGCAGCUUUAUGAGGUAAUCGUAAUCAGCCCGGGCUCUUGCAGGUGGAGCAGCCAUAGCAAUUAACCAAAAUUUAUAUCUCACAAGCUAGAAAAAUUAAAUAAAUAAACUAAGUAAUUAAUUAAUUAAACGCUAGAAAAAAAAGUUUCUAAUCAAAUAAAUGAAUUAAAAAAUGAAAAAUAAUUUAAAUCUGCUUUUAGAAAAUUAAAAAGAAAAAGAAAAAGGAGAGAAAAAAUUACCAGAUCAAGAGAGAGAGCGCAAAUUCUGAAUAAAGGAGAUGAUGAGAGAAAUGAGGAGGGAGUGAACGAAGCGUCUCUGAUACGUCAGCACUCGUCGGCCGUUGAAAAAAGAUUAAUUUAAAUAGAGAGAGAGAGAGAGCAGCUGAUUCGACAAAUAAAAGUUAUAGAGGGGCUCAUAUCCCAGCCGUUGGAUUAAAUAUGAGUGGCGCUCUGCGUGGAUCGGACGACUGUUGUUGUUUAUUUAAUUCGUCAAUCCCCUGACCGGGUUAGAUGAAUAAAUGGAACAACAGACUGAGAGAGCGACAGAGCGCGUUGAUAUUUCUAACAGGUUAGGGAAGCGACGCCGUUUGGUUUAUUACUCAUCUUUAUUGGUAAAUCAUCACCUUCAUCAAAAAUAUAUGGUAAUCGUACAAAGUUCUUGCGCUGGGCUCGGGCAUCAAACAGCGAGGACACAGCAACCUAUGACCUAGCGACCAGCUAGGUUAGAGACCAAAGAGCCAACAGCAAAAUGUGCACGACACAUGUCACUAUCAUGAAAACAACAUUCUUUUUGUUUUUUUUUCCCUCAAUAAUUUCAGAUAUAAUAUUUUAACUGAGUUUGUAACACUGUUGAUUGAAAUUAUCAAGUGCGAAUUGUGUAUAUUUUAACAUGUGAACUCAUAAUUACUAUUGUGCAACUUUGAUUCCUGUUGGAUAUUGAGGUGCUAAAAUUUUUAUGGUGAAAAAAAAAGUAUAAAUAAAAAUUAAUAAUAUAUAAUAAAUAUAAUUUUUAAUAAUAAUUUGAUAAAAAUUAAUAAAGAUAUAAUAUAUUUUUUAUCAUAUAAGUGUAAAAUCAAGUCAACUUAACUUUUAAACUACAAUAGGUACAACACUUUAACUGUUCAAUUUUAAUCUCGAACAGACCCUUAAUUUAUAAUUAGAUUGUCACUAAAAAAAAUUAAGGACUUUAAGUAGGUAUUUUAGAAUUUAACUAAUACACUUUUAAACUACCUUUGUCGGAUGAAGUGUUGGGAAAUUUUUAUUAAGCUCCAAAAGUGUUUGAAAUAAAUUUAUGUUUUUAUGAUGCAAAAAAAAAAAAAAAAAAAUUUAUGAACAUUUUUGUGAAGCUUAGGCGAAAAUUUUUGUUGGGCUCUACUGGGCUAGAUGAGCAGCUCGGGCAUUAAUUGUCACCCAAGAAGCCCAACCCAGAUUACAACAAGCGGGAUUUGGUUAGCUCGUUGACGAUUGAAAAUCCUGUUUGAUUUCUUUUUCUGAUACCGAAUGAGUACGAGAAAAGAGUUAACUUCUGCUGUUGUUAGUUCCAAAAUUUUAGUUAGCAAACAAAAUGACGUGUUUUUGUGUUUAAUAAUGAAAGAUAAAAAGUAAAUAAUAGAUUUUCCAUAGGAUUAUGAAAAAAAAAACAGGUGUCAAAAACCUCAUUGAGAUUAAAUUAUGAUAGAAUCCGAAUCCAUUUUGAACCAUUAGCUAGUACGACACAAUUAAAAAAAAAUGAUAUACACCAAAAGUUUGCAUUAAUAUAGUUAAAUCCAUAUUGUUUUAGGCAUUGUUUGAUAUUAAGAUGUUGUAAAAAAAAACUUUAAUUAUAAAAUACAAAGUUAAUAGUAUGUAGUAAAUACAAUUCUUAAAUAAUAAUUUUGUCAAAAUUAUUAAAAAUAUAAUAGACAUUUCAUCAUACAAAUGUAAAAUCAAAUUAAUUUAGGUUUCAAGUUACAAUAGUUAGUGUGCGUUUGAGAUUGAGGUGUUGUAUCUUUUAAGCUGUAGUUGCUGUGGAAAAAAAAAUUGUAAUUAUGAAACAAAAGUUAAAAUAUGUAGUAAAUACAAAUUUUAAAUAAACAUUUCGAUAAAAUUAUUAAAAAUAUAAUAAAUUCUCUAUUAUAUAAGUAAAAAAUCAUAUCAACAUGGCUUUCAAAUUACAACAGCUAGCAUUUACCAAAUACUGUACUACUGUAGGUUAAAAGAUACAACUGUCCAACUUCAAUCCCAAAUGCACCCUUAGUGUGUAUUAAAUAUUUUAGUAUUGUAACUUUUAAACUACAACUGUCCAACCUCAAUCUUGGAAUAAGUUAACUUUGAAUUAAUUUUCUCGUUGAAUGACAAUUUUCAAAAUAUCUUCCAAAUUAUAAUAAACUUUUUUUUUUCCAAAAGAUAAGGAAAAAAUGGGAGUGCAUUGAUGAUUUCUUUUUUCACUUAACAAAAACGGGAGAAAGUAAAUAUUUACAAUAAUUUAACGAUAUCAUGAAAAUUAUCAAACGAGUAAUACAAAAUUAAUGUUUUUAGAAAUUGGUAGCUAAACUUUAUCUCAUUAUAAUGGCAUUCAAAUUCCAAACUCUACGACCUUAAUAAAUUAUGUCUAUUUAGAUAAAGAGUAAUAAUACAGCUAUAAAUUCGUGUACAAACUUAUCUUGUACAAAUUGAUUUAACAUUAAUUCAUUGGUUGAAUAAAAAUAUAAAAUAAUAAAAAUAAGUCAUGUGGACCAAAAGAUAUUUAAUUCAACCAAUUUUAUCAUAGCAUAUCAAUUUGUAUAAAUAAAUUUAUACAAGAAUUUAUGGAUAUAUUUCACUCUUAGACAAAGAGUUAUAAGCAUUAAUAAUGUAUAUUAAUGCUCACCAAGAUCGAUAUACUAAAGUAUUUUUAUUUUCAUUCAAAUAAACAAGAUUUAUGAACAAAAAGUGUUUGAAUGUCUAUUUUUGAAAUAAUUAGGUCUAAUUGUCCAAUUCUAAAAUUGAAGUUUUGUCAAAUAAACUACUUUUGUCAGAUUUUGAUUGCCAAGCACAAGUUAUGAAGUUUGGAUUGAAGGAAUCUUUUGACAUGGACUUAUUCGGGUUAAAUAUCCUACGGUCCAAAAUCCCAAGUUUGCAGAGCAGGACGGCCGGCCUUGACAAAAAUCAACUGGGGUUUGAAAUUUCGCAAUGACAAUGCCACGCGGCGUAAUAAGACACGCAUCUUUACCAUAGUUGACUUUGACAGGCACUCUGUUAAUUAAAGUUCGUUAAGAAAACGACGAUAUCUGACCUGGACCAACGUUCGAUAACGACUCCGUCCACAUGUAAAAUUGCAAAUUGUUUACGAAAAUGCUAAAUAUUAAGAAAAACAAGAGAAAGACGAGAGAAUGAAGCAUGUGUUGAGAGAAGAAAGAGAGAGAAAAAGCUGACAGAAGAGAGAGAAUAGGCAAUUCUCUCAUCAUUCUCUCGUUGUUUUUGAUAUUUAACAGCACUCAAUUGUUUAACAAUUGAAGAUCCUGGCGAUGCCUGACGUGCCGGGCCGGGUCGGUUAUUAAAGGAAAGCCAUGCGUCUGUCUGCUCGUAUCGUGUUGUAUCUAUUAUGUAUUUUGUGUCAUGUCAUACUGUAUAUAUUUUUUUUCUUGUUUAUGUACUUUUAGCUAAAUUUAAUAGAAUUUAAAAUUUAAAAUUCAAGUCCAUAUUUAAUAAUAAUAAAUGACUAAUAAGAAAAGAAUGUAAUAUUAGUUAUUAGGUUAGACCCUACAAUAUUAAAAUUCUUUUUUAAUACUUAACAAUAAUAACAAUAAUAAUAAAAAAUUUGAGGGUUAACUUAGUUGUUAUGUUGGACUUAUAUAGACUCAUAAAUUAUAGUUUAUAAUAACAUUAAUACGUAUUUAUAAAAUCAUGGUAUUCAUAAUUUUAUUUAUUACAAUUAUGAUAUCAAUUAUUCAUUUAAUGAUUUAUAAACAUAAAUCAAUUAGAGUAUUUUUUUUAAAAACUAAGGAUUAAAUGAAUUUAAAAAAACUUCACUAAUAAAAUAUGUUAAAAGAUUCAAUUUAAAGUUAUUUGUAAAGUCAUAAAAUUUUAAGUUUAUUUUUAUUAAAAAGUGAAACGUGCUUAUUGUGGGUCUUUUUCACAUGUUGUACUUUAACUCAUCUCUAAUCAUGUCAUAUUUUUAAGGCCUAUAUAUUUAAAAUUCUAAGUUUGACCCGCCGCACAUGUGUGCCUUGUCAUGCCACAUGCCCCAUUGAAACAUGCUAGUAUGGUGCCACGUGCUACCCAUCCCGUUGGCCAUCUCUAGAAUAUCCAAUCAAGUUCUAGUUAGCAAUUCAAAAAGAGUUUACAUGGAAAGGCUUUUGCUUUCGUUGUUAAUGAAUAUAGACUUUAUUUUGGUUUUUGAAAAAUCAACUUUAACAUUAUUAUGAGUCGUAUUGUCAAAUCAAAAGGACUCGCUUUAAGUCUUGUUUAGAGGUUAGUAAACAGUAUUUUGAAAGUUACAAUACUAUAUUAUUUAAAAAAUAAUAAAGGCCAAUUUGAUAAUGAUGUUGCUUUAAAAAUAAUUAUUUUUAGUUAUAUCGUAUCAAUAAUUAAUUGUGAAGAACAUCAGUUAAAUAUUUAGUAAAAUUUAUUUUUAAAAGUACUAUGAGUUUUAAAAAUAAUUGUACGUAUUUAAUAAAUCUUAUUACUAUACUGUUGUAAGAAUAUAAAUGACUACAUUAGACAUAAUGCUGAGUAAAAUUUAUUUAUGCAUUUGUAAACAUUAAUAUAAGAUACCAUAUUACUAUAUUGUGUUUAUAUAAUAAUUGAUAACCUAAAUAAAUAUUUUAUAUUAUUAAUUUUAUUUUUUAUUUUGUUAUCUCAAUAUAGUUGGUACUAAUAAUAAUAAUAAUCCUUUUAAAGUUAAUGAUUUAUUUUUUAAUUAAUAAGGAUAAUUUUAGAUUUUUAUAAUAUAUUUGAUGAUAUAUACUUAUUUUCAAAACCAAAUUUUAAAAAGAUAUUCCUUUCCCACUUCUCAAAAUAUAGUGUAGGAUGGGUGCUUACGCCAAAACUAAUUUCCAAAAAAAUUUAUUAAACACCAAAAUUAAUUUUUAAUUUUCAAAAUCACUUUUAACCCUCUUAAAAGCAAUCUCAUACGGACCCUAACUAUUGUGGCUUGGAAACUAGUUGUUUUGAUCAAUCACUAAUAUGAUGAGAAACCUAUAAUUACUUUUAUAUUUUUUUGUCAAAAUUAUUAUUUAAAGGUCAUAUUUAUUAUACACUACGACACUAUUAACUUCUAUUAUAUAAUUUUUUUUUCACAAUAUCUCAAUAUUAAGCAAGAUCUUAGUUACGUAUGAAAUGAAAUUUGUAUACAUGCAAACACUUUUACUUUUUGAAGAUCAUGCUUUAAAUGUGAUGUUUGAUCAAUUACGCAAUUACCAGCAGAAGUUUCAUAAAUAAUAGAAAAUCUAAAGUUGAACACUUUAAUCAAGUUUAGUGAGUUGUCAUUUUCAAAUCACUAAUGUUAAUAUUCUAAAAUGUGAAAAAAUGAUACAUUAACCAUGUGUUUAUUAACCGAGAGCGAGAGUGAGAAUGCAAAUCAAAAUUAUUCUAAUGUUUACUUGAAAUUUUGGAAAAGAGAUUAGGAAUCAAAGUGGUAGGCUCUACUUAAAUUUGAAAAUCAUUGGUGAUUGGGAAUUAGAAUUCUAAUAUUAGGAUCGAUUAAAAUAUCCUAUUCAAUUUUUUAUAUUGCCAAAUUACCCUCCAUUAAGUAAAAAAAAUAAACAAAUAAAAAUUGCAAAUCCAUAACUCUCACCUGCAUGAAUCCAGCACGUCAAAUCGAACCCAAAGAUCGAACUGGACAGAACUUGUCGUUGAUGGGUAGCACCGUCGCUUACGUCGUCGAUUGGAUAGCAUCGUAGUCGCUUAGCUCGUUGUCGAAGGGAGAAACACUUCCACUUAGGCACUUAGCUCAUUGUUAUACCGGGUUGCUCACUAAGCUCAUCGUCGCUGUUGACGAUGAAGAAGAAGAAUAAAAUGAUUGUGAUGAUGAUGAUGAUGUUGAGAAGAGAGAAACUGAAAAAUUUUAUUUAGAGAGUGUUUUGGAUAUUUUAAUUUAGUAUUACAUUAUUUUUAAUAUCAUUAUUCUUGUUGAAGAGAAAGAAAUGCUAUAAUUACUAUUAUUUUGAUAAAAAAAAGUUUGAUUAAAAUAAUAUAUAAACUUAUUUUUAUUAGAAGAAUCUUUUAGGAGAUGGCUUAUUUUUUCACUUUUUAAAGAGUUAAAUUAGAAGAGUCUUUUGUUGAUGUUAGCCAAAGAAGCAAAAAAUAUUUGUUAAAAUUUCCAUAAAUUAUCAUUUUAAAAUAAAAUUUAAGAUUAGACGACAUAUCAUUUUAAAAUAAAAUUUAAAAUUUACUCUUCUUAUGGCAUAGCUAGUUUCCAAAAUCAGUGGAAAAAUAUUUAAUUUAUUUAAGAGAAUUUAAUUUUUCUCAAAUAUUUUAAAAUAAUUUUAGAUUUAACAUACUCUUUAAGUGAUUCUAAAGACGAAACUAUAAUUUUGAACUUAAUUUUUUUGUAAAUUAUUCAAAACGAGUGGGGAUGAAUAAAAAAUUUUAUUGGAGGCAAAUAUAAUUUUUAGAUGUAAUUUAAAAAGGAUUUUUUUGAAAAUCUUAAUACAAGGAGGUUCUUGUUAACUCUAGCUACAAAAGAGCUAGUUAGCAUAUCCUAUUAGAGCACAAGUCAUUCUUGUACUCUACUAAGCCAACAUUAAUUAAGUGUUAAAAGAACAAAAUUCAAUGAGUAAAUUAAUGGAUGAAAAUGGGGGACGUCUCCUUCUAAGGUUCUCUCUCUCUCUCAGAGAAAACCUUAGAAUGGUAGCAGAACAGGAUUGUCAUAAUCCUUAUAGGGUCACUCACAAGUUGGGUGGGUCGGUUUAAUCAGGAAUUGAGAUCUAAGAAGGAAAGCAGGAAGAGCGGAGACGUGUGCUGGGUGUUUACUUGAAAGGUAAGAGUUUAGAAAAGGCAUUAAAGAGGGAGCAACAUCUAAGGUGCAGCUUUUAUCAGAAUAGUGGCAGUACAAAAAAGCGGGUGGGAUCAAAUGGAUACAGAGGAAUUAAUUAAGAAGUGCAGCUCCAUCACUUUGGAAGAGGAAGAAGAGGACAAGGUUGUUGAGUGUUAGAAAAUAUAUAUUUAUAAAGGAGAAAGUCGUUAUUUUACACUUCAAGUUUUACUAACACACUUAUUUUUAUAUAUUUAACCUUCAUUUGAUUUAAUUCUGUGUGUUUUAUUUUAAUUAAGUAUUUUAUAUAUUUUAGGAGCAUCAUAGUCAAUAAGAAGUUCAGCUCCAUCACUUUGGAAGAGGAAGAAGAGGACAAGGUUGUUGAGUGUUAGAAAAUAUAUAUUUAUAAAGGAGAAAGUCGUUAUUUUACACUUCAAGUUUUACUAACACACUUAUUUUUAUGUAUUUAACCUUCAUUUGAUUUAAUUCUGUGUGUUUUAUUUUAAUUAAGUAUUUUAUAUAUUUUAGGAGCAUCAUAGUCAUUUCAUAAUAAACGAGAGAUCAGACGGCAAAACGAACAUCACUUUUGAACUUAGGACAGUUGAAAACCUUAGGAGGAGCAUAAAAGGAAAAAUGGCACUGUUCACAUGUACGGUACUAUUCACGUGUAUGGUACUGUCUACGUGACUGUUCACGACACUGUUCACAUAGACGGAUCGAUGACGUGGCAUUGACCGAUGAUGUGGCAUUGACUGAUGAGGUGUCACGAUUCUGUUGGACUAAAAUUCUUAUGUACUGUUGAUGGUGACGUGGCAGCAUAUCAGUGGACCAAAAAUCUCGUGUACGGUACAUGCAUCACAUAGGAUUAUUUUCAACCAACCGCAUUACUGUUUAAUUCGGGUCAAACCGUGUUACUGUUCAUCCACGUGGUCAAACCUCGUAUUGUUGAUUGAUGACGUGGCGCAAUCCUAAGCGUCCAAACUGUUUUUAAUCCGAUGGCUAUGAUUUACUCCAUGUAUCUAUAAAAAGGGGGCCCCCCUAAUUUGAUAGCUCUGAAUCCAUUUUUUGGAUCCAUUUUCUGUAAUUCCUUCUCCAUCUUGUAUUUUUUACGUAUUUUAAUAAAUUUCCAUUUUGCCCCUAGUUCAAUUAUGAGUGGCUAAUUUUCUUUCAAGCUUAGGUUGAAGGUGAAGUCUCAACAUGUGUCAUGGACUUUAUUUGGUAAAUUUACUUUCUCUUCCCCUCUAAUUUUUGUGGAUGUUUUGACUUCUCGUCGACAAAUAAUAUUAAUCUUGUCUAGUACCGCUUUGGUUUCACCGGCCCCCUAGUGCAAUGUUAUUAUUAUUUAAAACGAUAAGCCUUUAGCACUAUAUUGAUUAGAGUGUGGUUCAUGGGGUGUGGAUUCCCCCCUCAUGAUUUAAUUGGUAUUAAUAAGGAAUAUUUAGUCCAUGAUGCAUGUUGAUACGGAUCCAGAUACCCAAGUACGUCAAUUUAAUAGAUUUUCACUUCAAUUUAUUCUUGCCAUCUUAAUUCGAAUUUUAGGAUAAUCCGAAUCAUUUUCACCAUAAAUCCAACCACCCUCAUAGAAAAUUAAUUCUGCAUACAAUUAAAAUCCACCUCCUCAUGGGAUCGACACUCGUCUCCAUUAAUAUAUUCUACAAUAGAUUCGUGCACUUGCGAGUUCAAUAAAAUUUGCACAAUAAGUUUUUGGCGCCGUUGCCGGGGAGGUAAGUAAUUUUAAUUCAUAUAAUUAAUUUUUGUGAAUAAUUUCAUUUAAUUGUUUUCUUGUAUUUUUUUCUUUAAAAAAAAAGAAAAAAAAGUGAAUAUACAUUUAAAGGUUAGUAUUUCUUUUCUUUUUCUCUUCUUUAAAAUUCUGAAAUUUAAUUUUCAAUUUAUUUUUCUUUGUAAUUUUUUUUGUUUAUCUUAUUAAUUUAUUUUUAGUUAAUUUAUUUCAUGUAUUUAUUUUUGUGUAUUUUUAUAGAAAUGUUUUAACAGCGUGAUAAGGUUAGUAACGUAAUUUCUCCUUCUUCUUUAUUUUUAUUUGUUUUGUUCCCAUUUAUCUUUGUGUUUCUUGCAUGCAUGGUCGUAGGUCAUUAUUACCUAAUCUUGAACCUAUAGACCUUGAACUAGAAAAAAACACUUCGCACACACAAGCACGUGAAAAAUAAAUUUGGAAUGGAUUUACAAGCACCAUAGGAGAGGCCAUUUAAGAACUAUUUUAGUCCUUUAGCUAAUUUGAGCACAUUAUGUAUAAGAUACCCAAAUAUAACUGCUAAGAGCUUUGAACUAAAACCUAGUGUGCUAAAUUGUCUCCCCACAUUCUAUGACUUAGAAAAUGAGGACCCAUAUAAUCAUCUGAAUGAUUUUCAUGCUAUUUGUCAAACAUUUAAAUAUGAGAAUUUUUCAGACGAUGAUGUUAAACUCAGAUUAUUCUCAUUUUCUUUAAAGGAUAGAACUCAUUCAUGGUUAAAUACUUUGCCUGCUAAUAGCAUUACAUCAUGGGAACAAAUGGUAACUAAAUUUUUGAAUAAAUAUUUCCCAGUGCAUAAAACCAAUGUUAUUCGCAGAGAAAUUUCAGAGUUUACACAGAGAGAAGAUGAACAGUUUUUCGAAACAUGGGAGCCAUUCAAUGGGCUACUCUUGAAGUGUCCACAUCAUGGGUACGAGAAAUGACACCAAUGCCAAUACUUUUUGGAGGGAUUAUUGCCGAAUGUGCAAGAAUGACUAAUGGCAACAAGUGGAGGAGAGCUAAUGUCUAAAAGUGCAUCAGAAAUUUGGAAAUUCUUCCAGCGACAAGCAGAUAAUUCCCAACAACGAAGUCGAUCACUCAGGAAUACUAGAAGAAUUAAGGGAGUAAAUAAUGUUCACAUUGGCGAGUCAAGUUCAUAAAUUAAAGAAGUCAAAGUGAUAAUUGAAGGUCUCUCUUGACAAAUAGCAUCGUUAUCGACUGCUAAAUCAACAGAGCCACAUGACCAUGACUCGUACUCAAAUCAAGCCAAUGCCAUAGGUGUAAUGAGAAAACCAUCGAAUUACAACCCAUACUCCAACACAUAUAACCCUGGAUGGAGAGACCACCCCAAUUUUUCAUGGUCUCAAGGAUUACAGCAGAAUGGACCAGCAGCUCCAGCUCCAUUAAUUCCUCAAAAUCCUUAAGCCUCUCAGCCACCAUUUAGACCAUACAAUCAAAACUAGAACUACUCUCAACUCAGACCAUGGGAGGAUGCAUUCCAGAAUUUCAAGAAUGUUACUCACUCCACGAUUGAGCAACAGAACCGCACCAUUGAUGGACUACGAAAUGAGUUGCGAGCAGACUUUAACUCACAAGCCCAAUCAGUUUCAAGCUUCGAGAAGAUGGUGGGACAACCAGUGCCUAAUCCUAAAGGAGUACAUGAAGCAAGUACCAGUUCAUCACAACAGCAUGGAGAGCUCAAAGCAGUCAUGACCUUGCGAAAAGGAAAAGAAGUCGACAACAAAGUGGAGAUGCCGGUGACAAAAGAAAAUCAAAUUGUACUUGUGAAUGUUGAUGACUCACCAUCAGAGGAGAAAGAAGAAACCAACCCGCGAGAAUAUGUUCCUAAAGCUCCAUUUCCUCAGAGGUUAGCUAAAGGAAAGAAGGAAAAAUCCACAAGUGAGAUUCUCGAAAUCUUCAAACAGGUAAGUGUUAAUAUCCAUUUACUUGAUAUUAUUAAAAAAGUUCCAUCUUAUGCCAAGUUUCUUAAAGACUUUUGUACUAAAAAGAGAAACAUUCAUGUUCAAAAGAAGGCAUUUUAACAGAAAACGUUAGUUAUAUCCUUCAACACAAAAUUUCGCUAAAAUACAAAGACCCAGGAUCCCCCACUAUCUCAUGUAGUAUAGGGAACCACACAAUUGAGAAUGCUUUGUUGAAUUUAGGAGCUAGUGUAAAUUUGUUGCAUUAUUCAGUAUUUGUGAAACUUGGACUGAGAGAAUUACACCCAACUCCAGUAGUGUUACAGCUUGCAGAUCGGUCCAUGAAAAUACCUCGUGGUAUUCUGGAGGACGUGCUUAUCUAGGUAGACAAGUUUUAGUUUCCUGUUGAUUUCAUUGUAAUUGACACUCAACCAAUACAGGAUUCAAGGAAGCACAUCCCCAUUAUUCUAGGCCGACCUUUCUUGGCAACUGCGAAUGCUCACAUUCAAUGUAGGACUGGAAAUAUGCAGUUGUCCUUCGGCAACAUGACUAUGGAGCUGAACAUCUUCAACAUUGCCAAACAACCUCACAAUGCAGAUGAUAGAAUUGUUGAUGUGGAUUUAAUAGAAACAAUAGUUGAUAACACUUUUCUUUCAAACCUUAAUGAUGAUCCUUUACAAAAAUGUUUAACUCACUUUAGUUUUGAUUUUGAUAUUGACAGAUCGGUUGAUGAGGUCAACGCCUUGCUUGACUCAGCACCAUUUAUGGACACUAAUAAAUGGAAGUCAAGAGUUGAACAACUAGCACCAUCAGAGAAGAAACUCAUCCCAUCAUCAGAAUCACCAUCGAAACUCGAGCUCAAACAUUACCCAACACUCUGGAAUAUGCAUUUUGGGAGAAGAAAGUACUCUGUCGGUAAUCAUCUCAUCAUCCCUAAAUGACGAACAAAAAAGUAAGUUGUUGGAUGUUUUAAAAGAGCACAAAGGAGCAUUAGGAUGGACCAUGGCAGACAUAAAAGGUAUAAAUCCAGUAGACUGCAUGCAUUACAUUCACCUUGAUGAAAAUGCUAAAUCUACUAGGGAAAUGCAACGUCGGUUAAAUCUUAAUAUGAAAGAAGUUGUUAGAACAGAAGUCCUUAAGCUAUUCGACGUAGGUAUCAUUUACCCAAUUUCUGAUAGUUCAUGGGUCAGUCCUGUACAAGUUGUCCCCAAAAAGUCAGGAGUCACAGUAGUUAUGAAUGCUGAUAAUGAAUUGAUACCCACUAGAGUGACUACAUGAUGGCGUGUAUGUAUUGAUUAUAGAAAGUUGAAUUCUGUCACACGUAAAGACCAUUUUCCUUUACCAUUUAUUGAUCAAAUGCUUGAUAGAUUAGCAGGCCAUGAAUUUUAUUGCUUUUUAGAUGGCUACUCAGGAUACAAUCGGAUCCCCAUAGCACCAAAAGAUCAAGAGAAGACCACUUUCACUUGCCCUUUUGGCACAUUUGCAUAUAGGAGAAUGCCAUUUGGAUUAUGUAAUGCACCUGUUACAUUUCAACGAUGCAUGUUAAGCAUUUUUUCUGAUAUGGUUGAACGAUUCCUAGAAGUCUUUAUGGAUAACUUUUCUAUCUUUGGUGAUUUGUUUGAUCAAUGUUUACAUCAUCUAACAUUAGUUCUGCAGAGAUGUAUCGAGAAGAACUUGGUCUUAAAUUGAGAGAAUGUCAUUUUAUGGUAAAACAAGGUAUUGUUCUCGGUCACAUCAUUUCGAGCAAAGGUAUUGAGGUUGAUAAAGCCAAGGUGGAUCUUAUUUCUAAUCUUCCUCCACCCAAAACAGUCAGAGAAGUAAGAUCUUUCCUUGGGCAUGCUGGUUUUUAUAGACGUUUUAUUAAAGAUUUUAGCAAAGUUUUUAGACCCUUAUGCAAUUUACUUGCUAAGGAUGUAAUUUUUGUCAUUGAUGAUUCAUGUCUUGUGGCAUUUGAAAAGUUAAAGCAAUUGUUGACAUUAUCACCCAUCAUUCAGCCCCCAAACUGGAGCGUACCAUUCGAGCUCAUGUGUGAUGCAUCUAAUUAUGCAGUAGGAGCAGUUUUAGGACAAAGAGUUGAUUGAAUUUCCCACGUUAUUUACUAUGCUAGUAUGACAUUGAAUGAUGCACAGUUAAACUAUUCAACUACUGAAAAAGAAAUGCUAGCAGUAGUGUUUGCAUUAGAGAAAUUUCGAUCUUAUCUCAUUGGUUGUAAAAUAAUUAUAUUCACAGAUCAUGCUGCUCUUAAAUAUCUUCUCACAAAGAAAGAUGCAAAAGCUAGACUAAUUCGUUGGAUGUUACUUUUGCAGGAAUUUGACUUGGAAUUCAAAGAUAAGAAAGGGACAGAAAAUGUUGUGGCUUACCACCUCUCUCGUCUCUAUUUUGACACAAUUACAGAGCCAUUAAUAUUGAAUGAGUCAUUUCUAGAUGAACAAUUAAUGAGUGUGGAAGUAUUACCUUGGUAUGCUGAUAUAGUUAAUUAUCUUGUUACAGGUAAACUUCCAGAGCAUUGGACCAAGCAAGAUAAGGCUAAAUUCUUUGCAGAGAUAAAGAAUUUCUUUUGGGAUGACCCUUAUUUGUUCAAGUAUUGUGUAGAUCAAAUUGUUAGACGAUGUUUCCUAGAAAAUGAAAUUCAGAAUAUCAUUUCAUUCUGCCAUGAACAAGCUUGUGGAGGCCAUUUUAGUGCUAAGAAAACAGCGACUAAAGUUUUACAAUGUGGUUUCUAUUGGCCAACUAUAUUUCGAGACGCUUACACUUUCUGUUCUUCAUGUGAUAGGUGUCAACGAAUGGGGAGUAUUACGCGAAGGAACAUGAUGCCACUAAAUCCAAUUUUAGUGGUUGAGAUUUUUUAUGUAUGGGGUAUCGACUUCAUGGGACCCUUUCCCCCUUCUUUUGGCCAUCAAUACAUAUUAGUUGCUGUUGACUAUAUAUCGAAAUGGGUAAAAGCAAUUCUAUGCAGAACUAAUGAUCACAAGGUGGUGAUAGGAUUUUUGAAAAGCAAUAUUGUCUCACGCUUUGGAUUCCCUCGAGCAAUAAUCAGUGAUGGUGGUGCCCACUUUUGUAACAAAGCAUUCAAAGCUCUUUUGAUAAAGUAUUUAAUCACUCAUAAAGUGGCGACUCCAUAUCAUCCGCAAACUAGUGGCCAAGUUGAGAUCUCCAAUCGAGAAAUAAAGCACAUAUUAGAAAAGAUAGUGAGGCCGGACAGAAAAGAUUGGUCAUUAAGACUUGAUGAUGCAUUAUGGGCAUAUAGAACGGCUUUCAAGACUCCGAUUGGGAUGUCACCCUACAUGCUAGUGUAUGGAAAAGCUUGCCACCUACCUGUGGAACUCGAGCAUCGUGCAUAUUGGGCUAUCAAGAAAUUCAAAUUUGACAUGCAGCAAGCCAGCUCAGAAAGAAGAUUACAGCUGGGAGAACUUGAAGAAAUUUGUAAUGAUGCAUACGAAAAUGCCAAGAUUUACAAGCAACGAAUGAAAGUCUUCAAUGACAAGCAAAUUAUGAGAAAAUCGUUCACUCCAGGUCAGAAAGUGCUUUUAUUCAAUUCUCGCUUGCACCUAUUCCCAUGUAAGUUACGCUCUCGAUGGUCUGGUCCCUUUAUUGUUUAUACUGUUUUUCCACAUGGGGCAAUUGAAAUUAAAGACCCAAAUAACGGUGUCACAUUUAAAGUUAAUGGUCAAAAAUUAAAACCAUAUCUAGAGUACCACACAUGGAGAAGACACCGAAAUAAAUUUGAGUGACCCACCAGAUUUGAAUUGAAUGUUUUUUCUUUUCGGUGGUUUGAUUUUUCUUUCUUUCUUUUUAUUAUUCUUUUGCUAAUUGAAAUUAUUUUUGCAUAAGUGUGUUUGUUUUACCAUUAAGUUUUCUCUUAUCACUGUUAAUCAUGAACACCAUACUUAGACCAUUCCUUCUGAACAUUCUUAAACCACUUCAACGUGUUAAAACUCAUCUCAAAAGGCAGAUUCAAUUUUGUAAAACACAUCGUAUUUGGGCUCUGCAACUACCAGAGUUAGUAUCAUGUGUAGAGGGUUGUGAAAGCCAACUCAGGGAUAUUGAGAGAAAUGUUUACGACAUCCAGUUGGAGCUUGAGGUAAAGUGGCGGAUAACGGUACUCCGUGACAAUUAAGUUGGUUACUUCAGUUUCCCAUAAUAACCGAUAUUCUGAGGCGAAGGUAUGGAUAGAAACGAGAUUCUAGCAAAGGUUCACAAGCGAUUCCCUUCACUUCCUCAGAAUGCCCUCCUUACAAUCUAUAAAGCCCGGCCCGAACGCAUGCGAUUGCUCGUGAGGAAUAACAUACCUGCUGACAUUCGUUGGUUAAUCGAGGCUAAAGUACGAUUUACAGGUGAGUUACCUCCAAAAUUUAUUGCAUACAUGCCUGGUUGUGGUAAAGGAAAUUAUGCAAGAAAACGACAAGCUCGAAGAAUUUUUGUUACUUGUCAUAAGUGUGCCAGAAUGAGUUGCAAUAAAAAACCAUGUUCUUUAAGACUGAUGUCUGAUAACAGAGAAGAUAAGAUUCAAUUCAUUAGGGAUGGCUUGAAUAAGGAGUCUUUGGAUGAUAUCCUUUUGUCUCUUGAAACGCAUCCCAGUGGAUAUGUGCAAAGAGCGAUUCUCCAGUUAUGACCAUUAUUCUAGAAAGAGCAUGUACGAUAUAGUCUCGGGAAUCUAACUAUAAACGACCCUGUUUGCCAGUUUAUAAGAAAAUUGGAUGGGAAGCCUAUCCUCGACCCAUAGAGGGCGUUCAAGCCGUUUCUGGACGUAAAACUAGAGGAAGAUGUGAGUCACAAUCGCAAGUACCUGUAAAUAUCAUUUUACUUCACUGUUAUUUUAUUUUACUAUUGUUUUAUCAUUUGCAUUAUUGUCUUUAAUAAUUUUAUUUUAUCAUUAUUUUUUUUCUUUUUACUGUUUCCUUUUUGACUCACGAGCCAUGUGCUUUACGCGUUAUUUGACACUGACAUGCCACCUCAUACACAUGUGUGAUCCACUGUCACCAAGAUUCUUAAAUAUGACUUUUUGUUAAGCACUCAUAAAUUAUUUUUGAGAAAUAUUCCGAUGGCAGCUACUCCCAAUAGAUAAUUAAAGAACAUUUGUGUGCUUUAUGGAUUUACCUAUAGCAAACAUAAAGAGUUCGUUGAUGCAGCCAUAGAUCUUGGUCGAAGUAUAGCAGAGAGAAAAUUACAUUUGGUGUAUGGAGGAGGUAACCGAGGGUUAUCAAAAUUGUUCUCAGAAGCUGCUUUUGUCAGAGGAAACCAAGUGUUAGGCAUCAUCCCAAGAGUCCUAAAACCUUUGGGCAGUUUGUCUGACUCACCGACUGGAGAAGAGUUAGUCAUCUCAGGUAUGCAAGAAAUAAUAACUGAAAUGCUUAAUCAUGCUGAUGCUUUUAUUUUCAUUCCAGGAGAUCUUGCAACACUAGAGGCACUUAUCACACUAGCAUCUUGGGCCCAUCUGCACAUUCACCAGAAACCCAUCGGUUUACUAAAUGUCAAUAAUUUUUAUGAUGACUUUAUUGCAUUUCUUAACCAUGCAAUAAAAAACUAUUUCGUUCCUUCCAAUGCCAAAAAGCUUUUUAUUUGUGCUCACACUGCUAAUGAGAUACUUGAUCUGUUACAAGCUUAUAAACCGGAGCCAGACCCCUAGACCUUUGUGUUGGAGCGUCCAAAUAAUGAUGGUAACAGUAGCUGCAGUAAGAAGUACAAAUUAGAUUUAACUCUCCGCUUGUAAAUAUUUUCUUCUGUGUUGCAUCACCCAGGUGAUGUCUUCUAAACUCUACUUCUUUCCUUUUAAACAUUGAGGACAAUAUUUCGUUCUGGUUGGGGGGAGGGAAUAGUUGACAAUUGUGGAAUCUUAGUUAAGUUUUUACUAAUUUUUUGUUGUAGAAACUAACUGUUGCUAACUUUUUGUGUUGAAGAUGGCUGAAUAUGGAGUGUAGUGACUCUAGAAACGCAUCUUCAUCGUUUGAAAAAAAAACAAAAAAAAAUUCAAAAAAAUUCAGACAUUUUCUUUUUCUUUAUUAAGUUUUGAUGUUCAUUUUUCUUCUUCUUUUUAAUUUCUCCUUUAUAAAUGUACAUUUUCAAAUAUUUGAGGCGAAGAUGGCUGAAUAUGGAGAGUAGUGCCUCUAGAAAUGCAUCUUCUUAGUUAAAAAUUUUUUUUUCUUUUUCUAAUAAAUUUUUCUGCAUCAUCUUCACAUUUCUGCAUGCAUAUUUUCCUUUCAUGUUUAGAAUAGGUUGGGGGGUAGAAUGUUGUUUAAAAAAAAAAUUUUUGUGUGAUUUGUUUUAACAUUGGAUGACAUGAUUAAUUUUAAAUUUUAGUAUUUGUAUUAUCUUUGGUCUUAAGCGAUGUUACAUUAUGUUUGUUACUCUACAUGUUGAUGUCAGAGACAAAUAUGAGUUGCUUGAAGGAAUGAACAUGUCAUAAAUAAAUGCCAAGUGAGUUUUUGAGCGUAUCAUUUUUCUUGGAGAGUAACAUUUUUGCUCAUUCUUUAUACAACUUAGUGGUUUAUUAUUGUAUACACGAUCUCUAGAUUUCUUUUGAGUUAACCCUUAAAAAAAUUAUAAAAGUAAAAAAAAAAUGUGUGUUGCUACAUUGGGAGGCCCAUCUAACUAGUAGAUAUGGAAGGUUAUUUAGAGCCCUAAAAGACAAUGGAAAUGUCAUUUUUGAUCCGUUUGAGCAUUUCUAGCCAUCCCUUUUGUGAAAUAUCCAUAGUUAACCAUUUUAAGCCUUUUAAAAAAAAGAAAAAUAAAGCUUUUUAUUUGUUAAACUUAUCAUCUUGACCCACUCCGAUUUAGAGUAUUACUCGAUGUCUUAUAAGUUCCAUCACCUAUUUAUGUUUAAGAAAAAUGUAAAUAAUUAUUUUUCUCAGUGACGUUGUGCCAAGCAAAAGUAAAAAAAAAUUGUUUUAAAAAAAAGAAGAAAAAAAUAACAAUAAUAGGUGAAAUCCACCUUGUAACUUCAAAAAAAAAAAAUUCCUCUGCAUUUUUCUCAAACAUACACUUUGUUUUUCUUAUUUCCCUUCUUUGUUAAUCAUGUCCCUAGCCUACGUUACGUCUUAAUAAAAGUCCUUGAUUUUAAGGAACUAUAGUCUGAAGUAGAAGCUAGUUAUAUGGGCUAAAAAGAUGUAGUGAUGCAUAAUAAAAAAAAAGAGAAAAAAGAAGAUAAAUAAAGUGGGUCGACUAGCAUUUUUGUUUGACUUGAGAUCGUAUUAUUUCUAAGCUGAUGGCAUAUUUCUUUCAUCUUGGUGAGAGCAUGUGAUAUCACUUCUUUAUUAUGUUCUCUCAAUUACCAUUCAUUGGAGUGACUAUUUUUAUUGGUUUUAAUUUCUUUGUGAGAGUGUCACUACUUCCAGUGAGAUUUUGGGGUUUGACAUGUCAUUCUUGAAGGUAACUAUGACAAAGUUUACUAGGCUGAUUCAUGUGGAUGAUUGAUGUGGGUGUGAUGUUGCUUUAGACUGGAGAUAAUGCUUAUACUUUUAUUUAAUUGCUAUCAUUAGUCUGAUUGAAUAAACAAGAUUGUUUAAAAAAAAAUUGUGUUUGAAUUUUGUUUUCGCUUUAUUUGCUAGGGACUAGCAAUAAGCUGGUUGGGGGGUGUGUUGAGUAUUAGAAAAUGUAUAUUUAUAAAGGAGAAAAUCGUCAUUUUACACUUCAAGUUUUACUAAUACCCUUACUUUUAUGUAUUUAACCUUCUUUUGAUUUAAUUCCGUGUAUUUUAUUUUAAUUAAGUAUUUUAUGUAUUUUAGGGGCAUCAUAGUCAUUUCACAAUAAACGAGAGAUCAAACGGUAAAACGGACAUCACUUUUGAACUCAGGACGGUCGAAAACCUUAGAAGGAGCAUAAAAAGAAAAAUGGCACUGUUCAUGUGUACGAUACUAUUCACGUGUACGGUAGUGUCUACGUUACUGUUCAUGAUACUGUUCACAUAUACGGAUCGAUGACGUGGCAUUAACCGAUGAUGUGGCAUUGACUGAUGAGGUGUCACGAUCCUGUUGGACUAAAAUUCUUAUGUAUUGUUGAUGGUGACGUGGCAGCAUAUCACUGGACCAAAAAUCUCGCGUAUGGGACAUGUAUCACACAGGAUUAUUUUCAACCAAACCACGUCACUGUUCAACCCGGGUCAAACUGUGUUACUGUUCAUCCGCGUGGUCAAACCACGUACUGUUGACUGAUGACGUGGCGCAAUCUUGAGCGUCCAAACUGUUUUUAAUCCGAUGGCCAUGAUUUACUCCAUGUAUCUAUAAAAAAGGGGCCUCCCCUCCUUAAUUUGAUAGCUCUGAAUCCAUUUUUUGUAAUUCCUUCUCCAUCUUGUAUUUUCUACGUAUUUUAAUAAAUUUCCAUUUUGCCCUUAGUUCAAUUAUGUGUGGCUAAUUUUCUUUCAAGCUUGAGUUGAAGGUGAAGUCUCAACAUGUGUCAUGGGUUUUAUUUGGUAAAUUUACUUUCUCUUCCCUCUAAUUUUUGUGGAUGUUUUGACUUCUCGUCGACAAAUAAUACUAAUCUUAUCUAAUACCACCUUGGUUUCAUCGGCCCCCUAGUACAAGGUUAUUAUUAUUUGGCACGAUAAGCCCUUAGCACCAUAUUGAUUAGAGUGUGGUUCAUGAAGUGUGGAUUCCCCCCUCAUGAUUUAAUUGGUAUUAAUAAGGAAUAUUCGGCCCAUGAUGCAUGUUGAUACGAAUCCAGAUACCCAAGUACGUCAAUUUAAUAGAUUUUCACUUCAAUUUAUUCUUGCCAUCUUAAUUCGAAUUUUAGGAUAAUCCAAAUCAUUUUCACCAUAAAUCCAACCACCCUCAUAGAAAAUUAAUUCUACAAACAAUUAAAAUCCACCUCCUUGUGGGAUCGACACUCAUCUCUAUUAAUCAAUUCUACAAUAGAUUUGUGCACUUGCGAGUUCAAUAAAAUUUGCACAACAAAAGUUAUUUAUGAAGGAAUGAUAAAAGAAAAAUGGGACAUGCUUGCAGCUCAUUGUUUAAUAGGAAAAAUCCUUCUUAAUUGAGGGAUACACAUCGAAGGCCUGAGAAUCACUAUGAGACAAGUUUGGAAAAGCUUAGAGAAGUGAAGAUCGAGAGCAUGGGGGAGAAUUUCUUCAUGUUUAAAUUCGGCUUAGAAGAGGAUAAAAAAAGGGUGUUUGUAGGUGGCCCUUGGCAUUUUGAUAAUGCUCUAAUAGUUUUUACAGAGCCAACGGGAGUUGGGGACAUAAAAAAGCAAUCAUUCUCACACACUUCAUUUUGGAUACAAUUUCAUAAUGUGCCUCUUAUGUGCGUGGACAAAUAUGCAGUUUAAAAACUAGGGUCUUUGAUAGGAAAAGUGGAAGAUGUGGACACCGACGAAGCAGGGGAAUGCGUGGGGCCUAUUGUUCGAACAAGAAUUUCAGUGGAUGUCACCAGACCACUGAAAAAGAUCCUUUUUAUUGCAGCAAGAAGAUGGAGUUAAAACCCCAAUAGGAGUCCAAUAUGAAAGGCUCCCCGAAUUUUGUUUCUUUUGUGGGCUAGUAGGACACCAGUAUAGGGAAUGCUUAAAGUAUAAGGGGCAACUAAAGGAAAAAUUAGCCUACGGAUCAUGGCUAAAAGCAUUGCCAGUGGCUGAAUGGAACAGGAAAAAUAAAGGGAGAGGAAAAUGGAACAAAGAGCACCAUCAACAAAAUCUGAAAAUGGUGAGCACAGUAAGCUAGAAUCAGGAUCAAACCAGGCAAACCUAAAGCAACCCAAAAAAAGACAAUUGGUCGGGUCAAAGCGAAAGUGGUCAGCCCAUAAACCCAAUGGAGAUGGGAAAGGUGAGAGAAGUAGCUGAAGAGCAUUUAAUACAAGUAGCUGUGAAGGCUAUAAAUAUCAGAGACAACAGACUACACGAUAUUGGGGAAGCAAAACUGAGCAAUGCAGCUGGAAAAUGCUCUCCUAGGAAACUGGAAUGCAGGGCGGGAACCAGUGGAAGGCGGGAAAGUGAAAGGCAAAAUGAAAUCAAACUUGGGGCUAUUCCAAAUCCACAAGGCAUAAGCAGCCAUAAUAUUUUGGAAGUUAAGGAGUCAGUUAAUGGGCCGAUUAAAGCCAAUUCAAAGCCCAAAAGCCGGAAAUAGAAAGCAAAAGUAAGAGCUCAAACAGAAAAAGGAAGCAUUAUGGGGAGACAAACAAAGACUAAAAGACCAAACAGUACACUUAGCGGCCAGAGCCCAAAGUCAAAGCGGGCAAAAUUAAAUAGCCCGAAUAAAGCUCUCAACAACAAGCUUCAGAUUAACGCCCCUGCAAUGAAAAUUCAGCUGGCAUGGGAACAACACAAUGCUAUGGCCUUGGAGGAUAUAGAAAACAUUCCAGAAGAUAUAGAGGCGGGAGCUGGUGAACAGCCCUGCCGACAACAAUGAAAAUCAUAAGUUGGAACGUUUUGGGUUUGGGGAAUCCCCAAACACGCCUAGCUAUGAGGAAAAUUCUCCAACAAGACAGACCUCAGCUUAUUUUUGUGUGCGAAACGAAGUUGGAGGCUGUACAAAUCCAUGAAGAAUGUAAAAAGCUUGGUUUUGAUGAGUGCUUUGCAGUAAGUAGAAAUGGGAAAAGUGGAGGCAUAGUUAUGAUGUGGAAGUCUGACAUUAAUGUACACAUUCUCUCCUACAGUAGGCAUUACAUUGAUGUUAAAGUGCAGAGUGGCAAUGGCAAAAAAUGGCGAUGUACUGGAGUCUACGGGCACGCGGAAGCUCAACAAAAGCAGCAUACGUGGACUCUAUUACGAAGGUUAUCAGGUUUGUCCUCAAAACCAUGGUUGUGCUUUGGUGAUUUUAAUGAAAUAUUGAGGUUGGAUGAGAAAAGUGGAGGGAAUGAUAAAAACAUUAGGAUGGUUUCUGAGUUCAAAGAAGCUGUUCAAGAUAGUAAGUUGGCUGAUUUGGGUUAUAAAGGGUAUCAAUUCACGUGGUGUAACGGCAGGGAUGGGCAACACUUUGUUGAGGAAAGGUUGGAUAGAUUCUUAUGCAAUGAAGAGUGGGGGAACCAUUUCCAGGAGCAACCGUGCCAAAACUUAGUUAGUGUAGGUUCUGAUCAUUAUCCAAUAAUGAUGGAGAUAAAAAAGAAAGGUCCCGGUUUGCAGUAUGUGAAAAAAACCUUUCCCAGGGUGCAUUACGAGGACAUGUGGAGCUCGUAUGAUACUUGUAAAAGCUAAAUGGGAGAAUUAUGGUGUUGUAAAAGGUGGAAGCCCUGUAAUGCAAUUUAAGGCUGUGGCAAAGUCAUCGUUGGCUCAUUUAAAAUAGUGGAGUGAGGAGGAGUUUGGAGGUCAGGAAAGGAAGUUAAAAACGCUGAUGAAAGAGCUUCAAAAGGCAAAGCAAAGCAAGAUGCACUAUGAAGAGGCAAAUGGCAUAAGGCAGAUUGAAAAGCAAAUCCACAAUAUUCUGCUGGAGGAGGAAAUUUAUUGGAGGCAUAGAGUUAGAGCGAACUGGUUGCAAGCAGGUGACAAAAACACUAAAUUUUUUCACUCAAAAGCCACAGCUAGAAAGAGGAAAAAUAGAAUUUGGGGUGUGGAGAAAAAAGAAGGCAGCUGGACAGAAGAUGGAGAAGCUGUAGAAAGAGAGUUUGAUGAUUAUUUUCAGCAACUCUUCACAUCCUCCAAGCUGAGCCAAGAUCAGAUGAAUGCAGCACUGGAGGGCUUAACACCAAAGGUUACAGCAACCAUGAAUGACCAGCUGGAUGCCCCUUUUACAGCAGAGGAAAUAUCAGAAGCUUUGUUCCAAAUGUGUCCCACUAAAGCACCUGGCCCGGACGGAUUGCAUGCAAUGUUUUUUCAAAAGCAUUGGCAGCAUGUUGGCAAAGGAGUGAUCCAAACCUGUCUGCACAUAUUGAAUAAUCAAGGUAACCUCAGCCCCUUAAAUCAUACAUUCAUUGCCUUGAUUCCGAAAGUUGCCAAACUUAGGAAAGUCACCGAAUACAGACCUAUUAGUCUAUGUAAUGUGGUGUAUAGAAUUGUUGCAAAAGUUAUAGCUAAUAGGUUGAAGCAAGUUCUCCACCAAAUCAUUUCCCCUUAUCAAAGUGCAUUCGUGCCCAAUAGAAUUAUUACGGAUAAUAUUGAUUUUGGGUACGAAUGCCUUCACAAAAUAAGGCACAGUAAAGGGAGGAAAAAUGGGCUGGUAUCUCUCAAGUUAGAUAUUAGCAAAGUUUAUGAUAGGGUAGAAUGGGGCUUUUUAGAGCACAUUAUGAGGAGAUUAGGCUUCACAGAAAAAUGGGUAUAGUUAGUCAUGAAAUAGGGCUGCCAUAAAUUUAAUUCAACCUCAAAUGGGGUUGCGGCAGGGGUGCCCUCUAUCACCUUACUUGUUUAUUUUAUGUGCAGAAGGUUUCUCUAAUUUACUCAUGCAGGUUGAAAGGGAGAAACUGAUUCCUGGACUCAAAUUUGAUAAAUAAGUAACGGUCUCACAUCUUUUGUUCGCUGAUGACAGCUUUGUUUUCACCAAAGCAUCUAUUGAAGAUUGUCGAAACUUAAAAGCAAUUUUCGAUUGCUAUGCAGCCGCCUCAGGACAGAUUUUCAAGUAUGAAAAAUCUUCAAUGUUUUGUAGUGGGAAGCUUCCAGCAAAGCAAAUCACAGCCAUCAAAAACAUUUUCCAAUUGAAAAUGGUGUCUAAAUACGAAAAAUAUUUAGGCUUACCAUCCAUGAUUGGAAGAAAAAAGAUGAGCUUCUUUAAUGAGGUGAAGCUAAAAGUUUUGAGUAAGAUUUCAAAUUGGCAAAACAAUUUUUUUUCAAGCGGAGGCAAAGAAGUGUUGAUAAAGGCGAUAGCUCAGGCUGUCCCGGCUUACGCCAUGAGCGUAUUUAAACUUCCAUUGACAUUAUGUGAAGGCAUUCAGAAAGCAAUUGCCAAAUUCUGGUAGGGAACUAACAAAGAGAAGCACGACAUUCAUUGGGCUAGAUGGGAGAGAAUGAGCCAUGCUAAGCAUAGAGGUGGUUUGGGUUUCAGAGACAUUUCAUGCUUCAAUCAGGCCUUAGUAGCAAAGCAAAGCUGAAGAAUUAUUCAAAAUUCAGAAUCUCUAAUGGCAAGAGUUCUCAAAGCAAGAUAUUUCAAGCAUGAUGACUUCCUCAACGCCAAGAUAGGUUCCAACCCAUCCUUUAUAUAGAGAAGCAUAAUGUGGGGCAGACAAAUAAUUCUAAAAGGCUCAAGAUGGCGAAUCGGUUCUGGGGAAAAGGUCAAAGUUUACAGAAGCAAUUGGCUGCCGCGGCCAACAACUUUUAGGCCAAUAUCGCCAAGAACCCUUGCUGUAGAUGCUAAAGUGGCAGAGCUGAUAAGCCCUGAAGGAGAGUGGAAGAGGGAUAUGAUCCAACAGAAUUUUAUUAAAGAAGAUGCAGAAAUCAUUUCAAGGAUUCCCCAGCCAAGGUACACAGCAUUGGAUGAGUUGUGUUGGCAUUAUGAUAAGCUCGGGAAAUAUUCGGUCAAAAGUGGCUACCAAAUAGCUUUAAAGGAAAAAUUUCCAAGUGCCCCAAGCAGCUCAAACCCAGACCCCAAAUAAUGGAAUGCCAUAUGGAAGCUAGACCUCCAAGAAAAGAUAAAGAUGUUUAUAUAGAGGGCUGUUAAAAACCUACUACCAACAGCCGAAAACUUGUGGAGAAGGAAGGUGGUGCCAGACCCAAUUUGUCAAAUAUGCAAACGGGGAGUGGAAACUAGUUUUCAUGCAAUGGUUGAAUGCAAAGCAGCAAGGAAGAUUAGGCAACUUUCUCACCAUGCAGUUGUGGAGAUCACAGCCUCUCAAUGGAGGAAUAUGUUUGAUGUAUUUCUUGAUACAACAAGGCUCCUGAACAAAAAGGAGACUGAGCUGCAGGUUGCAUAUUGGUGGGCUACGUGGAACGCGAGAAACCAUUUCCUCUUCAAAAAGGAAAAACUGGAUGCCUUAAUUUCAAUUGCCAAAGCUGAAGGUGUAGUAGAAGCCUAUAGAAAAUUCAAAAGGACCGAGCAACAGCAGUUGGAAAGCUCAAACAUGGAGAAGCCUAAGCAAUGGAAACCCCCGCCCGAAAACUGGUGCAAAGUAAAUGUGGAUGCUGCAAUUGACCAUCAAAGUCAAAGAGCUGGGUUGGGAGUGGUGAUAAGGAAUGAUAAAGGAGAUGUGGUUGCUGCAGCCAUUAAGCCCUCAAGUUUCAACGGAGAUGUGCCUUUUGCAGAAGCUGAAGCAAUUGAAUGGGAAAUGCAAAUGGCAAAAAGGGCAGGAAUCACUGCAGUCAUUUUGGAAUCAGAUUGUCAAGCAGCCAUUGAUUUGGCAAACAACAGAAAGGGUAGCAAAUCUGAGAUUUUUUGGGUGAUAUCAGAAAUCAACGAUAGGCGAAAAGAGUUCCAGGAAGUCUGAUUUCAAUACACCCUUAGGUCUUGUAAUGCAAAUGCCCAUACCUUAGCUAAGCUAGCUGUAAAAGGUUCAAAAUCCGUUGAAUGGCUAGGAAAUAUACCAGCACAAGUCAUGUGUUUAUUCUCUUUUCAGUAAUGAAGUUUCUUUCCCUUCUCAAAAAAAAGAAGAAGAAUAAAUUAAUGUUUUCAUUUCUGGUAAAUUGAAGUUUACCCAAAUUUAUAUUUUGCUUAACAAAACCAUGAAUGUAAAAUUUACUUGAAUUCUCAAAAUAUAAGUUGCACUACUUUAUUUCUUUUCAUAGAGGUACGUCGCUUGUUAGGCUCAAAUUUAUACAAUCUCGAUUAACUAUGUUAUGGCUCAAUUUCAAUCAUAUGAAAAAUGUUUACUUCCAAAAUGCGUGUAUUUGAAGGGAGGCUAGUAUAUACUGUGAAUAUCUAGACUUAUGAACAACAAUUUUUCACUCUCAAAUUCAUUCAAUUCAGGGGAGGGAGACCUAAGAAAUUAAUUUUACUCUAUUCCCUCACUUAGAGAAAUGUCAUAUUUGGGAUUGAGGCGCUGUAACUUUUAAGUUACAGCUGUUGUGGAAAAUAAAUUGUUACUAUAAAAUAAAAAUUAAUAAUAUGUAGUAAAUAUAAAUUUUAAAUAAUAAUUUUGACAAAAUUAUUAAAGAUAUAAUAGAUUUUUUAUUAUAUAAUAUAAAAAAUCAUAUAACAUAACUUUUAAACUACAGCAGUUAGUGUUUACCUAACACUAAAAGUUACAGUUACCCAAUGUCAAUUCCAAACGCACCCCAAGACUAGAGAGUGGAUUUAAAGUCUUACGCAAUUUUACCCAACUUAGCAUUUAUGAACCCAUUUUAGAGUAUAAUUUUUCCAAAUCAAAAUUUGAAAAUUUAGAUAUAAUUUUCAAUGAUAGUAAAGAAGGAGCAAUGCACCCAAGAUUCCCCCUACUAAGACAUAUCUAUAUCAAAAUUUAAAUAAAAUCUACUCUUAUUGAAGACUGAUGUAGCCGUAUGAGCUUGAACACUUUUGAGUCUUGACUAAGCACCCAUGAGCCAAGUCCUAGUGAUUUUUUUUCCUCUUUUGGAAUACUAGUGAUUUAAAAUUAUAUGAAGAAAAUGUACAUAGUAUCAUAGAUUCGUAAUUUGAUGAUAUCUAUUAUUUAAGCAGCGUCUAGUUGGCGGUAGUAGUGCUAAUUAAUAAACUCUAAGCUCAGGCUAAAUGAAAAGUUUGUUUCAUAACAAAUUAAUAAUACUGUUCUCGGGUACAUGUCUCGUUCCAACACUGCAAUCUACAGGGGGUCGUUAAUUUAUAAGAAGAACAAGAAGAACUGAAACAAAGAAGGCAAAAACCAAUUCUUUUUUUUUUUUUUUUUGAUGAUUGAGUGGACGGAAAAGGGAGAAAAAAAAAUUGAGAUCCCUAUCAUUAAUUGAAUGAAAAUUACACUACUCCAUCCGUAUCAAUUAAUGUCUCGUAAAAAUUUUUGAAUUACAGUAUUUAAUAGGGAUGGCAAUGAACUAGGUAUUAUGCAGGGAUGCUAAUACUCAAACUUGUACCCAUUUGUUAGAGAAUAUCUUCAUACUCAUUGUGGAUUUGAACGGGUACGGAUCAUGUAUUAUUUGAUAAAAAUUAGAAAUACUCGUCUCCUUCUCAUAUCCCCUAUAUCCCCUUAUAUUUUUUUUAACACCUUGAAUAUUUAAAAUACAAAAAUGAUAUCUUAACUAUUUAGCUCAAUUUGAAUAUGCAAUAUUUAUUCUAAAAUUUUUAAAAGAAUAAUUUUCAAUUUUAGGUAAAUAUUAAUUAUAAUUUGAUGAUUGUUAAGUUCAAUUUUAACCAACGUAUUACCAAAUAUUUGGAUCCAAAACAAAAGUCUCCACUUUGGUAUUUUCUUAUCGCUCCUUUUAACUAACCGUGAUUUAAACGUUGUUUUAUUGUCAUUUGUUUUUUUUAUUAGGGCAAGAUUUUAGAUGAUUAGGUAAAUGUCUAGUCUGCUAAAUGACUAAAAUCUCCAAAUAAAUGUCUAGCAUAACAUUAUAUUAGACGGUUGCUCCGAUUACUAAGCUGUUAAGUGAUAAUGUAUAUGUUUUGGGAAUCUUUAUUUGAUUUGGCUGUAAAUUCUAACUUCUAAAACAUUAAAAAUAAGUAAAUAGUCAAUAGUCAAAUGGGUUUAGUGAGCAGUGUAGGUGCUAGUGUUUUAUACCUGUACCCAUCCUGCCCAAUUAAAGGAUAAAUAUCUUUACCCGAUCUUUUUUAUAAGACGAGGGUAAAAUUAAGCUCAAUAAUCAAUAUCCAACCUUAACAAAAUGGGGCCCCAUAUGCCCCGUGCCGGUGGAGAUUUUCUGCUAUUCGUACUAUUGAGGAUAUUUUAUACUCAAAACUUAAGAUUUUUUAAAAACUAAUUUCAUUUGUCUCGUGUGCAUAAAAUCAUGAAAUUAUAAGUCUCUUAUACCAUUGGGUGAAUAAUACAUAGCUAUAUGAGUGAGAUUAUUUAGCACUUUUUAUUUGGUGUGACUUUAUGAGGGAGAAUUGGUUUCUUACUUUCACCACAAGAAAAAAAAAUUAAUUAGGCCAAUAAAAUAUAAAAUAGUAAACAUUUGUAUAGAUAGGAUAAGAAUUUUGUCUCUAGUUGAGUUUGUUUUUAGGUAGAGUUAACGGUCAAGAUUAUUCAAUAUUAGGGGCUAUUUGAGAUUACAUUUUUAGUAUUUGAUAAAUUUUUUUAAAAUUAAUUUUGGCAGAAUAACCCCAUAUUACAACUGAUUUUUUUAAGAAAAGGAAAGAGUAGUUUUUCGUAAUUUGAUUUUUAGAAUUAAUUUUAUACUCAAUACAAUUCCAUAUAUAUCCUCAUAUUAUUAUAAAAACACAAAAUUAUCCUUAUUAAUUAAGAAAUAAGAUCAUUAAAUUUAAAGAGAUUAAAAUUAUUACCAAUUAUAUUAAGAUAAUAAAGGAUAAAAUUAAUAAUAUAAAAAUAUUUAUUUUAGUUAUCAAUUAUUAUAUAUACACAAUUUUUUUUUAUAUACAUGGUGAUAAAUGUGUAACUAAAUUUUAUUUAAUAUUAUGUCUAAUUCAAUUGUUUACAUUCUUAUACUAGUUUAAUAGUAAGACUUAUUAAACACAUAUGUUUGCUUUUAAAAUUCACAGUAUUUUUUAAAAUAAAAUUUAUCAAACUUUUAUUGAUUUUUUAAGCAUAAUUAACAAUAACUAUAUUAAUUUCAAUAUUAUCAAUCUGACCUCGAGACUCAUUUAACUUUGACAUUCAUUAAUACUCAGUACAAACUUAGCCAAUCACUCAUGUUAUUUGGUUAUAGUAGUUUCUUUUCUAAAAAAAAAAAUAGCAAUUAUACAUACAUAUUUUAGGAAAAACCUGUGGUACAACUGUGGUACCGUAUCACAGUUGCAUCCAACCAUUGAAUGUUAGUGAAUUCCACCAAUUUAAGUGCAUCCAACGACUGGAUAUAACUGUGGUACGUUACCACAACUGUACCGUAGCCUGAUCCCAUAUUAUAUUAUGAUUUUAUAUUAUAAUUGUGAUUUAGGAGUAAAACUUUUGAUGUGGUGGUGUUGUGUUGUUCUUUCAAUAUCAAAAAUAUCUUAGUGGGCCUUUUUGAAAUAUCUUCUACGAGUUUGAUAAGGUAUAUUUUACCAUCAAGUAUAUACAAAACAAAAUGGGAAAAAAUAAGACGCGCUUUUCUGGUGCCAAAUUGCCAAUCUCGGUUAAUAAAUUAUUCUAUAUCAUAAACCCGUCGGUGGAAGCUGCAAUUUUUCUCUAUAGCUCAUCCUCCGCUAAGGUGCUAAAAUCGCAACGAAUAAUGCUUUGCGUUUGUUGCUUUUUUAACUUUUUUUUUUCGAGAAGGUUUUUUUAACUUUUUUUUCUUAUAUUAUUACAUUAAAUUUUAUGAAAUAAAUAUCCAGAUAAAUAAUUUUUAUAAAUAAAAAAUAUCUCUAUUUCACUCGUAUUUCGCAAGAGAUAAUAACUUUAAAAUAUUUUAGUCUUCACAAUAUUUUUGUGAGAAUUUAAAAUUUGUGACGCCAGCUGUUCAACCACUCUCGGCCUUUGGCUGAGUGAGUAGGGUUUUUAAACUUUAAAAUAGGACAAAAGCACUGGAAGAAAAAACAGCGCAUAGACAAAACGGAAGCUUAAAAAAUUAAGGAUGAAAAAAAAAAAUGGACGAAUCAAUAAAGUAGCCGGCCAUGUUCAUGAAUUAAGAGACUCCAGUGAUUGACUUGGUCAGGUUCUUUUCUAAAAUCAAAUUGUGGUUCGACUUCGACUAUGGGAACGAGAAGACUGGUAGUUGAAUAAAGAAAUUAAUACGUACCCUACAUUUUGAUCGGAUUUCUUCGGUGGGAUCCACUAAUUUAAUGUAAUAGACUCAUAAAAAUAAAAACGUAUAAAUUUUAUCAAAAAAAAAAAAAAAUUGGACUUGUCAAAUUAAAAGUCAUCAUUAGACUGGUGCACCGAUUAAGCAUAUAGAGAAGAUUACGUUUCCACGCAAGGCUUUUUUUUUUCUCGUUAGAUCAAGCAAAGGUCAGAAAGUCAAGUCGUUAGUGCGUAACGUUGAGUAACAGUUUGGCAUCCCAACGGAGCAGUGACGGAGAUGUGAUGAUGAUAAGAUGAGAAGAAUAUUUCUUGGAUACGUUUUCGCUGGUUGAGGAAUGAGGAUGCUUCAAGGCCACCUCUUCUUUUAAUUCAUUGCUGGGGAGUCUUCUUAUUAAAAAAAAAAAAAAAAAAAAAAAGAGAAAAAUCUGGAGAUUCUUUAUUCCCUGUGGUUUGCUGUCACUUGCAUCCUUCUUUCACUAAAGACCCCUAGAUGUUCGCCGCCCUAGAAAAUGACAUGAUUUUCCUCAUGAGUCAUGAUCGCGUUAAACGAACCCUUGUGUUUCGGAAAAGUAUCCAAAAGUGGUAGAUAAAUAUAUUUAUGUCAUAUUUAAAAAAGGGUAAUGAUAGAUCUAAAAGUAGUAUGUGAUGUAUUGCUUGUUAAGUGAUUUAAUAUCUUACAAAUGAAUGUUAUUUUAUUUAAAAUAAAAUUUUAGAAUCCAUAGUAAUAUUCUUUAUAUAUAUAUAUAUAGAGAAUAUUAAUCAUAUUAAUCAUAUUCUUUAUAUAUUCUUUACAAAUUUAGAUCGUAUGUAGUAUUGAGGUGCUGUAACUUUUAAGUUAUAGUCAUUGUAGAAAAAAAAUAUAUUUAUAAAUAAAAGUUAAUAUUUCUAAUAAAUAUUACUUUUAGAUAAUAAUUUUGACCAAAAAAUAAAAAUAAAAAUAAAAAUAAAAAUAUCAUUUACUAAAUACUUUACAAGCUCCGAACUUGGACUUUAGGAGCAAAUGGGAUCUUGUUGUGCUUAACGUGGGAGGUGAAGUGUGUAUCUCAACAUGGGUUAGCUAAAAUGGUUCUAGAUUUGGUUGUUUUGCCGGGACAUCCAAUAGAUUUUUUGAGUGAUGUGUAAUCUUAUUCCUUUUUCCUUUGAAUAAAAAAUUUUUUCCUUAACAAAAAAAAAAAAAAAAUUAAAAGCCAUCGUAGAUCAUUCCUAUGACUUUGUCAAACUAUAUUGCAAUUAGGACAUUUUUUUUUUUUUUCAUUUAGAAUGUGCUACUAGAAGUCUAAAAUUUCACCUCUUAGGUCAUUGGACGGAUAAUACUACACUAUUCCUUCAUAAAUCAUAAUGAGGAGAAUGAAUCCAAGAAAUUAUAGACUAAAAUUCUCAAUAGACUGAAAUAAAAUGUGGAGUAAAUCUCGGUUUUAUUGGCGCUAAUUUUUAAACCAUACAUGGUAAAUGUAAAUUUGUAAUGAACUUAAAAUACAGUCUAAUUUUUUUCCUGAACAACUUUUUGCUGCUGAAUAAACCAUGCUAGGUCGUAAAAUCGCCUAUGAUUAUAUCUUACUCAUUGCCGUGUUUUCCUUUCAUGAUCAAAUGAAAGGAGGAUCCAUCACCAUCAGUGAUUAAUCCGACAAAGAUUUUGCCGCAUCAGAAAGCGGUGUACACGUGCUCCCGCUCCCACCUUAUCAUUCCCCAGAAUCCCCCUCGCUUUUAAAGCACUCACGAUCUACGAGCGCUCACGACCGUUAGGAAUCCCGUCUCUGUCCGAGGUAGGCCCCACCUGACUCCCUUCUACCCAAUCAAUUCACGAAACGUAUCACCUCGUUACAGCUGUGUCCAUGAAACUUUCGUUUCACAGAAUAUACGGUGAUUCUAUUCCUAAACCUUUUUUAUUCCUCUGUAGCGACAGUUCAAAACGUAACAAUUUUCCCUUUUUAUUCUUUAUAUAUAU